rnacentral:lncRNA from 1 species
GAACACUCCGGCGUCGUUGGCGCCUUCAACUGCCAAGGCGCCGGCUGGUGCCGGGUAGCCAAGAAGAACCUCAUCCACGACCAGCAGCCCGGAACGGUGAGCGGCGUCAUCCGGGCGCAGGACGUGGAGCACCUUGGAAGGGUGGCUGAUCACGGCUGGAACGGCGACGUGGUCGUGUAUUUGCACGUGGGAGGUAAACCAUCAUUUUUUUUAAAUGAACAGUCAGAUCAUUGUCAAGCUAGGGGACAUCAGUCUCGUUCUCGUGACCCCUUUUCGGUUUCAUCUUGUUAACAACGGACAACGAACUGUACAUAUCAGCACAUCAGUGACAAGCAACCUCUUGUUGUGUUGUGUGUGUUUUCAGGGGAGGUGGUGUACCUGCCGAAGAACGCCUUGCUGCCUGUGACGCUGAGAUCGCGCGAGUAUGAGGUGUUCACCGUCGUCCCUCUCAAGCACCUGCCAAACGGUACCUCCUUUGCGGCGAUCGGCCUUCUCGGCAUGUUCAACUCCGGUGGCGCGGUGAGGGAGCUGAGAUUCGGUGGUGAGGAUGCCGACGUCGAGCUCAGAGUGCGGGGCUCGGGCACGGUCGGAGCUUAUUCCUCGACCAAGCCAACGUGUGUCGCCGUCGAUUCCAAGGCGGUUGGUUUCUCCUACGAUGCCACCUGUGGCCUCAUCAGCUUCGAGCUCGGCAUUCCCGACCAAGAAAUGUACUUGUGGACGGUUACAGUAGAGUAUUGAAGUUACAACUGAGAAUUGAGAUAGAUUUUCUAAUGCGUCAGAGAACGCCCGGUGGUGUAGGUAUUCUGAUUUAUUCAGUGUUGUACUUUCUAUUGUUAGUUAUAUAUAUUCUGUACACAUCCCGGGAUUUUAUGACAAAUCUAGAUAAGUGGCGGUCCUUAGAUUUUAGGAGCCCAGAACGAAAUUUUAAAUAGAAGCCCUUGUUAAUAUUGUAUAUUGAUUUUACAAAUAAAAAUCGAAUGUGAUCAAUUAAAAAUCACAACCUUGAUAAGUUCUUUAUGCUCCCGCGAGUGUGUUGCCAGGUGUCUUCCGUCACCGUCUUAGCUGAUGUGAUGUUUUUAGUUUGAGAGGUCACUUUAUUCUAGACUAGCAAAGUAUCCAUACAUUGUUAUGAUUUUUAUUUGUACUUAAGUAUUGAAUAUAAAAAACAAAGGCAAGUGUAUUGUAUUGGCUAAGUGGAUGUGAAUAUAGGUGUAGAGCCAACAACCAUUGUUCAAUUCUCAUUUAUGCAUAAUUUUAAUAUUUUUUACUAUUUAAAUGUGGGCCACGAAGUACAACGACGGUGGAAACCGUGAAAUCAGAAAAACUAGUGCUUUAAUCACUUCUUUCUAGAUAAGUUGAUUUAUCAUGGGUUUAUCAUAUAAAUUUGACAGAAUGACUAUAUUUCUUAUGCUAGUAAUUAUUAUUAUUAGCUUGUAAAGAAUAAGGUAGCAGUGGAUCAAUCCAUUUAAUUCACUAAGCAAACUAAUAAUAAUAAUAAUAAUAAUAAUAAUAAUAAUAAUAAUAAUAAUAAUAAUAAUAAUAAUAAUAAGUAAAAAGUUAAUAUAGACAUAUAGUACUCGUUCUUCAAAACAUACACAUAAAUAUAGCAAUUUUAUAUUAUUAAUGUUAUUUAUGUGUAUCAGAUGGAUCCCUACGGCCUGAGGGCCCCAGAUCUGUCACACCAUCCGAACCCCCUCCCCCUUCAGGUUCGACACUGAUCCAGUGUAUCAUGGAUAAUUUUUACAUAUAUGAUGAUUUAGUAUAUAGAAACUCGUGUUACGAACUUUAUUAUAUAAAUAAAAUAUCUUUAUAAAAAUAACUAAAUGAAAGAAACUAAGCAAUGACGGCGACAAUCUUGAUAACAAGCCACAGGUUGAUCGAAGCGACGACAACCCAAAACUCUUCAUAGUAGUCUUCAUCUUGUGUCCUUGUUCUGGGUAGUGAUGUGGUUCAUGUAUUCUGUGCAUAGAUACGUGAUUCAUAAAUGAAAGCAUAGAUACAUGAUUCAUCAUCCCACUUUUGUGAUGUGGUUCAUGCAUUCUGUGCAUUAUAUCCCUACAAUAUACUACUCUUUAAAUAUCUCUCACUAUUUUAUUACAACAUUCACUCCCACCGAAAUACUCUUAUAUGCAUGAUAUUAUAUACAUGGUAGUUCAUGUUUUUCCCCACCCACUGGAAUACUCAGUCUGCACCGAAAUACUCUUAUAUGCAAUGUCAAUCCAUAUUGCAACCACCAGUUUUAUAGUUUGAUAAGAUAUUGGAGGCAAACAAAUCAUUUUGUCGUAAAAAAUAGGAUGUUAAUCAAUUGUUCAUAUGUAAGAAAUGACAAGAUGUCGUUCCUAUUAUGAUCGUUUGUAACCCGGGAUCACCCCCUGUGACGAGUAAGCCAACCUCCAUAUCAUCACGGUAGUGUAUUGUAACCCACUGGGGAUUCCACCUCUGCUUCUUUAACUUCGACGUCGACCGUAAUCACCAAUUAGUUAAGUCUGAAUUUCCUCAGGGUCGCACACGCAUGACAUCACCUCCGCGGACUUCGUGGUCAAGAUCGAUCGCUGUCGUGCUGUCAUUGAUUAGUGAUUUGUGAAUUCUAAAUUUAAAAUACAUUAUAUAUACAGUGAAAUAAAUUUUAAUUUAUUUUUAUCUUUAUAUACAACAUGUUUGGCAUUUAGAUGUAGAAUUUUGAAUAAUUUAAUCACCCCUAUUAUUGAGAAUAAAGUUUUGUUUAUAUUCUAUUUUCUAUCAUGAUACACAUGUGAGAAAUAUUUUUCUCAACCCCGCCAGGUACACUCACGGUGCGCCGCCAUAGCCCUAACCGCCUACAAUAGAAAAACGUCAUCAGGAAAACGCUGCUUGUGCAUGGCUGCUUUUUCCACUGCUGCAAGGACGCUCUCGUAGGAUUUGAUAUUAGGGUUUCUGUCAUAGGAUCUGAUAAAAUAAAUUCACGAGUGUGAAAAGCUUAGAUGAAAUAGAUGGAGAUAAAAUAAACUCACGAGAGCCUUAUGAAAUAUCUUAUGAAACAGAUGUUCUAGCCAUUCGAUGCUCUUUUCACAACGUUCUCAAGAUAUGGAACCUGAACGAACACUCCAGCGUCGUUGGCGCCUUCAACUGCCAAGGCGCCGGUUGGUGCCGGGUAGCCAAGAAGAACCUCAUCCACGACCACCAGCCCAGAACGGUGAGCGGCGUCAUCCGGGCGUAAGACGUGGAGCACCUUGCAAAGGUGGCUGGUCACGGCUGGAACGACGAUGUGGUCGUGUAUUCGCACGUGGGAGGUAAACCAUCAUCUUUUUUUAUGAACAGUCAGAUCAUUGUUAAGCUAGGGGACAUCAGUCUCGUUCUCGUGACCCUUUUUCUGUUUCAUCUUUUUAACAACGGACAAUGAACCGUACCUGUCAGCAGAUUGGUGACAAGCAACCCCCUUGUUGUGUUGUGUGCGUGUGUGUUUUCAGGGGAGGUGGUGUACCUGCCGAAGAACGCCUUGCUGCCUGUGACGUUGAGAUCGCGCGAGUACGAGGUGUUCACCGUCGUCCCUCUCAAGCACCUGCCAAACGGUGUCGCCUUUGUGGUGAUCGACCUUCUCAGCAUGUUCAACUUUGGUGGCGCGGUGAGAGAGCUGAGAUUCGGUGGUGAGGAUGCCGACGUCGAGCUCAGAGUGUGGGGCUCGGGCACGGUCGGAGCUUAUUCCUCGACCAAGCCAACGUGUGUCGUCGUCGAUUCCAAGGCGGUUGGUUUCUCCUACGAUGGCACCUAUGGCCUCAUCACCUUCGAGCUCAACAUCCCCGACCAAGAAAUGUACUUGUGGACGGUUACAGUAGGGUACUGAAGUUAGAACUGAGAAUUGUGAUAGAUUUUCUAAUGCGUCAGAGAACGCCGGUGGUGUAGGUAUUCUGGUUUAUUCAGUGAUGUGCUUUCUACUGUUAGUUAUAUAUAUUCUAUACACAUGGGGAAUUUACGACAAAUCUAGAUAGGGGCCCAGGACGAAAUUUUAAAUAGAAGACCUUGUUAAUAUUAUAUAUUGAUUUUACCAAUAAAAACCGAAUGUGAUCAAUUAAAAAUCACAACCUUGAUAAGUUCUUUAUGCUCCUGCGAGUGUGUUGCAAGACGUCUUCCGUCACCGUCUUAGCUGACGUGGUGUUUUUAGUUUGAGAAGUCAUUUUAUUCUAGACUAGCAAAGUGUUUAUACAUUGUUAUGAUUUUUGUUUAUACUUAAGUAUUGAAUAUAAAACACAAAGACAAGUGUGUUGUAUUGGCUAAGUGGAUGUGAAUAUGCUUUUAGAGCCAACAACUAUUGUUCAAUUCUCAUUUAUGCAUAAUUUUAGUAUUUUUUACUAUUUAAAUGCGGGGAAGUACAAAGUGGAAACCAUGAAAUCGGGAAAAGUAGUUCUUUAAUCACUUCAUUCUAGAUAAGUUUAUUUAUCAUGUGUUUGUCAUAUAAAUUUAAUAGAAUGACUAUAUUUCUUAUGCUAGUAAUUAUUACUAUUAGCUUGUAAAGAAUGAGGUAACAACAGAUCAAUAUAAUAAGUAAAAGGUUAAUGUAGACAUAUAGUACUGGUUCUUCUAGCCAUACACAUAAAUAUAGCAAUUUUACAUUAUUAAAUGUUAUUUAUGUGUAUAAGAUGGAUCCCUUCUGAGGACCGAACUGGUCCAGAUGUAUAUCAUGUGUGUUAUGGUCAGUUUUUAUGCAUACGAUGACUUAGUAUAUAGAAACUCGUGUUAUGAACUUUAUUAUAUUAAUAAAAUAUCUUCAUAAAAAUAAAUAAAUGAAAGAAACUAAAACGAUGACAAUCUUGAUAACGAGUCACAGGCAGGUUGAUCGGAGCGAUGACAACUCAAAACUCUUCAUAGUGGUCUUCAUCUUGUGUCCUUGUUCUGGGCAGUGAUGUGGUUCAUGUAUUCUGUGCAUAGAUACGUGAUUCAUAAAUGAAAGCAUAGAUACAUGAUCCAUCAUUCCGCUUCUGUGAUGUUGUUCAUGCAUUCUAUGCAUUAUAUCCCCACAAUAUACUACUCUUUAAAUAUCACUCACUAUUUCAUUACAACAUUCACUCCCACCGAACUACUCUUAUAUGCAUGAUAUUGUAUGCACGAUAGUUCAUGUUUUCCUCUUCCACUGGAAUACUCUAUAUGUACCGAAAUACUCUCAUAUGCAAUGACAAUACAUAUUGCAACCACCAGUUUUAUAGUUUGAUAAGAUGUUGGAGGCAAACAAAUCAUGUUGUCGUAAAAAAUAUGAUGAUAGUCAAUUGUUCGUAUGUAAGAAACGACAAGAUGUUGUUUCUACUAUGAUCGUUUGUAGGUCGGGGUCACCCCCUGUGAUGAGUAAGGUAACCUCCACAUCAUCAUGGGUGUCUACUGUCACCCAUUCGGUGAUUCCACCUCUAACUUUUCUAUCUUCGACGUCGGUCGUGAUCACCAAUUAGUUAAGUCUGAAUUUCCUCGGGGUCACGACUUCGACUUCCCCUCCGCGGACUGUGUGGGCAAGAUCGGUCGUUGUCGUGCUGGCAUUGAUUAGUGAUUUGUGAAUUCUAAAUCUAAAAUAUGUUAUAUAUACAAUGAAAUAAAGUUUAAUUUAUUUUAAACUUUAUAUACAACGUGUUUGGCAUUUAGAUGUAGACUUUUGAAUAAUUUAAUCAUCCUAUCAUUGAAAAUAAAGUUUUGUUUAUGUUCUAUUUUCUAUCAUAAUACCCAUGUGAGAAGUAUUUUUUCCCAACCCCGCCAGGUGCACUCACGGUGCGCCGCCGUGGCCCUGGCCGCCUACGGCAGAAAGCCGCCACUAGGAAAACGCUGCAUGUGCAUGGCUGUUUUUUCCACCGCUGCAAGGAUACUCUCAUAGGAUCUAAUAUUAGGGUUUCUGUCGUAGGAUCUGAUAAAAUAAAUUCACGAGCAUGAAAAGCCAAUAGAAUUAGAUGAAGUAGAUGGAGAUAAAAUAAACUCACGAGAGCCUUAUGAAAUAUCUUAUGAAACUGAUGGAAAAUAUAUCUUAUGAAAAAUCUCAUUGAAUGACCAAAUAUCAUAAGGGCUCGUUUGCUUCUUUUGAUUUUGAAGAAUUGGAAUCUAAUUAAUGGAGUAGUAUACUUUUUAGAAUAUGACAUUGCAUAACUUUCCAAAGUUUAUAUAUAAGCCUAUCUCAAAUUCAUAGGGUGAGAGAUAUAAAUUGACUCUAUAGAUUUACAUGCUAAUUUUCUAAUGUACACCUUAUAGCACAAUCUUAUACUUGAUUCUUUAUAGCAUAAAUGUAGUGUAUAACUAUCUCUGUCAUAUGAUUUAGGAUAAUAUAUAAAUAAAUUAUAUAUAUAAAUAUAUUAACUUAAUUAGUUUGUCUCUAAAUUAUGAUUGCAAGAAUGGAAUUCAAUUCUAACCAAACAAACGGGCCCUAAUUGUAAUUGUGCUUGCUUGUGGUGGAUGUAUGUAACCCUAAUAUCAGAUCCUACAGGGCGGAUGGAUGUAUCUAAUUAAUUAUAAUAAAUUAGAUUAAUUAGUAUGUCACAUAUGAUUUAAGAUGAAAUAAAAUUACAUUUAUUAUGAAAACACGUGAAAAGCCACUAUUGGGUGCAAUUCUAUUGGUUUAUCUCCAUUUCUUUACUACUCUAUAUGAUAGGAACAUGGGCGUCCACAUCUCCCCUGGUGAAGCAUGUCGUCGCCUCGGCUCCCCUCGUGCACGCAACACCGUGAUCUCCUCCCCAUCCCCGAUCCGAAAUCUUCUCGCUCACUCUCUCCAUAGAAGGAGCCCACCCGAUGGCACAUCUGCGUGAUUUACUCCCCCCGCUACCGCCCCCGACUCCAUCGUCCCACAAAAUCCAGCCAUUGCACCCUUCUCGCGACGCCCGUGAUUCUACAGCUGUCAUGCCUCCAUCCUCGCCCCGCAUGCCGCACCUCCAUCCUCGCCCGAUCGUGGGCGUCGCCCAGACGAUUUUCUGCCCCCUUGCGUUCUCCUCCCCCGCAACGCUGCCCGCUGUGCCCCUGUCCACGGCGCCCCGACCCUCACCUCGCCCUCUUCCUCCCCACACCGUCGCUAACCCUGCUCUCUUCUUCCCUGAGUACGGUGCCCCGCGUUCCCCCGCUCCUGCCACGCCCAUCACCCUACCUGCCCCAUGAAUCCUAUUUUUGCACCACCAGUAAGUCCCCGUCAUUUUCUUCAUCACUGGAGCGUGUCCUUGUCGCUGCCCUGCGCUACUCGUCCUGGCGAUGCAUUACAGCAUGGAAGACGGCAAGGAAGUUGCGGUACUUGAAGGGGUGCUCGAGCACACAGAUUUGCUUUCCCAUGGUGGCCUCCUUGGUGGCCGUGGGGUCCUCAACCGACGACGAGGGCGGGUGGAAGUGGGGCUCCUGCGGUUGGAAGGCAGAGGGGAUGAGCGGGUCGACGUGAUGCCCCCCGUCGUCGUGCGAUGUCAUGCAUAGCUGAUCCGCCACUACGCGCCCCUGCUCUGCUGAGACAACCGAUGUCUCCCCCCACAGAUCAUCGUGGCUGUGCCUACCAACCCACACCACUCCUCCCCUCCCCAUCCCUUUCACCACCAAGGUUCCUCCAUCCUCCAUGAUGGCUGACCAAUUCCACCAUUGCUACUCCGGAUUCCAUACUUCAAAUUGAUUCCGUCCUCACGUUGUAGCACCGAUCCCCCGCAAGUCGCGUCGAGUCCACCACCACUGGUGUCGGUUCCUUCCUCGCAAUUCCACCAGCAAAAGCAGACUAUACUACCAACUAGAGAAGAUGCUUAGAUCCACUACACACUGAACCCUACACUGGGGGAAGCUCUCACGUCGCGCCUGCCCAUGGACCGCCUCGCUGACGACCUUGCCGCGACAUCCCUUUUCGAUCUAGCGGACCAGAGCGCCGCCACCGUCAGUUUGCCUAACGCCGAUUCCUCCUUAGCAUCAUGCGCACCAUAGAGGGUGCCAACGCCAUCAUCCACAACUAGGUAACACGCUCCAUCCCCCGUUUCCCAUUGCUUCGCCUCUAACCCAGUCCGGUUUCGGUUCGUUUAUUGUCUCACCAGCCAAAUGGUCAUGAUUUUUUGUUUGUAAUCUAAUAUAAUAAAAACAUAAAUACUAGCUUAGUUUGAUUUUUCGAGUGGUUUGAUUCCAUUUCAGUUGGAAGAGAAGAUGGUAAGUCUGUUUCUGUUCCAUACAAAAUUUAAAUCCUUCGGUUCUGUUGGGGACUUGUUCUCAAAUGCUAUGAGUUAAGAAUAAGGCAACACAGAAAAUGUUAAUUUAUAAUGUCCUUCGUCCUUCGGAACAUUAUUUCCCUUAGGAUAUAAUGACUUUUGAACGAAGGUUAUGAAGGACAUACCUUCAUAAACAUAGCAAACGAUGAUGAAGAAUGGAUUACAAAGAAUAUAAAUGAUAACAUAGACAAUUAUAUAUUAUUAUUGUGAGGAAACAGAAAUAACAUUGAAUUACAAAUGUACCUUCAGCUUGGAAGUAUAUAAAAGUACAGGUGUGACGCAAAAGCAAAUGCCAGAUCAGCGUGAACAGUACGGGGGUACUGUUCACCUAUUUAUAGGCACAGGACACAGCCCAUACAAAAUUACAUUUAUGCCCUUUACAUUUGAUAAUAAUUCUAUAGUAAUCUAUCGAGGUCUGAAUAGCCUUUUCAUCUUUAAGUCGGUUUUACUUUUUGCUACCACGCCGAAGCUUUCCUGCUCACACCUUCGGCGCUGUAUCAACCUUCGUAUUAUUCUGGUCUGCUGUGAUACCGACUUGAGUCCGAAGAUACCUGUUCACACAUUAUACUCCAGAAAUACUGUCAAAUCCUGUUUUUGAGGACCUUCGUAAGCCGAAGGCCCCCAACAGUAGCCCCUCGCAAUAUCAAUUUGUUUAAAAUAAUAAAUUUAGAUUGCGACAUGGACGAAGGCUUUACGCCGAAGGUCCGAAAAAACACCUUCCCUUUGCUAGAAUAGCAACAUUCUCUGACAAGUGGGGUCUUUCAAUUUUCAACGCACUGGGCGUAUAAAUACAGUCAUACCGCAAACUCAUUUGGCACGCUCUCUUGCCAUCUGCUCCCGCUCACUCAAUUUUUAGCUCUUGCGCACUAAAAUUUGCUGAGCGUUUAGUUUUAAAGCUUCGGCUUUGAAAACAGUUUUUUAGCGUUUCCGAAGAUGUCUGAAGAGAAGAAAGCUGCUGCUGAGAUGAAGCUGAGUCUCGACGAAGAGAAGAACUUGGGGUUUCUUAUAGCGAUGUCGAAGACCAAUACAGAAAAAAUCACCAAGGAGAUUCUGGAAGGUUUGUCUGAAGAUACUGGUGACAGCGACAGUUAUGAUGUGGACAGUGGUGGUGAAGACUCCGAAGAUCGCCCUUGGCGACCAAGCCAUGCGGUUUUCGGCAAAUCAACUAUCAAAGAAAAUCAUCUUGUCAACAUGAGAGGAAGGUAUUUCCGGGAUUUGUCCAUUGUGAGGGCCGACGAAGGGGAAAAAACUUGUCCACAUCCUGAAGAGAAUGAAGUCGUAGUGUACCGAAGCUUUUUGAAAGCUGGACUACGAUUUCCCCUGAGCGAGUUUGUUGUAGAGGUGCUGAAAAUAUUCGAAGUCUAUCUUCACCAACUUACCCCCGAGGCAAUCAUAAGGCUGAAUAUCUUCGUGUGGGCCGUGAGAAGCCAAGGUCUGAAGCCUGAUGCAAAAAGUUUCUACACUAUACACGAAUUAUCAUACGAAACAAAACCUUGGGGCAAAGAACAGUACCAUAAUAAUUUUGGCUGCUACAGUUUCGUUUCUCGAUCCGGGUCAAGUUGUCCCGUGCCAACCUUUCGGAAGAGAUGGCCCGGCGACUGGAUGACAGAAUGGUUUUAUGUGAAGAAUGACCUGACGGUACGAGAAGAUAUCAAAGGUAUAAUUAUGCGCCCUAUUUGGCAAAGCUUCGGCCUUCGGAGGCCGAAGGUUGAAAUGAAUGAAGCUGCCGAAGAAUGCCAGAGAGCCUUCGGCGUUAUCUGUUCUUUUAUUGGAACGAGAGAUUUAGUACAAGAGCAUAUUGCCUUCAGGGUAUGGCCGCUCGCGGAGAAAUGGGAAAUGCCGCAAGAAACCAUAAAAGAAACCGACGAAGGUGGACUUAUGAGGCUGAAAUAUACUUUUAAGUUCGGAGAUAAAUUCGUUGAGCCAGAUGACGACUGGUUAAAAAGUAUUGAAAAUUUAAGUGAUGAACUGCUUGGGGCUUAUUCGAAGGCCGAAGAUACUGCACUGUCAGCAGCCUUCGGAGGCCGAAAAAAGAAGAGGCUGAAUCGGGUGUUUGAUGCGAUCGGGUUCGUCUACCCUGACUAUCGUUAUCCCAUUCGAGGGCAGAAAAGAAAAAACACAACCUCUGCGAAAGAAGAAGCUGCAACUGCUCCUAGCGAGCCCGAGCCGAAAAGAAAGAGGAUAAAGGUCCUUACACAUCGGCCGCGCUAUAUUGAACCAGCUUCGGUGCCUGAGUUCACCGGAGAAACUUCUUCGGCCACCGAAGCUGAAAAGCCAACCAAACUGACCUUGUUGCCAGAAGCCGCAGAAAUGGCCGAAACGCCAACAAGGAUAGAAUUGGAAGAACCGAAGAUUUUGUUACCAGAAACAAAAGAGAUGACCGAAGCGCCAUCCACAGAAAAAAUGGAAGAAGUGAAAAAACCAACUGAGGAAAAAACAUCAGAAGUUUUGAGUCCUGCAGCAAAUGUUGAGACAGUAAAAAGUCAAAAGGUGCCAGCAGUGACUCCGAAGAGAAAGAGAAUGGCUAAUGUGCUAGAUGUUCUGGAAACAAUUAAAUCUUCAAGCACACCUCUGAAGAAAACUGUUGUCAUUCCCGAAGCGAAAACUGAAAUUUCUGAUAUUAAAGUUCCAGAGCAAGAAACUGAAGCCGAAGCUGGGUCCUCAGAGCCUACGAAGAUUAAAUCCUUGGAAACCGAGGAAGAAAAAAUAACAAAGCCAACUUUUGUUGAAGAAAUCAGUAUCAUUGCCCCCGAAGCAUCCCCUAAAGACUCUGAUUAUAUUGUUCGUCAUGCUUCGGGGAAAAAAUUAUCAGAAAAAGAAAAGCAAGAGGCCCAACGCUACGCCCAAAAACUGAAGUAUCCAAAGGGGGCGCUAAUAUUCAAUGGCAGUGGAGAAGAAGACUUUUUGUAUUGUCUCCCUGACAGCAAGGAGAUUUCUGUCUGUCGGGAGAUGAGCAAGAGCUUCGGAUUCCCAACAUUAGAAGACGGGCUCUCGGUGCUGUCGAAGAAUGAUCUGGCCGACAGCCUGGCAUAUAAUAGCUUAAAGGUGCAACAAAUGGGAUCUUUGUAUUUUUUGCUGAAACCAAAAUUUUUCAUUUGCAGGGCCUGAUACUUAGCAAUGCCCUCAGGGCCCAAAAAGAUGCUGAAGACGAAGGGUGUGCCAUAGCCCUGAGCAACCUUCGUUCCGAAGUAAUUGAACUGAGGAACGAAGGUCUCGAAAAAGAUAAGAUAUUACAUUCAUUAAUAAAUAGAAUAAAGGAAGACGAAGCUACUUUUAAAGGUCAAGCUGAAGCUCAGAAGCGCGAAAUUGAAGAUCUUCAAAAACAACUGGCUAGAGCCAAAGAGGAACGCAUGCUUGAAGAAACGAAGCGAGAACUCAGCGACCAAUGGGCAAAUCAUUUAGAGGGAACUGUUGAAGAGCUUCGUUCAUCCAAGAAAAGAUGUUAUAACAAAUCUAUAGAAUGUGUCAAGAAGUUGAAAGCUAGCUUCGCCAGUGUCGGCGCUUUUUCGAGCGAAGAAAACUUUACAAGAGGCAACCCCGAAGGUCCCCUUGAAUGGAUUAAUCAGGAAGCUGAAGCCUUCGAAGAAAUUUUAAAUAGCCGCGGAGACAUAUGUGCUUUCUCGGGGGCCAGAGGGAUUGCCACUAUUUUGGAGAAGAAGGGCUGCAAUCAUGUAAAGAUUUUAGCACAAUCCGAAGCUAGCUUGUCCUUCGAAGAUGCAAGAGAUCCAUCGGCUGAAGCUAGCAUGGUUGGUGGAAAAUUUUUCACCGACGUCUGGGAUAAUGGUGGCCGGGAAAUGGCUCGAGAAAUUAUUCGAAAAAGCGAAAAGGGCAUUCACGAUGCUAGAGAAGUAGCUGAGGCUGCUGAGAAGAGCGCAGAGCCCGAAGGGCAACUAGGUAUUAACUAAUGGUUUUUAUUGUGUUGUAAUUUUUGGGUUUUAAACUUCAUUUUCAGUUUGCAAUAGCAAUGUAGUCGUAUCCUGUCCUCCUUCAGAUCCUGCUAAAGCGUCUCCGGGCUCUCAGCCGAAAGGAGACAACGAAAUUAAAAAGAUGGCUGAAGCUAUUAUGGACGAAGUUGUCAAUCGGCUCCUGAAUGAGGCUGCAGAAGUUGUUCUAAGAGAAGAUUAAAUACUAUUGUAAAAAAAAACUUCUGAAAUGUAAAAUGUGUGACAUCUUGUAGUCCUGAAUGUAAUAUACCUGCUUUUAUUGUUUAAUUCUUUACGAUGCAUGAAAUUUUACAUACGUACCGUUUUUGCGUCUUUGACGAAAAAACACCUUCCCUUCUUUUCAUGCUUCGUGAAGAAUGAUUUUCAUUUGUCACAACAAUAUUCGUAGUUUUCUGAUGAACAAUAUCCAAGCUUCGUGAAGAUGUUCUCCGAAGCUAUACUUCCGAAGAUCAAUAGUGUAUCUGCUUGCAAAUUAGCAUGAUUUUCCCCUUUCAAAACAUUUUUCCGAAGAUCGAUGUCAUGUCCCCUUCUUGUGCCAUAUGCAGCAUGAUGUAUGAUGCUUAUGCUAUGCGAAAUGAUGCGAUGAUGUUAUGUUGUGUAAGAUGGUGUUUAUUUCGAAGAUACACACACAUUCCUGCGAUAAAACACAUAGUCUCAGCGUUGUCUUAUAAGCCUCCAUUAGGAGCUUCUUCGCUUUUUACUUCAGCGGAAUCAGCAUUUAUUUUUCGCUGUAAGCCUCCCUUAGGAGCUUCUUCGCCUUUUACUUUCAGCGGUAUUCGCGUUGACUUUUCGCGCUUCGCCUUUUACUUAGGCGGUAUCAGCGUUGACUUUUCGCUGUAUGCUCUGCAUUCCCUUUGGAACGACUUUGGAGCAAAAAACUUACACUGCGCUCCCUUUGGAACGGCUUUUUGUGACUUCGGCAAACUUACUCUGCGUUCCUUAGAACGACUUUUUGUUGUUUCGAAGAAUUUUCGAUAAUUCGAAGGUCCUCUUUGUUAUCACAAAUCUUUAAACUUCAACAACUUAAGCCUGUGAAGAAAAUAUAUUUUCUUUGUGGGAAUCAACGAAACUAUUUACAUGAAACCUAAACAAUGUCCUUUAUUACAGAAAAUAAAACUAAAAUGAAAAAGACUGCUAUUAAGGUAGGAUAUUUGUCAAUAGAUGUGCUUUGACUCUGGCACAGUGCUGUUGACUGUGCGAGCUUCGGACUGUUCUCUGAAGUCCCUUUGGUGUGGAGCAUAUUGGCUCCCUUCUGGCUGCUGGCCUUGUUGCAACGGUGGUGGAGGCGGAGGCUGUUGCCAGGAAGCUUGAGGUUGGCUUGCUAAAGCAACAGAAGCUGCAGGGUGAUUGCCUACAUACUCUGGGAUGUAAGGCGAAUGAUACGAAGCAGUGUGCAUGACCUGCUUCGGCUGAGCCUGUUGUGCUGCAGCUUCGGCUAUUUCCUUUUGCUUCUGGAUGGUAACAUGGCACAUCCUGGUGGUAUGGCCUUUGUUCUCACCACAGAACAAGCAAAAAAUUCUUCUUGGCUGAUCGCCAAAUCUUCCGCCGAAGCCCCUGGCACCUCUGCCCCUCGGAGCUGGUGGUCGGAAGGAGCCUUGUUGUUGCCCCGAAGCCUGUGAGGAACACUGUGGCCUUUGCUGUUGGCUCCCUCUAUCAUCAUUUUGGGUAGAGUUAUGAAUUGAUAUAACGUGCCUCGGAUAGAACCUCCCUCCGAAGCCCCUGGUCAUUUCAGAAAACCUGAAAGCCUCCUCCCUUCUUUGGCGAAAAUCAUUUUCGGCCCGAAUGUACUCGUCCAUCUUCUGGAGCAGCUUCUCCAAAGUUUGAGGAGGCUUCCUAGCAAAGUACUGAGCUGACGGUCCUGGCCGAAGCCCCUUGAUCAUGGCCUCAAUGACAAUUUCGUUGGGCACUGUUGGUGCCUGUGCCCUCAAACGCAAGAACCUCCGGACGUACGCCUGAAGGUACUCUUCGUGAUCCUAGGUGCACUGGAAUAGGGCUUGAGCCGUGACCGGCUUCGUCUGGAACCCUUGGAAGCUGGUUAACAACAAGUCCUUCAGCUUUUGCCACGAAGUGAUCGUUCCUGGUCGAAGGGAAGAGUACCAGGUUUGAGCAACACUCCUGACAGCCAUAACAAAAGAUUUUGCCAUGACCGCAGCAUUGCCACCAUAUGAAGAUACUGUUGCUUCGUAGCUCAUCAAAAACUGCUUCGGGUCUGAGUGACCAUCAAAUACGGGAAGCUGAGGCGGCUUGUAGGUCGGAGGCCAAGGUGUAGCCUGCAGCUCAGCGGACAGAGGAGAAACAUCAUCAAAAACAAAAUUCCCAUGAUGGAAAUUGUCAUUGAGGAAACCCUCCUGAUGAAGGUCUUGGUGCUGAGGCCUUCGGUGUUGCUCCUCCUGGGUAAGAUGACGAACUUCCUCAGAGGCUUCGUCUAUCUGCCUUUGCAGUUCAGCUAGCCUGGCCAUCUUUUCCUUCUUCCUUUGCACCUGUUGAUGAAGGAUCUCCAUGUCUCUGAUUUCUUGGUCUAUCUCAUCCUCUGGCGGUGUCGGACUAACAGCCUUCCUUUUCUGGCUUCGGGCCUCCCGAAGAGAGACAGUCUCCUGAUUGUGGUCCAGCGGUUGGAGAGCUGCAGUGCCAGCUGCUGAAGCUUUCUUCGGAGCCAUAGCGAAGGUUUACGAUCGCCGAAGGUGUUCAAAAACUCAAAGAGUGGUAGUGAGUUCACCGGAGGUGGGCGCCAAUGUUGGGGACUUGUUCUCAAAUGCUAUGAGUUAAGAACAAGGCAACACAGAAAAUGUUAAUUUAUAAUGUCCUUCGUCCUUCGGAACAUUAUUUCCCUUAGGAUAUAAUGACUUUUGAACGAAGGUUAUGAAGGACAUACCUUCAUAAACAUAGCAAACGAUGAUGAAGAAUGGAUUACAAAGAAUAUAAAUGAUAACAUAGACAAUUAUAUAUUAUUAUUGUGAGGAAACAGAAAUAACAUUGAAUUACAAAUGUACCUUCAGCUUGGAAGUAUAUAAAAGUACAGGUGUGACGCAAAAGCAAAUGCCAGAUCAGCGUGAACAGUACGGGGGUACUGUUCACCUAUUUAUAGGCACAGGACACAGCCCAUACAAAAUUACAAUUAUGCCCUUUACAUUUGAUAAUAAUUCUAUAGUAAUCUAUCGAGGUCUGAAUAGCCUUUUCAUCUUUAAGUCGGUUUUACUUUUUGCUACCACGCCGAAGCUUUCCUGCUCACACCUUCGGCGCUGUAUCAACCUUCGUAUUAUUCUGGUCUGCUGUGAUACCGACUUGAGUCCGAAGAUACCUGUUCACACAUUAUACUCCAGAAAUACUGUCAAAUCCUGUUUUUGAGGACCUUCGUAAGCCGAAGGCCCCCAACAGGUUCCAUACAGAAUUUAAAUCCUUUUAGUAUUACCAGAGGCAUAAUGUUCUUCAUACCAUGAUCUUGUUCUACCAUUUCCAUCAUGCUGAUGUUCAAGCAUGUCAUGUACCUUCCCUGCUACCUACUUUUUUUGCUCCACAGGAAAUUGUUAUCGGCAAAGCUUAGGAUGAGAUCUGGUAAGUUCUAGGCUAGGUGAAUCUUGAGUUCUUGACUGGUCUUUACCAUGUUUUCGUUUACUGAAUUGGUCUUCUCGGUUGGUAUGACUGCGAGCUUCUUCUAAGUGUAACAAUGUAACUUGGGAGCACAAGGGCAAUCUGCCAGUCUUUCCCCACCAGCCAUGUUUUUUAUUUUGUUGGGGCCACAAAACCACGACACUAUUCCACACAAUGGAUGUAAAGGAGCAACUGAGAAACACAACUAAUCAUUUUAUUACCACAAUAUUUUUUUAGGACAUCACACUUUAAUUUAAUAGAGCUAUCGGUAAGUCUACAUUUCUAUUUCAAACAUACCAAUAUAUAUGUUUUAUUUGAAAUAAUGUCUUUGUACUUGUGGGGGAUAGAUAUCCCCCGGGUCCACUAAAAGAGUAAAGGACCUCACGAAAGGCCCAAGGGCCCAAUAAAUCGUGAGGUCAUUCUUUCGUGGGCCUGGGGAGAAACAACCAGCAAAGCAGAACAACAUGAGGCCGGGUUGGUGCAAACCCGGACGGCCCACAGCGUCGAACGAAUGACCGCAACAGAAAUCCGACUUUCCCGCGCUGAAGCCUCCAUGCAACAAAAGCCAUGCGAGGAUAAGUCGGCGAGGGUUACGUAGGGAUAAUCUCAAGAGGUUCACUAUCUUUUAGCUACUUGUUGCUAUCUUACCCACGUGUACCGCCCCACGGUCGAGUAUAUAAGGCCUAGGGGGCACCCCUUCAGAUCGAUCGUCCCUUUACUUAGCCACCCACGUCAACUCUCUGCAUUCUCAAUCCAGAGAGCUCUCUUGUACCCACAUUCACCAAGCAUACUCACCAGGACGUAGGGUGUUACGCAUCUCUAAGCGGCCCGAACCUGUAAACCUUGUCCACUGUCCCUCGUGCGAUCGGCACGAACCAUUUUGCUACAGUUGUCGACACCGUCCUACUCCUAAAAACACCUUGAGGGGCAACCCCGGGUGUGCGGUCGGACCCAAAACACCGAUAGCUGGCGCGCCAGGUAGGGGGUGUGUCGACGAUCCAAGCUAGCUCAAUGGCCGUCACCUUCCACAGCAAGAUCACCGUGCGUCCCGGAUCUGUAUUUUGCUUCGGGACAAUCUCAUCUGUAGCGGAUGAAGAGGGAAUUCUACACCGCAUCGCAGAUCUGCCAGAAAAGAAGUCUCCUCCAACGAACUCCGAAAAUGCUGGAAAGACGCUACCUCCGGCUCUUCGGAGAAAGAUCGUCUCCGGAAAGGCUGGAGCUGGAAGCUCGCUGACCUGGAAGACUCCGCUGUCUACUUCCCCGAUGAAAGAGGGGACACGGAUCGCGAGGAAGAAGGAGACCAGGGAAAGGCAAAUCAUUCUUUCCGUUCCUCCGGCCUCAAGGGAGAACGGAAAGAAAGUCGCCGCGACAGCAACACCAUUCUACCCCGACGUCCUCUUCAUCGGGAGGGUGGAGUCACCCGCCAUCUCCGACGACGAACCAACAGCGCCCGGAGAAGAACCACCUCAACGAGAAUCCCGCCGACGAAGGAACCGACGCAGGAACGUUCGACGACAUCACGCGGCCGGAGAACGGGAUCCGGAGCAGCCUGUCUCGCGAGACGAGGUCUCGGAGAUAGGAGAAACUCCGGAGGAACGCGUCUUCAGAGAACGAAGGAACUCCCGACGACGUGAUCGCCGACGGACUCAGGAGCAAGCCGAGCAAGAUGCAAGGCAACGCCGGGAGAAUCCGCUCUUCGGGCGCAACCUGAACCCCGACUUCGCCCGAGCUAUGAACACACCAAGUGAAGUCGGAGGCGUACUAGCUCGGAUAGCAGAUGGACUUCCCCGGACUCCCGACGCUGAAGGCUACCGACGUUUGUUCACCCAAGCAGCCAACCAUCUUCUACCGCUUGCUCAUCCGCCGAACGAUCUGCGACACGCCAUCAACAGCCGCCGGGACGCGCGAAGCUCCAUCAAUGCUUCGCGCGAACGGCGGCAUGAGAAUGAGAUUCGCCGUCGGGAGGAGUAUGGCAGGGAUCAUGGCAUCCCGACUCAGAGUCAGGCCACCAGGACCGAGUCGGCAACAGCUUCAACUGGCGGUACCACCCGGGGACGGUCGAGGAACCACCAUCGCCACUCCCCUCCCCGGGAUAAACAUCGUCCCCGACGACAGGAGGACACGUGCGGAGUAUCCGCUCUUACUCCGUGCCUUAGGGCCAUCCAAUGGCCUCCCAACUUCAAGGUAUCCAAUGUCGACAAAUAUGAACCGAAGCAGGAUCCAGGAGGUUGGCUAGCCGUCUACACCACCGCUGCUCGGGCCGCCGGGGCAUCUGAAGACGUCAUGACCGCGUAUCUGCCCAUUGUCCUUGGGCAAGAUGCGCUGCAGUGGCUACGACAUCUACCCCGACAUUGCAUCGACGACUGGGGAGACUUCAGUCGACGUUUCACCGCCAACUUCCAGUCCCUCUCCGACAAGCCAGCGCAACCAUGAGACCUCAAAUCCAUCAAGCGCCGAGGGGACGAGACUCUCCGGUCAUACCUCAAAAGGUUCCAGACCAUGAGAAACCGCAUCCCCGAGGUCACGGAGGCGGCCGUGAUCGAGGACUUCUACAGAGGAUCCAAUGACUCAGUUUUCGUCCAAGCCAUACUACAAAAGGCGCCGACUACCUCCGAGGAGCUGUUCCGGGAAGCCGACCUCUACAUCACCGCUGACGAGCGGGCCCAGGAUCUCAUUGGAGGAGCAAAGCCCGCACCGGCAGCACCACGACGUGACGCGAACCAACCGCCCGACAAACGCUGGGAGAAGAGGCCUCGUGAAGAAGUACACGCCGCCGGACCACCCGCCUCUCGCGCCCGAGGAGGACCUCGUGGAGGCGAGCGCACGCUGGACGACAUCCUCGACGCCCAGUGCCCGUACCACAAGGACAUGCGCCACACUCUUCGUAACUGCCGGGACUUCAAGCACUCCGUCGGGCACGACCGACCCUUCCAACCUCUACCGCCUCCUCCGCCGAGGGGAGGACAAGAUGAACCACAACAGCCCCAUCAGCAGGAGGAGGGGGGAGGAGGAUCCUUCCCACGCGUUGACAGGGAGGUCAACGUCAUCUUCGGCGGACAUGGGUCGCAGGAGAACAAAAGACAACAAAAGGUCAACGACCGCCAGAUACUGGUGGCGACCACCGGUCCUCCCGCCCCAUACCGGUGGUCGGAGCACCCAAUCACUUUCACUCGGGAGGAUCAAUGGCUCAACUUCGACCAUCCAGGCAAAUACCCGCUCCUCGUCGAUCCGGUGAUCCGAGAGAGCCGGGUAAAGAAGGUGCUAGUGGACGGGGGGAGCAGCAUCAACGUCACUUUCCCCCGGACACUCCAAGGCUUGGGAGUUCACCUCAAAGAGCUCCACGAGUCGGACACUCCUUUCUUCGGCAUCGUGCCGAUGGAAGGGGAAUACCCGCUGGGCCACAUCUACAUGCCAGUCACCUUCGGAACUCCGGAGAACUACAGAACCGAGUUCCUGAGGUUCGAGGUGGCGAACUUCGACUGCGGGUACAACGCCAUCAUUGGGAGGCCGGGGUUGGCUAAGUUCAUGGCCAUUCCACACUAUACAUACAUGAUACUGAAGAUGCCAGGACCGCAGGGAAUCAUAACUGUGCGCGCCGACUUCCAAGGCGCCGCAGAAUGUUUCCGAGUGGCCAUCCAAGCAGCCCUCACCACCAAGCCGUCAACGGUUCCUUCUACACCGGCGAACUCUAAGCCUGAGGAAGACCUCGUUGUACCGGCAAACGAAGCUCAGGCCGCGACCUCUAUGCGGCCGACUGAGGAAACCAAGCGGAUCAACCUGGGGUUCGCUGAUGAGCGCAAGACGGCCAUCAUCAGCUCCAGUUUGAAUGACAAAUAGGAAAGCGCGCUCGUCCAGUUCCUGCAAGAUAACCGAGACGUAUUCGCAUGGCAACCUGCGGAUAUGCCGGGAGUCCCAAGAGAACUGGCCGAGCACAAAUUGAAGGUCUAUCCCCAGGCGAGGCCGAUCCGGCAAAAGCUACGUCGUUUCACGCCCGACAAGAGAGAGGCCAUUCGUGCCGAGUUAGCUCGCUUGGUCGCGGCGGGAUUUAUUAGAGAAGUAUUACACCCCGAGUGGCUAGCCAACCCUGUUCUUGUACUCAAAAAGAAUAAAGUGGAUUGGCGCAUGUGCGUCGAUUAUACUGAUCUCAACAAACACUGUCCGAAGGAUCCCUUCGGGCUCCCGAGGAUAGAUCAGGUGGUGGAUUCCACCGCUGGGUGUUCUGUGCUGUCUUUCUUAGAUUGCUAUUCCGGGUAUCAUCAGAUUAGUCUGGCAAAGGAAGACGAGGAGAAAACGGCGUUCAUCACUCCGUUUGGUGCCUUCUGUUAUACCUCCAUGCCGUUCGGCCUCAAAAACGUUGGAGCGACUUAUCAGAGAGCCAUUCAAACAUGCUUAGCCGAUCACUAGGGCAAGCGUGUGGAGGCUUACGUAGAUGAUGUGGUAAUCAAAACAGAGAAUUCGGAAAACUUCAUCGAAGAUUUACAGCUAGUUUUCAAUAGCCUGAGAAGAUAUAGAUGGAAGCUCAAUCCUGAAAAAUGUGUUUUCGGGGUACCAGCAGGAAAGUUGCUCGGGUUCAUCGUCAGCAACCGGGGAAUUGAGGCUAAUCCGGAUAAGAUUGAAGCUAUCAUGAAGAUGGAAGCUCCCCGUUCACAAAAGAAAGUUCAGCGACUCACUAGAUGUAUGGCAGCUCUGAGCAGAUUUAUAUCCAGGCUGGGAGAAAAAGGUUUGCCAUUUUACAAGCUACUCAAGAAGGUGGAUAAGUUUCAAUGGACCUCAGAAGCACAAGAAGCUCUAGACGCGCUGAAGAAAUUCUUGACAACACCACCAGUAUUGAAACCACCCCGGCGAGCUACGCCGAUUCAACCGGCUGAAGAUUUGCUGCUGUAUAUCUCUUGCACGACUCAUGUGGUAAGCACCGCGUUGGUAGUCGAGCGAGUAGAAGAAGGACAUGCCUAUCCAGUACAACAUCCUGUUUACUUCAUCAGUGAAGUUCUAGGCCCCUCAAAGAAAAAGUAUCCUCAGGUUCAGAAGCUAUUAUAUGCAGUACUCCUAACUGCCCGCAAGCUGCGUCACUACUUUGACGACCACAAAGUCAUAGUAGUUACUGGUUUUCCAAUAGGGGACAUUCUUCACAACAAGGAAGCCAUUGGCCGAAUAGCCAAGUGGGCUUGCGAGUUGGGAUCCCAUGAUAUCGAGUUCCGACCUCGCACUGCCAUCAAAACUCAAGCACUGGUUGAUUUCGUAUCAGAGUGGACAGAACAGCAAGUACCAGACAAUCCAGAAACGGCAGAAGUAUGGCGAAUGUAUUUUGAUGGCUCGCUAAAGCUGCAGGGAGCAGGAGCGGGGAUUCUCUUCACUGCACCUAGAGGCGAACACCUCAAAUAUGCUCUCCAGUUGUUAUUCCCGGCCUCUAACAAUGCAGCCGAGUAUGAAGCUUUGAUACACGGAUUAAACAUCGCCAUGUCACUGGGCGUCAAGAGAUUGAUGGUAUAUGGAGAUUCUCUGGUAGUCAUCAGCCAGAUAAACAAAGAAUGGGAUUGUUCAAGUGAUUCAAUGGGAAAAUAUUGCGCUGCCGUCCGAAAGCUGGAAGAUAAAUUCGAGGGUCUAGAGUUUCAUCAUAUAGGAAGAGAUCGGAACAUGGCGGCCGAUGUACUGUCCAAGCUCGGAUCCGGUCGGACUCAGGUUCCGCCCGGGGUCUUCGUGCAAGAAAUUCUCCAGCCGAGUAUCUCAAUGGAUCAAACAGAAGAGUGCAACAUCAUAAAUCAACUCGAGUCAGAUUCUGAUGACUGGAGAAGACCGAUUAUUAAGUAUAUAAAGAACGAAGAAGAACCGGACGACAAGAACUCGGCAGAGCGCAUUGCCAGACAAUCAGCUCACUAUACACUCAUUGGGGAGGUAUUGUACAGGAGGGGCGCGUCAGGCGUCCUCAUGAAGUGCGUUCUCCCGUCCACCGGAAAGCAACUUCUGGAGGAAGUCCAUGCGGGGCAGUGCGGAGUACAUGCAGCAUCCAGAACACUAGUCGGGAAGGUCUUCAGGUCAGGAUUCUAUUGGCCGACGGCGAAGAACGAUGCAGCCGAGUUAGUUCAGAGAUGCGAAGCUUGCCAAUACCUGUCAAAGCAACAGCACAUGCCAGCACAGCAGCUACAGACCAUACCAGUAACUUGGCCUUUCGCAUGCUGGGGACUGGAUAUGAUUGGACCUUUCAAGAAAGCUCAAGGAGGAUAUACCCAUGUAUUGGUGGCGAUUGACAAAUUCACUAAAUGGAUAGAGUUCCAGCCCAUUGCUUCUUUAACCUCUUCUAAAGCCGUGGAAUUCAUACAAAGCAUAAUAUUCAGAUUUGGGAUACCAAACAGUAUCAUCACUGACUUGGGAUCCAACUUCACCAGUUCAGAAUUCUUUGACUUCUGCGAGCAAAAGAGCAUUCAGAUCAGGUACGCGUCUGUAGCGUAUCCAAGAGCCAACGGGCAGGUUGAGCGAGCCAACAGAAUGAUAUUGGAGGCACUCAGGAAAAGGGUCUUCGAUAAGAAUGAAAAAUUCGCAGGAAAAUGGAUAAGAGAACUGCCUUAUGUCGUUUGGAGCUUGAGAACCCAACCUAGCCGAGCCCUGCAUGGAAACACCCCUUUCUUCAUGGUCUAUGGGUCGGAGGCAGUGCUACCUGCUGAUCUCAAGUUUGGGGCGCCAAGAUUGAUCUUUGAAAGCAUAGCAGAAGCUGAGGCCACCAGGCUGGAGGAUAUUGAUAUACUUGAGGAAGAACGACUGAAUGCAGUGAUCCAAUCAGCACGGUACCAGCAAACUCUAAGGCGCUAUCACGACAAGGCUGUGCGACAACGCUUCUUUUCGAUAGGAGACCUCGUCCUCCGCCGAAUUCUAACGGGGGAGGGACGGCACAAGUUAUCACCCUUAUGGGAAGGGCCUUUCAUAGUAGCAGAGGUUACUCGGCCCGGAUCGUAUCGCCUCACCCAGAUGGAUGGCACAGAAGUUGGGAACUCCUGGAACAUAGAGCACCUCAGAAAGUUUUACCCCUAGCUGUAUUUCAAAACAGCUGGGGGCGACCAUGUAUUCUGUAAAAUGGAAAUACGUCAUCAAUAAAGAGAGACUUCAAAGAUACUCGGCUCAUUUACGACUGACUUGCAUUCUUACUUAACUCGGGGUGACCACUAUGCCCUACAAACGGAGCAAUCGACUUAAGUCGGCAACGACUUAAGGCGGUGCAACAUGCUCACGCUUACUUAACUCGGGGUGACCACUAUGCCCUACAAACGGAGCAAUCGACUUGAGUCGGCAACGACUUAAGGCGGUGCAACAUGCUCACGCUUACUUAACUCGGGGUGACCACUAUGCCCUACAAAUGGAGCAAUCGACUUAAGUCGGCAACGACUUAAGGCGGUGCAACAUGCUCACGCUUACUUAACUCGGGGUGACCACUAUGCCCUACAAACGGAGCAAUCGACUUAAGUCGGCAACGACUUAAGGCGGUGCAACAUGCUCACGCUUACUUAACCCAGGGUGACCACUAUACCCUACUAACGGAGAUAUCGGCUAAAGUCAGUGGUGGCUUAAGCCGGUGCAGCUUACUCGCGCUUACGCAAUUCAAGGGAUGACCUCCAUGUCCCGCAAACAAACUUCAUAAUCAUCAUGCAGCGCUACCACAAACUUGCGAAUUAAUAAAUUCUGAUACGAUAAGAGAGUGAUCAUGUCAUUCGAAUGAUAGGCUGAUAUCCUCUAACGAGUACUUGAUCAUACUAACCGUGCGCUCAUAGCACACAAAAUGUUUCUCUAUUUUCCAAUGUCUUUCUCAGGAACGAUUGACGAAGAAGGGCGAUCCGAAGAAUCGGGGGCAGCAUUCACAUCGGCUUUUAUGUCUUCAGGGACAACCACGUCGGGUCUCCUCAUCAAGAUUCGUCCCGCCCGAAUAGCCUUGUCCAUGGCUUUAUCGCGCUGGGCUUUGAGAGUAGCAGCAGUCUCUUCGGCAAUUUUAGCAGCCAGCUGAACAGCUUCUAACUCCUGGGCAAUGGUUUUCUUGGAAGCUCGGAGUUCUUUGAUGGUGGCAUUCUUCGCUGAUAGCAAUCGCCUAAGACUGGUCACUUCAUCCACGGAUUCUUGCAACCUACAACGCUGAUUGUCCAGUUCCUCCAUUGUGAAGCGGUGACUCCUCUCUAAGAUGGUCAGCGAGUUGUUAGAAUCUCGAUACAAUCUGUCCAGACUGUCGCGAGAAGCAGCAAGGAUACGUUUUUCUUCCUACAAGCAAAAAUCAACUCCUUCAGAAUCCAAGCAAGUAAUAAGAGCAUAGCAAGACGAGGCACGGUUUUGUAAACUACCUUUUCAGAGUCAAGCCGAGCAUGAAGAGAAGAACUCAAAGCGUUGGCAUCAUCCAAAGCAGCGGAGACCUGAUUCAGUUCAGUCUGGCUCUGAGAAUACUUCUCCUUGAAGUCAGCACACCGUUGAGCCAUUUCAGCUUGAUCUCGGGAAUGUUUUUCCUCAAGAACUGCAAUCUGCCGAGUCAUUCCUAUCAAGAGGUAAUCAAACGAAAGGAGGUCAGAAGGUAAAACAAUCUACAAAUAAAGGCAAGGAAGAAAAAGAAGGGCACUAACCAGCAUUAGUUGCCUCCAACUCGGAUACACGACGAUAAAGUGACACCGGAUUCCAACGUUCAAAAGAUGAAGCCACUUCUGGGAUGGAAGCACCCUGUGAUCUCAGCUGGCUGGCCAUCCCAUCCACCAAAGCCUGAUGAGAAGAGCGGAUGAACAUAAUGACAAAAAUUCAUGCAACGUAAAGAUCAAGCUAAAGUACAGCACAGUACCUGGAAAUUGGAAAAGAACGAGGGGAUCCCCAAAUCAGGAGAAAUCAGCUGAUAACCAGGUACCAGACCACCACCCGAAGCAGCUUGCAACAGACCAGUAGGAACGAGCUCAGUACAUUCAACAGAGCCUAACGCCAGACCAGCGGGGACGCUGCCCUCUAAAGCGACUCCCUGAUCCAGAGUUUGGGCCACCACCAUACCGCCAGAGUGUGGAGGUGAACCCGCAUGAACAUCCAUGGAAGUGCAGGAAGGAGACCUUGCUCAGACACCCUCGGGGGCUGGGUCACAGUUGGCACUGCCCGCUUGAGCCGGAUCAUCCCCGGCAACACCCUCGGGGGCUGGGCAGUGGCUUAUACUCUUCACCCGAGUUAAGUUUUCCCCGGCGACAUCCUCGGGGGCUGGGCACGUGUCAACACUAUUCAAGGGGUCCAAGCUCUCUGCCGUAGCCACCUCUAAGGUUGACGGGCCUUCAGCUACUUCCAUGGGACCAGAACAAUCCAAGUCAGCAUCCCGACCCUCGAGAUCGUGCUCUAAGGUCGACGAGGCACGGGAUGACCUCAAUCCAGCAUCUAGCACGGCAGCACGAGUCUCUGUUGCGUCAUCAUCCACAGGUUCUGAUAGCAAGUCCUCUGGGACCAUAUCCUCUAGAGUUUGAUCAAAGUUGGCCAUGGACAGUUCUUGCAGACCAAUAAGGGCAGACAAUGCAGGAGAAGGAACUCCACUACUUCCACCGCUGGCAAUGAACUGCCGACUGUUUUUCCGAGUUAAUGGAGCUUCAUUUUCUUCCUCCUCAUCUUCCACAGUAACAACGCAAACAGCACCCCUAUCGGGGUCAGCAGCAGACGGAGCACACCCAUUGGGUUCAACAGCAGUUUGGGCACACCCAUUGGGAUCAGUGUCAGUAAGGCCAGUUGCAGGCACUUCUUCAGCAGCAGGAGCUAGGGUACCAGCGUCCUCAUCAAAGCUGGAUACUCGCCGGAGGCGUCUUCUCUUCUUCUUUUGCUCAUCAGCAGAAGGCUUGGGCUGACUGGUUCGGCUAGGGCGCCUCGGGCGAGUACUGAUAGGUUUCGGGACAUCCAAAGUUGUAUCAACCUCUGGAAGGGGCACCACUGCCAACGUACCAUCAGGAAUAGCAUCGGAUGAAUCCUCAGCUAACAGAUCAAGCAUGUCAUUUAUGUCGGCAUCACUAGGGUUCAGAGGCACUUCAAAAUAAACCUGCCGUUCAUCAUCAGGAAUCGCCCCGAGCGAAGCAACCAAAGUACUGACUUCUUCAGCAGAGGGUCGCACUCUAAGGCCCAAAUUGCUAUCAGUCACAGGCGGAUCUGACACAAAGAGGGUGAAAGCUUUGGGAGGGGGUAGGUUCCAAGCCGAGUAUGCUACUGGAGCACCAACAUUUGAAACUUUACCCCUGAGAAUCAUUUCAAGUCGGCUUACCAAGUCAACAGAAGGAAUUCUCCUAUUGGUAACCCGAGUUGAGUCGGCCAGCCCUCGAUACAGAUAUGCCGGGUAGGCCCUGUCUUUCAGUGGCUGAAUGUUCUUGAAAACAAAAUCAGUGACCACAGCUUCGGCAGUCAGACCUCUCUCUUUCAGUAAUCCGACUUCAGUUAGCAACACACCUGCCUCGGCUACUUCCUGAUCUGUGGGAGACUCAGUCCAACUCGGAGUGCGGACGUCUGGCUGUCUUCCCGACCGGGAGGGGAGAGAAUUUCCAUAAUUAUCAACUAUAAACCACUCCAGACGCCACCCCUUAAUGCUAUCUUUGAGGGGAAUCUCAAGAUACUCGGUCUUCCGCCCACGGCGCAUCUCCAAACUGGCACCUCCGACCAGCUGGUGUUGUCCCCCGGCCAUCCCAGGGCGACAAUGAUACAGAUACUUCCAUAAACCGAAAUGCAGCAGCACACCGAGAUAGGCUUCGCAUAGGUGAACGAAGAUGGAGAUUUGCAGAAUGGAAUUAGGGUUCAAAUGAGUCAAGUUGAUAUGAUAGAAAUCAAGGAGGCCGCGGAAAAAAGGAGAGAUGGGAAGGCCGAGGCCGCGGAGAAGAAAAGGAGCGUAAACUACAGACUCGUGGGUAUCUUCUGUUGGGACAGUAGUCCCGUGGCAAAUCCGCCAAGAACAGAGUUCCCGUGGAGGAAGAACCCCGAUGGAGACGAGGCGGAGAAGCUCAGCUUCGGAAAUAACGGACAUAUGGUUACCUGCGAAGGGUAACUGACUGUUGGGGUCGAUUGCGGGGAUCACCGCAGCAGACGAGUUCGUAGUUUUCCUCUUGGGCGCCAUCUUGCUUCUCACUGGCGAACAGAGUAGGAGGCGAGUGGCAGAGAAGAUUCAGAUGCGGAAAUGCAAGAACUAGGGCACGGAAAGCAAAGGCGGCUAAAAGCGCAACUCUUAUGGGAUAUUCUUGAGCCAGAUACCGCUUCAAAAAGUGCCCAGUCAUCACCCGGCGGUUAUUUCCGAAACCUCAGCAUGCCACGUGGACAUCUGGCAGUUAUUUCCGAAAAAGCCGACGUGCCACUUCAUCACUCGGUUAUUAUCCUCAAAAUAACUCGCACGGCCAGCUAUCACUCGGCGUUACCUCCAAAACGCUGAACUCGUAUUCUAUCGCUCGGCAUUACUUCUAAAAUGCCGACGCCGACCUUCAAUCACUCGGCGUUACCUCCGAAACGCUGAACUAGUAUUCUAUCGCUCGGCAUUACUUCUAAAACGCCAAUGCCGACCUUCAAUCACUCGGCGUUGCCUCCAAAACGCUGAAUUCGUAUUCUAUCGUUCGGCAUUACUUCUAAAAUGCCGACGCCGACCUUCAGUCACUCGGCGUGGCCUCUAAAACGCCGAACGCGUGUUCAAUCGCUCGGUGUUAUCUCCAAAACGCUAAACUCAUAUUCUAUCGCUCGGCAUUACUUCUAAAAUGCUGAUGUCGACCUUCACUGACUCGGCGUUGCCUCUAAAACGCUGGUCUCGUGUUCGAUUGCUCGGUGUUACUUCUAAAACGCUGAUGUCAACCUUCAGUCGCUCGGCGUUGCUUCUAAAACGCCGACACCGACUACAAUAUUACUCGGCAGCUACUUCUGGAAGCGUCAAUGUGAUGUGCAAGUUAUUCAUCUGCUAUAUCAAAAGAAUCAGUUCGACAAUCAGAGAAAGCGAGUCAUCGAGAAGGGGCCAACGACAGUUCUUCAUUAAGGGGAAGUUAAUAAGUUUACAAACCAACUCUUCGCGAGUUGGUGCUUCCCUACUUCUACUUUACAUUACUACUACUACUAAACUACACUAUACUACUCUACAUUGCUACUACAUUAUUCUAAUUACACUAUACUAAUAUCUAAAGACCAGUGGCGUUUAGCCACUGGCCUUGCUGCUGCUGCCCUUGCCGCCGCCGCCCCUGGUGCUACCUUUGCUGCUGCCGCCUCUGGUGCUCCCCGUGCUGCUGCCGCCUCUGGUGCUGCCCUUGCCGCCACUGCCCCCACCGCCGUUGCUGCCGUCACCGUCGCCAUCGCCACCGUCGUCGUCGUCGCCAUCGCCGUCGUCGUCAUCUUCGUCCUCGCCGCCGUCCGAGUCCUCCUCGUCCGAGGAGAACUCGGACUCAUCCGAGCCCUCGAGCCCGGAGCGCUCGACGGCCCGGAUGUACGUCCAGACCUCCGCGGCAAUCCCCUGGGAGUCGUCUGAAUCAUCAGACGACGCCGGGGGAGAGACGGGAGCCGGGGAUCCCUCGGACUCGGAGGAGAACUCCUCCUCCGAGUAUUCCGAGUCACCGAAAUCCUCCGACGGAGGAGUCGGCUCACGCUUGCGCUUAGUACCCUUGCCCAUGGUGGAAGCAGACAAAGGGGAGAAGAAGGACGCAGUAAAGAACAGCGAAGAGAUGUGAAAAAACCAGAGUAGCAAGGGCGUUAUUUAUAAGAAGGAAAGGCAACCGCUCACUUCCAACCGCGGUCACUGAACAGUCGCAAAGCAUUCAAUAAGCACUCCCACCCAUCUGAAGACACGUCAGACGGCAGACGCCGUUUCAUGCAACACUACACCCAUUGGGACUCCAGUCAACAGCGCAAGGGAUAUGAUUACACUAGUCGUCCCAUCACAUUACUACUCAGAAGUAGCCGGCUAAAACACUCAGCGUCCCAAGCCGUCCCUUGCCCACACCCAUUGGGGGGGACGCCCAGGAAUUGUCAGUAUAUUUUUCAAAAUGGUCACAUCUGUGCAGGGCAUGCAGUGAAUGCCUCAAGACAAAAAUGAGAUAUCAACAAGAGUUAGAGGGAAGCCAAAUAUAGCCAGUAGAGUGCAAAAUAUGGUCGACAGAAAUGAUUUGAAGACUAGACAGAGAACGUCCAUCAAAUGUCCAAUCAGUCACAGAGCAAAUAAAUUGCGCUACCUAGCAAGAUAUGGAUGGAUUGCAAACUCGGCUGCUAAAGACAAAAUAUAUGCUGACCUCUGCAGCAAAAUUUUGAUGACAUAAUGCUGACCUCCAAAGCAUAAUGCGAAUAGUUUCGUGCCAGUUUUUACAAGCAAAAGGAAGACCUUCGAAUGGAUUAUCCUUAAAAAAUCCAUUUGAAGGUCGGGGGCUACACCCAUUGGGUGCACCUCCGGUGCACCCAAUGAAGUUCAGAAUCCUACGAGUCAAAAUGCCGACCUCUAAGGCACAAGCGCAGAACUAAACUUCGGUCGAACAAGUGAUCGGAGCAAGGGAAGACAGCAGGAAGUCAUUUUCUUGGACCUUGGAUCUUUGGGUUGAUUACCUCUAAAUCAACCCAAAGAUCGGGGGCUUGUGGGGGAUAGAUAUCCCCUGGGUCCACUAAAAGAGUAAAGGACCUCACGAAAGGCCCAAGGGCCCAAUAAAUCGUGAGGUCAUUCUUUCGUGGGCCUGGGGAGAAACAACCAGCAAAGCAGAACGACAUGAGGCCGGGUUGGUGCAAACCCGGACGGCCCACAGCGUCGAACGAAUGACCGCAACAGAAAUCCGACUUUCCCGCGCUGAAGCCUCCAUGCAACAAAAGCCAUGCGAGGAUAAGUCGGCGAGGGUUACGUAGGGAUAAUCUCAAGAGGUUCACUAUCUUUUAGCUACUUGUUGCUAUCUUACCCACGUGUACCGCCCCACGGUCGAGUAUAUAAGGCCUAGGGGGCACCCCUUCAGAUCGAUCGGCCCUUUACUUAGCCACCCACGUCAACUCUCUGCAUUCUCAAUCCAGAGAGCUCUCUUGUACCCACAUUCACCAAGCAUACUCACCAGGACGUAGGGUGUUACGCAUCUCUAAGCGGCCCGAACCUGUAAACCUUGUCCACUGUCCCUCGUGCGAUCGGCACGAACCAUUUUGCUACAGUUGUCGACACCGUCCUACUCCUAAAAACACCUUGAGGGGCAACCCCGGGUGUGCGGUCGGACCCAAAACACCGACAGUACCAUGUGCUGUAAUCAGCUUUGACAACCUGUCUCAUUGUAUCAUGAUGAAAAAUCACAACCCUUGCUUGACAUGUAACAACUAGAAGUAUACUUUUAUGGCAUAUUUGUGGGCAUCAAAUUGUUCUGGAAUGUGCUUCCUUUUUUCAGAGGGAAGAUGCUACAUCCCAAAGUUCUUUCAGUGGACAAGGUCAAAAGCGCAAUUCUGUUAAUAAUAAAAUGGAUGGCUCUAGCUCUUCUGUUACUCCUCAAAGUACCUUGAUCCAUCCUCAGAAUGGAUGUUUUGAGGGUAGAGAGCAUCUGAUUCAGAAAAGCUUAAAACAAAAAUACCUUGACAGUCCCCAGGCAAAUGGAGCAUUUAAAAGGUCAUUAGGCGAACAAACCGUUGUUGGUAGUGGUGGCCCAUCACAAUUCUCUACUCCCUCAUCUUGGUCCCUUUCUCCAAAUAGGUAAAGUAGCAUAUAUGUUUAUGUUUCUGUCUUGGAAUUGUAUUUUGGCUGCCUUAUAUUGAUACAGAUCUGUUACAGGCAUAGAAAAGUUGGAGAAUGUGAUUCUAGGUUAUUACCAGUUUUGGAGAUGAACUCAAACAUAUCUUGAAAGCAGAUAAACUAGGAGUAGGAUUAUCCUUAUCUAGGAUUCCACACAUAGUAAUAUGUUACCUUUUUUUUAUUAUACAUGCAUCAUGUAUUGCUCCUUUGUUUCUUAUCACCUUGUUUUUAGGGUCAUGCAUACAUUUAAACUUCUUCUCAUCUUGCAUAUACGAAAUCUAACUUUGUUUCUUAUUGUUUCUAAAACACUCACUUGCUAUUCAACAUCAUCAACAGUUGAUUUGGACAAACUGCAAAUUCUAUACCUAAAGAAAAAAAUGCAUACCAAGCCUGAUGUCUGUUGUUCACCUUAGGUGAAUCAAACUAAAUGUAUUAUGUUCAUUGGUUCUUAACUAUAGAAAUUGUAGGUCACUGGUUUGGACUUCAAAGGAAUGAUGUGCUACUUUAGUCAGAUCUUGUGCAAGCCUUAAUUUAUCUUUCCAUUUAGUGUCAUACAAUUGCUUCAUAUGAUUAAACACUGAGUAAAUGUGAUUUCAAAACCAGGUACAAAGAAAUGUUUAGGGAGCUGCCCUAUAUCCUUUAACUAGCUGAUUUUGUUUCAUUCACUUUUCAUUUAUGGCAGCUGCUUAAAUUCCAGUAGAGCAAAUGUUCAUGUCACAUUUGGUUAAUGUUGUACCAUGCUUAUACUACUGCUAUGGCUAGUUUUGACAUGAGAAGAUUACUUAUAUCAAUGUUGUUUUGUUACAGGGUAAACGAAGGUUCCUUUACAGCUUACUUGAUGCAAUGCAGUCUCUAACAUCACAAGCUGUUGUUAUUGGUGUGAGUUGUCGCUUGGUAUGAACUAAGCUUUAUUUACUAAUAAAUAUAAACUUCAAGCUUGUUAGUUGUAUAUAAUUGAUUUUUUGUUGAAUGACAUUUGAUUACUAUGCCCUGUCAGGUGUCACGCUUGAUUGAUGUUUCAAACAACAAAGAUGUCAUUCUUGGUUAUGUAGUAGUGAUCAUGCAGCAGCAUAUAAAGCACAUAUGUUUCAGGUGACUCUAACUUUAAUUAUUAGCUAACUCUAACUCGGUUGCUGCAACUGAGAAAGGGAAUGUUGUUAAGGCUCUAUUCAUGAGCACGAUGCCAAAAAAGAGCCGGUCAAGGGGUUGGUGUCCGAGGUCUGUUCGAAGCUGAACUUGGUGUGCAGGGAGGUGUCGAGCAGAUACAUGUUUCAGAGGAAGAAUACAAAGACUACUAAGAAGGGUGAAGAGACCAUGGAGGCCAGGAUCAAAGAUAUAACAUGUAGUCGAGGUCUGUUCGAAGCUGAACUUGGCGUGCCUGGAGGUGCCGAGCAGAUAAUGUCUCAGCUGAAGAAUAAAAAGACUACCAAGAAGGGUGAAGAGACCACGGUGACCAAGAUCAAAGACAUAACAUGCAGUCCCAAAACAAAAAUGGUAAUUUGACAUCACCUUUUAAUCUGCUCAAACUGACCUUUGGUUUUUGUUACAAUAUCAAAAAGUUUAAAGCUAUCAAAAUGAUAAUUUGACAUCACCUUUUAAUCUGUUUGAACUCGCCUAUGAUUUUUUUACAAUAUCGAGAAGUUUAAAGCUGUCGAAAUGGUAUGAUAUGUUAUAAGAAUAAUGCUAAAAACAUAUAUCCUUUUAAUUUAAGUGGUAUCUUUUGAGAUGAAGUCUUUUUGUUUUGCUUGCUUUUACCAAAUUUGAUUUGACAUCCGCUUUCUAGAUAACAAACGAGCCUCCGUGGACAUACUUCUCAAGGCGUCUGUGUUCUUGGAGUGUGCUAUGGAGUUGCAGAAAGUCUGUAAGGCUGUAACACUCAUACAAGAGACCCUGUUUGAGAAAACAAACACUCAUAUUUUAUCGAAUAUUUUGUACGCCGUUGCAACGUACGAGCACAUUCCUAGUAUUUCAUCUAAUUCUAUUGGUUAUUUAUAUGCAACAUUUAAGUCACAUGUUAUCCUAUGAAAUUGUAUCACAAAACUCUCUAUUGAGAAAACAUAUUUUUAUUAAUUUAUUCUUUAUUUUAUCUUAUUUUUAUUGAUGUGACAACAUUAGAAAUGGUGUGAUGAAACUACCCUGAGAAUAACCUUAUCAUGACAUCCGGCCGCCAGGAGCAAGGCGGUUCUGAGAAGCAAUUCUCAUAUUAGCGUCACGAGGUCUGAAUUUUCAAACUCUAUUACCAAUAGAGUCAAUCAAUGGUUCAGAACGCAAGUGAUGUCAUUUUCAUCUACCCUGCAAGGCUAUUUAUUAUCAACAGAUCAGGCACGGUCAAAGCUUAUUCCUCGACCAAACCAAAGUUUCCAAGGCGGUUGGUUUCUGCUACGAUGACACAUGUGGGUCUGAUCAGCUUUGAACUCGGCCUCCUCGAACAACUUGUGGACGAAAUUAGCAGGAUACUGAGGUGGCCAUCUGAUGAUUUAGUUAGAACUGAGAUUUUAGACGAAGUCUCUAAUGCGUCAGUUCAACCGAUAAGACUGGUGGUGUAGGUAUUCUAAGUUAUGAAAUUUUCAGUUACUGGAUGUCAUUUCAGCUUCAAUUUCAUGAAUCAUAGUGUGCCAAAAAUUCAAGAGACUGCGAGUGUAGUACAUUACCAAAUAUGUAAAAUAAAAUUAUUAAGAAAAGAAUCUCACAGUAUUAUUAUUAAAAUUUUAAAAGUAUAUAUCAAGAAAAAAAUUCAACAUCAUCCGUGCUGCAAGAGAACAUUUCAGAUACAAGUUCUACAUGGAAGUCCUGAUAGUCUCGGGCUUGGAAAAUAUGGAAGCAAAGGAAUGUGUCAUUUUCAGAGAAUUAUGUCCUUUUUUAUUGGAGUUGUUUCAACGACAUGUCGAAACUUCAGCUUAUUAGAAUGGUUCCGAAGUUUAGAUCGGAGCAGGGCCGUACCUGAGGGAGGCGGCUGUAUCGGGCCCUAAAAACAGAGGACCCCUAGUCAUAGGACACUAGCACUUUUUCCUGUUAAACCUAUCUAUUCUAGACAUAAAUACGCAAAGAGGAAUACGCUAUCGACCAGUCUCGUUUAGAUUGCUAAACUAAUGUCUCAAUUACUUAUCGAAUACUCCAUCUGUUUCAAAAUAGUAUUUGUUUUAGCUCUUGAUUUUUAUGUUUAUAUUCAACUAGAUGAUGAUUAAUUCACUAAAGAAGCAAAAUGAAUUCUUUUAAAAUAGAGAGUAUUAUUUACUAUACAAAUGAUGGUUGCAUCGACAGAGAGAAGCUUUCUAAAAUUGAAAUAUGUUUGUGAACUAUUUAUGGUCAACAAAACUCAAGAGGGGUUAAAUGGCUUGGCGAUUCUAUAUAUCGAAAAAAGUUGUUGGAUGAGAUUGAUCUCAAUGGUAUAAGCGAUGACUUUGUAUCACAAAAUAUUAGAAUAUAUUUUUAAUGAUAUCAGAUAACAAGUAAAUGUUUUCGCUAUAUUUUAUAUUUAUUAUCUUAUAAUCUUUAAAACAGUGCAUAAUAAAUUUUAUACGUCAAAUAUUCGAUAAUAUAUGUAUAAUUAUAUAUUUUUGUAUGUGGAUGUGGCCUCUAUAUCAGAUUUCGUACUAGGCCCCUGAAAAGUCAGGAACGACCCUGGAUCAGAGAUCUCCCUUUGGCUUGAUUCUUUGUAGCUGCUCUGUCUUCUCCCUUUUCUUUUUCUUUUCUUUCCUUUUUUUUCUUCUUUUGCAUGUCUAAUGCUUGUUCUCUAGUCUUUGUGUUUUCCUGCGGUUUCUUUAUAGUUUCCAGCCUUCUACGCUCUCAGUCUGUCACUACGGGGUCAAUCUCAUGGGCUUGCAAUCACUUUCACUAGAAGGCUUGUAUUCAUUGGUCAGCCAAUGCUCGUGAGAUUGUAUCAUACAAAUCAAGGUGCUGGUGAGAUUGUGGAUAAGUCCAAACAACUAAUAUGCAGUUUUGUGUAUAAUAUGUGUGUCCUCCUAGAAGGGUAAAGAAAGCAUAGAUACAUGAUCCAUCAUUCCACUUAUGUGAUGUGGUUCAUGCAUCUUGUUCAUGCAUUCUAUCCUCACAAUAUACUGCUCUUUAAAUAUCACUCACUGUUCAUUACAAAAUUCCCUCCUACUUAAAUAUUCCUAAAAGCAAUGACAACUCAUGUUCAUCCCCUCCCACCCAAAUAUUUGUAUCUGCACUGAAAUACUCUUAUAUACCAUGACAAUUCAUAUUCAUCCCCUCCCAAUAAAAUACAUGUAUCUACAACUAGUUUUAUAACUUGAUAAGAUAUUGGAGACAAACAAAACAUACCACAGUUGUCUUAGAUAAUCGGAUCAAUUGUCCGUACAUAAGAAGAGUGGAGAUGUAAUUAGAGUGGACAUGGCGUUGCUAAUAUGAUCGUUUGCAGCUUGCGGUCACUGUGGGGGACAGAUAUCCCCCGGGUCCACUAGAAGGCAAGAAGGCCUCGCAAAAGGCUUUGGGCCUAUUAUCUCGCAAAGCCAUCCCUUUGUGGGCCAGGGGAGGACUACUGAUGGAAUGGGCCGAUGCGUGAUAAGGAAGCAGUCUCAGGCCCAAGCAUCUCGACAACUCAAGCGCUAUCUGUAGCGUCCGCCCGACUUUCCCGCGCGCAGCGCCUUUGGACGUCGGAAUGGAUCAGAGAUAAAUCGACAAGAUUAUAGGAAGAUAAGUUCAGUCAAUUCACUAUUGUUUAGGUACACAUCAUCAUCAUACACGCAUGUAGUGCCCCACGGUCGAGUAUAUAAGGCCUAGGGGGUACCCCGUAAUUUCCAUCGACCAUCUACUCAACUCAUUAGCCUUUCUCCAUACAGAAGACUUCCCUUGUAACCUACCACAUAAAGAUCCACACCAGGAAGUAGGGUGUUACGCAUCUCAAAGCGGCCCAAACCUGUAGAAAAUCGCCUGCCGUCUCUCGUGCAUCUCGCACGAACCAUUGAGUUACAAUCUACAGCACCGUCCUACCCAAAAGCACUGCGAGGGGUAACCCCGGGUGUGCGGUCGGGCUCCAAACACCGACAGCUGGCAUGCCAGGUAGGGGGUGUGUCGUUGAUCCAAGCUAGCUCAAUGGCCGUUACUUCCCAGUGCAAAAUCGCUCUUUGCCCUGGAUCCGUAUUCUGCUUUGGGACCAUCUUGUCCAUAGCAGAUGAAAAGGGAAUUCUGCACCAAAUAGCGGAUCCACCGGAGGAGAAGCUUUCCUUGGAAAUACCCAGGAAAGUCGGAGCAAGAUAGCAGACAGCGCAACCUCCUGCGCCCCAGACGAAGACUACCUCUUGCAAGUCGAGAGCCAGGAAUUCUCUUGCCCGAGGAACUCUGUUGUCCACUUCGUGCACAAAGGAGUGGACACGGAUUACAAGAAAGAAAGAAGCAAGCGUUCCCGGAAAAGGGACAGAGGCCCGUCGAGCUAUCUUUCCGGCACCUUCGCCCUCAAAGAAGGACGGAAAGGAACUCGCCACCGUAGUAACUCCUUUCUACCCCGACAUCCUCUUCAUCGGGGGGAGAUUGGAGUCAUCUCCCAUCUCCGAUGACGAGCCAACCAUGCCAGGAGAAGAACCUCCCCAGUGAGAAGCUCGGCGAUGAAGGAACAGAUGCCGGAAUAUUCGGCGACAUCACGAAGCUGGGGAGCAGGACCCAGCGCAGCCCGUAUCUCAUGAUGAAGUCUCAGAAGUGGGAGAAACUCCAGACGAGCGAGUAUUCAGAGAAAGGAGGAAUUCUCGCCGAUGUGACCGCUGGCAAGCUCAAGACCGAGAUCGAGAACAAGCUGAACAUGGUGCAAGGUUACGCCGAGAGAACCCUCUCUUUGCUCGAAACCUGAACCCUGACUUUGCUCGUGCAAUGAACACGCCGAGCGAAGUCGGAGGAGUGCUGGCUCAGAUAGCUGAUGGCCGCCCGCAGACUCCAGAUGCUAAAGGCUAUCGGCGGCUGCUUACUCGGGCAGCUAAUCAUCUUCUACCGCUCUCUCAUCCCCCGAGCGACAUGCGACAUGCCAUCAACAGUCGGCGAGAUGCGUGGAGCUCCAUCAACGCUUCGCGCGACCGAUGACAUGAAAACGAGAUAAGGCGCCGGGAGGAGUACGAUCGGGACCAUUGCGUCCCGGCUCGAAGUCACACCACCAGAGUUGAGUCAGCAGCAGCCUCAACCAGUGGCCCGAUCCGGGGACGGUCGAGACGACACAUCAUCGACUCCCCUCCCUGGAACCAACACCAUGAACGUCGACGGGAAGACACAUGUGGAGUAUCCGCGCUUACUCCACGUCUCAGGGCCAUCCAGUGGCCCCCAAACUUCAAGGUCUCUAACGUUGACAAGUACGAGCCUAAGCAGGACCUAGGAGGCUGGUUGGCCAUCUAUACGACCGCCACCCGAGCCGCUGAGGCGACUGAAGACGUGAUGACCGCAUAUUUGCCCAUCGUCCUUGGGCAGGAUGCAUUGCAGUGGCUACGACAUCUGCCGCGACACUGCAUCGACGAUUGGAGUGACUUCAGUCGGCGUUUCAUCGCCCACUUCCAGUCCCUCUCCGACAAGCCGGCGCAGCCAUGGGACCUCAAAUCCAUCAGGCGCUGGGGCGAUGAAACACUUCGGUCGUGCCUCAAGAGGUUUCAGACCAUGAGAAAUCGUAUCCCCGAGGUUUGAGGACUUCUACCAAGGAUCUAAUGACUUGGCCUUCGUACGAGCCAUACUGCAGAAAGCGCCGACCACCUCCGAACAACUGUUUCGAGAGGUGGACCUCUACAUCACCGCUGAUGAGUGGGCCCAGGACCUCAUCGGAGGAACAAAACCUGCACCACUGGAACCGCGCGCGCGACACCAACCCGCAACCCGACAGGCAUUGGGAGAAGAGGCCUGAUGAGGAGGUCCACGCCGCCGGACCACCCGUCGCUCGUGCCCGAGGGGCACCCCAUGGAGGCGAUCGGACACUAGACGACAUCCUCGAUGCCCAGUGCCCAUAUCACAAGGACAUGCGCCACACCUUGCGGAACUACAAGGACUUCAAGCACUCCGUCGGGAAUGGCCUACCGUUCCAGCCUCUACCACCUCCCCCACCACGAGGAGGGCCUGGCGAGCCCAGGCAGCCUCAGCAACCAGAAGGGGGAGGGGUGGAGCAUUCCCACGCAUUGACAGGGAGGUCAACGUCAUCUUUGGAGGACACGGGUCGCAGGAGAACAGAAGGCAGCAAAAGCUCAACGACCGGCAGGUCCUGGUGGCAACCACCAGUGCCCCAGCUCCCUAUCGGUGGUCAGAGUACACAAUCACCUUCAGCCGAGCGGAUCAAUGGCUCAACUUCGACCAACCUAGCAAGUACCCGCUCCUUGUUGAUCUGGUAAUCCGAGAGAGCAGGGUAAAGAAACUACUAGUGGACGGGGGAAGUAGCAUCAACGUUACCUUCCCCCGGACGCUCCUGGGCUUGGGGGUCGCACUCAAUGACCUCACUGAGUCAGACACCUCUUUCUUCGGCAUUGUGCCGACCGAAGGGGAGUACCCGCUCGGGCACAUCUACAUGCUCAUCACCUUUGAAACUCCGGAAAACUACAGAACCGAGUUCCUGAGGAUCGAGGUGGCGAGUUUCGACUGCCGGUACAACGCCAUCAUCGGCAGGCCGGGAUUGGCAAAAUUCAUGGCCAUUCCACACUAUUCAUACAUGAUAUUGAAGAUGCCAUGACCGCAAGGAAUCAUCACCGUGCGCACUGACUUCCAAGGCACCACGGAAUACUUUCGGGGAGCCAUCCAGGCGGCCCUUACUACUAGACCGUCGAGGACUUCCUCCACGCAGGUGAACACAAAACCUGAGGAAGACCUCGCAAUACCCACAAACGAAGCUCAAGUCGUGACCUCUAUGUGGCCGACUAAGGAGACCAAGAGGAUCAACCUAGGAUUCGCUGAUGAACGCAAGACCGCCAUCAUCAGCUCUAGCCUCGACGACAAAUAGGAAAGCGCGCUCAUUCGGUUCCUACAAGAUAACCGAGAUGUAUUCGCAUGGCAACCUACGGAUAUGACGGGAGUCACGAGAGAACUGGCCGAGUAUAAAUUAAAGGUCUAUCCUCAAGGAAGGCCGAUUCGACAGAAGCUGCAUCGUUUCACGCCUAACAAGAGAGAAGCUAUUCGCGCCGAGUUAGCUCGCUUAGUGGCUGCAGGGUUCAUUAGAGAAGUGUUGCAUCCUGAGUGGCUAGCAAAUCCUGUUCUUGUACUCAAAAAGAAUAAAGUGGAUUGGCGCAUGUGUGUCGACUAUACUGAUCUCAACGAACACUGUCCGAAGGAUCCCUUCGGGCUCCCUAGAAUAGAUCAGGUGGUUGAUUCGACCGCUGGAUGUUCUAUGUUGUCCUUCCUAGACUGCUAUUCUAGAUACCAUCAGAUCAACUUGGCAAAAGAAGAUGAGGAGAAAACUGCAUUCAUCACCCCGUUCGGAGCUUUCUGCUAUACCUCCAUGCCGUUCAGCCUCAAGAACAUGGGAGCGACCUACCAGAGAGACAUUCAAACAUGUUUAGCCGAUCACUGGGGCAAGUGAGUGGAAGCCUAUGUCGAUGAAGUGGUGAUCAAAACAGAAAACUCAGAAAACUUCAUCGAAGAUUUGCAGUUGAUUUUCAAUAGCUUGAGGCGAUAUCGAUGGAAGCUCAAUCCAGAAAAGUGUGUCUUCGAAGUACCGACAGGGAUGUUACUCGGAUUCAUUGUUAGCCAUCGAGGAAUUGAAGCCAACCCAAAAAAAAUCAAGGCUAUCAUGAGAAUGGAAGCGCCACGAUCACAGAAAAAGGUACAGAGGCUUACUGGAUGCAUGGCAGCCCUAAGCAGGUUCAUAUCAAGGCUAGGCGAGAAAGGCAUGCAUUCUACAAAUUGCUCAAAAAGGUGGACAAGUUUCAGUGGACCAUAGAGGCAUAGGAAGCUCUAGAGGCACUGAAAAAGUUCCUGACUACACCACCAGUACUCAAGCCACCACGCCGAGCCAUGCCGAAUCAGCCAGCAGAAGAUCUGAUGUUAUACAUCUCCUGCACGACUCACGUGGUAAGCACCGCGUUAGUAGUCGAGCGGGUGGAGGAAGGACAUACAUACCCAGUGCAACAUCCGGUCUACUUCAUCAGUGAAGUUCUUAGGCCCUCAAAAAUGAAGUAUCCCCAAGUCCAGAAACUGUUAUACGUGGUACUUCUAACCGCUCGCAAGCUCCAUCACUACUUUGACGACCACAAAGUCAUAGUAGUCACAUGAUUUCCAAUAGGGGACAUUCUCCACAACAAAGAAGCUAUCGAAAGGAUAGCCAAGUGGGCAUGUGAGCUGGGAGCUCACGACAUAGAGUUCCGACCUCGCACAACAAUAAAUACUCAAGCACUGGUUGACUUCAUAUCAGAGUGGACUGAGCAUCAGGUCCCAGACAACCCAGAGAUUACCGAAGUAUGGAGAAUGUACUUUGAUGGCUCGCUGAAGUUGCAGGGAGCAGGUGCAGGGAUUCUCUUCAUUGCUCCUGGAGGUGAACAACUCAAGUAUGCACUCCAGCUAUUAUUUCUAGCAUCAAAUAAUGCGGCAGAAUAUGAAGCACUGAUUAUGGCAGAACCUCUCAAGUUAUUGGGCCCACAUGCACCUAUCCUUGUCUCAAAGACCUUAGACUUCUAUGCAUGUGCACCAGAUAACUUAAUAGGAUCCGUCCGAGUGCCCCGAGGACCUUGGAUAAACCACUUACAACCAAGAUCGCAAGAUUAAGUAACACAAAUCACACACACCAAUAGUUUGCAACGGAAAUCUUAUUACCAAAUUUUACAAGUUACAAAAAUUUUACUUUGUACAUGAUCGGAGUGAUUACAAAAGUGAUUCAAAGAAAUAACUUUGAACUAUUAUAAAUUAUUUGUAGUUUUGAAAUAUAUGCUAGCUCAAGUGACCAUCCUCAAUAAGAAGUAUAGAAGAGUUACUUAGACUUAUAAGAAGGCCGAGCCCACUGGCACUUAACACCAUCAACAGCAGCACAAAGUUAAAACCUGAAAAACAAUAGAGAAUAAAACCCUGAGUAUGGAAUUACUCAGCAAGACUUACCCGACUAAAGAAAAGACUCUCAAGGAUAUGCUGGAUAAAUAGGAAUCAAGGAAAAGGCUUUAGCAAGAAUCAACUUAGAUACUUUUGCAGAAAUAGCUUACUAAAGUGAGUCCUUACUUUCAACAUUUUAAUGCUAGAUUAAUUAUUAAUAGAUCUUGUUUGCAUCUAGUCUAAUUUCAUCAUCACAUUAAUCAAUCCAACAUGAUUUUUUUACUCAUUAAUAUUCCAUCCAUGACUUAGAUUGCAGGGCAGUGACCAAGUCUUCAUAUCCGAGAAGUAACGGCGAUCCAGAACCGAUUAAUACCCAGCUGGGGAUCUCCGAUCACACGACAUAUGUAGCACUUAACCCUUGCAUAUGUCAACUCGCCACCGGGGUUCUUAAGACCAGAUCAGGUUCACGCCAACCGAGAGCACAGAUACACCACCGUCCAGCCUCUUGCCACGGAGGGUACACGCUACUCUCGCCAUCUCUCCACUCCCAUUGCGUGUUAUCUUAUUCUGGUAUUAGUCUACCCGAGGCAAAGCUUACCCAUGAUGAGGCAUGUGACCAGUUAAAAGAUCCUCGAUCAUCAAGCCUACAUUCAGUAUAAUCCUUAAUCAACCUGGGUAGAACAUCACCUGUUCCUAGCCCAAGUCCCGAUUUAAUUACUUCCAUCCUUAUGAUUGUUUGUGUUCCUUAGGAUGAAAAGAGCAUUAUAGGGAACUUUGCAGUAAGAUCCCACCAUUGCUCCCAAUGAAAAUAUUCUUGUAGGCAGAAGCCAUCCUUCCUCAGGAUAACCCCUGAGCUAGGCAUUAACGCAAAGGAGAACCUCUAUCUACAAGAUUUACCUCUAAGAAAGGCUAAGCAAUUUUGUAAAUCAUAUUUUGAUACUUCAUCAGAAGUAUCUAUAAAGGUAUGGAUAUCAAGGUAGGCAAUGCAUCAAAGGGUUUCUAAGAAACUCCUAUAAACCUAAUGCACAUUUCACUAGACUUAAAGUGUGAAAAAAUUAUUUAAAAACACAAGGAAGGGGUAGCAUGCACCGGGGCUUGCCUAGAAUAAACACUAGGUUAGUGUUUGUUACAUGGCGACCACUUGACGACCAUCCUUUUGUCUUGGCAUUUGUUCAGGCAGGUUCGUCCAUCAGCAUCACCAUGCGGAGUAGCUCGCGCUUGGGGUCGACUUGGCUUUGGUCCUCCGCAUCAUGUAGUCAACAAACGUACCUAAAUGAUUUGCAUAAUGCACAUGAAUGCAUAUAAGUAGGAAUAGCACAAAUCUAAAUAGUGCUACGCGAUAGCGAAUUAAACACCUAGUGACGAGGCGUUGUACUGUUUCACACGGAAACACUAGUUAUCGACGUAUGACUAAGUGCAAUAGCUGUGCCUUUCUAGCUUAACCAAAUCCAAUUCAAACAUCAAGCAGCAAUGAAUAUGAAUACACGCUAUGUUAUCCUUAGCUAAAGCAUAACAUCGAGAGUCUAACAAUAUUUAGACUCCUAUUGUUGGACACCCAGAGUGAUAGUAUGUGCAGGAACAAUUUAACUAAUCUUUUAAAUCAUGUUUCUAGAUUAAUUUGAAUUACAUACAAAUUAAAUAAACGCUAAACUUAUCCUUCACAUUAUUAAUUAUACCACAUCGCUCACAAAAGAACUAUUUUAAUUUUAUUUCACACCUCACAUAUUUAUUCAAUCCAUCUAACAAUACGACUACGGGAAUAACGAAUCAGCUUGCCAUACUAAAAUCCUACUUGAACCCAUGAAAUCGACGACGCUUCCCGGUCUGCGCAUAACACCAAAUACGUAACGAGCGACGUACUAGACUGCACUAUUCUACCCGAUCAAAUUUUAUUUUGGCACUAAUUCAGUACUACGAUUUACGCGCACGUCACUGGCCCACGUUAACAGCGCAAGUAUACCAAACUAACGAGAAAUAUUAAAAUGAAAAGCAAGAGCGACGACAACACACCAAUAAUUUAAUCCAUAUUGAAGACCACGAGCACAGCUACGAUUUCCGAUUCUGCUGGGAUUUGUUGCUUCAUCCAAACUCUCAGGAUUUUUUGACGACGCAAAGGAUGUUGACGAGUUGGAGGCUUCUAGGGUCGAGCACGAUAGGGGACUUCGAAAAAUCGACGUAGGUAGCACGCAAUUGAAAAACAGGUCAUCGGAGUCGACGAGCACGUCGUGGACACAACGUGAAUUGACGACGUGGAGCAAGGGGGUGUCACAGCACAUAAAGGGCGACACGAAGAUGUUGGGCACUGACUAUGACGUGCGUGCAGGUUCCUGGGACUUGACGACACGCGAAGCUAUCACCAACGACGACACGAUGAUGGCUUGACACGGAAGUGGACAACGACAACACCAAGGUUAGUGGCAAAGCGAGCGUGAGGGUGUUUUAUCGAAUAGGUGGGAUGCGAGGCACGACGUCAACAAUCGGAGGGGUGAAUAGCGUCACAAUUGGGCUAUACAGGCGCAGCGAGGACACACAGGCUUGUGACCAAGGCGAACUCGGUGAGGGAACUUGACGCGCCCAGAGAAACAGCACGGCACAGUGGAGCAGGGACCAAGCGCCAAUGAGCAGGGAAAUUUCAUGCGCGCGACGAUUAGAAAAGGAGGAACACCGGCGAGUACCACGGAGCAGCGCGCGCGGCGAAGAUCCAAGCGUAAGGGAGCAAAGAGACGGGCGCGUCUUGGCUGGAGAGAAGCGUUGGGAGCAAGCUAAACUGCUGGCAGGCGACCCGGAGCGUGGCGAGCAGGGAGCACGGAGCCGGCGAGACAGCAGGGGAAGAUGCCAUGGGGGCGAGCUCGAGGCAUGGAGAUCCGGCGAGCUGAAGCCUCGUGCAGGAGCUGGGCACAAUGGAGGAAAUCCAGGGCGCGACUGAGAGCGGGGCCGAGCAGGGAGCCGGCAGCACGCUGGGAACCUGAGGAGCGCGCGAUGGUGGAGCCGAGCUACGCGCGGGGAGAGAGAGGAGCGGCUGGGCGCUCAGCAAGGAGGAGCGCCAGGGAGCAGGUGCGCAGAAGAGAGAACGCGCAGGGGAGGAGGAACGCUUGGCGCUGAAAUAUCCCAGGAGAUUUGCAAUGCGGCCAGAAGAAGAUAAGGUCGCGUACACGAAGAAGAAGAUACGUGCGCAGAUGGAAAAAAAUCAGGGUGUGGGCGGCGGGGAGAUAAGGCUGGGAGAUUUUUCUUUUUUUUUCAGAAAUUCACUGAUAUUUUUGAAUCGGGAUUUUUAGCGAUGAUUAAAGAGUCGCCGCGCAAUACGGCAAACAGCUACACACUCUGUCUUUCGAAUCACGAAACGGAAAAAUCCGAGGUUUACGAUUCUGACUACAUUGUGUUUAGAUAGUUUUCGAGACUAUUUUAGACAACAUGCAAACGGAUUGGAUAUCAGUUACAUUAUUUGAGACAACCCUGGUUUGGUCGAAAUCAGAUAAAAAUUUAUCUGGCACCAAAACACAGUUGAUUUAAUUAUCCUACAGUGUGGGCUGAAGAAUAAAUUAGAUCAUAACCUCGUGUACGGUUUUUCUCAGACAAUGCGCGAUACAGAUUAUUUUGCCUCCAACAUUAUAGUCGUCGAGUUUAAAUUAAUUUGCCUGGGAUAAAAUGCGUAAAAGCACAUCGAGCUUCCGAAUUCGUAUUUGCGCGAGCGAUGAAUUUUAAAUAAUCACCGGACGCACCGAUUUUCGGUACAACUAUGUUCUGAACAUCACAAAAAUUUAGGAAGAGGCCGGAUAAAUAAAAAUGAUGUCGAACUCGCGAUAGACAGAACAGAUUAAGAUAGAGAGGCUGUUAUUUAGUUUCGCCUAAUUUUUACGAUCCUCACCAGUAAUCGAUUAUUUGAUCUAACGCCAACGAUCACAUGCUGAGAGGAACGAUUCACUUAAUCAGCUGUCGCAUCAUUCUGUUCGGACAGCGUGGGGCUCCAAAUUUUACGUAAAAUCAGAAGUUUUCUGAUUCUCGCAUUCACUUACGCGCGUGAUUCGAACAGUUCAAAAUUCGCCAGCGAAAGAUUCGAUAAUCCAAAAGCUUCAUGAACCCUUUUUAGCUGUUUAGAUUAUCGAAAUGAAAACGACACCAAACUCGAUAGAUUUUAAUUAGGCACAGGACUCGCAAAUUUUUGGAACAAUUACGUUCCGAAUUUCGCGAAGACUUAGGAAGAGUCUAAAUAGACAGAAACAAAUGUGAUAUUAAAAUCGCGAUAGCGAAGAUGAUUAAAAUUUAGCAUUCGUUUUAUCCACUGAUAUUACGUGCUUAAAUCCAUACUUGUUGUUGAGCGGAAUAUAAACACCAGGGGUGUUACAACCGUCCCCCCUUAAAAGAAUCUCGUUCCGAGAUUCGGAGCGAAAGACUUUUAAGAGUAGAGAAGCAUGUAACCCAUGUCCAUAUCAGCGAUAAUCGUGAGACAUUUCCAAAUAAGGCUAGUGUCUCGGGAUGUUGUUUCUCCCGUGGACAUAACAUGUAUCGCCUUAAGCUAACUUAGAGAUGUCCAUUAGUAGAGACAAUGUCUGCCAGAAGAACACAUAAGGUUCUAUGUGUGCAGUUUGCUUUUUCUGAUGACACUGUACUAUCUAAGUCUGUUGAGCGAGCGGUAAAUACGCGAUUUUGCCCAAACAGAACAGAUGCAACCUCUUGGGUAAAGCACACAGAAAGAGGUUUACCAACAAGUGGUCACGGUAAGUUCAUAGCACACGAGACGAGUGUGAAUGUUGAAUAACAUCACAGUUAACUCGUGUUAGCCAGAGAAUCCAAGUCCAAGAAAAUGAUAGAGACUCGAAAAAUCACGAGCGAAGAGAUCUGUAAAUGCUGACUUCGUGUCCAACCCAUUUUAUCAAGCACUAGGCAUGGCUCGACUUGAUCACACAUGCUGGAAAAGCACACGUGAGGCGAUCGAGGCAUGACUAGAGCGAUGAUUAGGUGGUUAUCAGUCAAUUUAACUUGAUUCUUAUAAUCACUUCCUUAAAAUGGGUUGAACCAAAGUGAGUUUAGACAACUCGAUAAAAUAAUCUCUAAACUCAAUCUUUGUUUACUGGGCAGUUACAAGUUAGUAAAAACUAACUUGUUGAACUACUUUUGACAUUGAGUAAUUUCUCUUAUUACCCAUCGGUAAUCUAAUGGUCGGGAGUUCACUCUUAUUAACAGUUGAUCAUACAUUUGAAUAGAAAUUCAUUUGGUCAUGUUGCUCAUUCGUUUCUUCAUGCAAGAUGAACAGACUUGGUUCGGGAAUACAUGGAUUAAAUAAGAGAGCGAAUGAACAAACGCCUGCAUCUCAACAGCAGUGAAGAUCUCCAUUUUGAGAGUUAAUCAGCUGUCUUUCAACACUAAAAAGCUCCAAGGCUUCACCUUUACAACAAAGGAUGCAAAGGGAACUUGUAUGUUUAAAGUCACCAUCAAAGUCAAGGAAAAGAGACCACACAUGAAAGGGGUAUGCCCUUUUGAUCCAAUAGAGAUGAUAGAUGUUGCUUGAUCACUUGACAAACAACAUAGAAAUUGUUUCAAGGAAGUAGUUUACGGAGGAUCACAUAUCAGUGUAGUUCCUCAAUGGAUCAUGACUAGAGACCUUGAUACCAGCAUCCGAGGAGUAGCACAACCUUGCGUGUACAUUCACAAGGGGCUCUCAUUUUCGCUGCGGCACCAUAAGUCCUUAAUCAUGACACCAUCACCGAACUGGCACAAAUAAAGAAUCUCAUGUAGCAAAAAUAGAUUGUGCCAAGAUAACGCAAUGACAUAGUCUCAUAAUGGAUUACAACUACUAACUGUGAUACCAGCGCGUGCCGAGUAGCACAACCAUGUGUGCGCGCCCACAGAAGGCCCUCGGCUUCGUCACGGCACCAUCAGUUUUAGUCAUAACACCAUUACCAGACGUAACCAAUAAGAAAUCCCGUGCCACACCAAUAGGUUGAGCAAGGGUGACAAUAUACAAAGAGAUACUCCACUUGUUAAGAACGGUUACAAGUAGAGAGCCAAAUAGAUUAUGGCUCGAUGAAAUGAACAAGGUAUGGCCAUAACCUAAGUUUGUUAAUGAAGGGAGUACGAUGGGAGACUGUUAUUUCAGUCCCAAGCAUAUUUCUAUGCCCAUCGCAACGAUUACAAAGUCAAGGGUUAGUAUCUGAUUAGAUACGGAGGGAAAACAAUCAUAAGAUUAAGUUGGUAUGCCUUUGAUAGAUGUGAGGAAACCAAAUGCAUCAAAUUCAAGAAAAUGGUCAAACAUGCCUUUCCUAGGUUAGGUUGAUAAAGUAACAUGGUAAUCCACAAGGAGAGGCCAAAUAUAAUAGAGACCUCAACCUGCAUCAACUGAACAAGGGAAUGGUUCUAGAAGGAGAUGUGGCUUGAGAUUCUUGGUUUAAGCUUGGGUACAUUUUAUGUCCAAUAAGGAAAUUAUCUAGACAUUUGUUUUCAUGUGUUUGGUCAUGGAGGGAUAACGGAAAAUUCAACUUUAGGUCAUGGUUCACUACAUACGAACAUGGCCUAGUUUUGGGUUUAGGCAAACAUGUCACAACCAUUCUAUCGGCACAUCAAGUACAAGGGCAAAUACAUAUGACACAUAAAUAGAUUACCUAAGGAACGUAGAAUACUAUUUCAAUGAAGUUCAUAAUACAACAUUACACUACAUUAUCUACAAUCACUGUUUACUGGAAUAAAGAUGAGAGAAGCAUCUUGGGUGUAUAGGUGACAAAUAAGAUGCAACAAUCAGGAUGCAUGCUCGUCCUAUUCGUCCUCACAAAUUUUUGCCAAUCUAAUGUGGCAAUAGCGUUCUAUCUUGGUGGCAUACGUUCUCUCUUGGUAUUUUGCUAGUCGUCAACUACACAUAUGUUUUCGAAGUUAGUGUACCUGCAGAAAAUUCCAUCACAGCCCAGUUUCCCAAUGAUGCAAUUCACACAUGACAGUUUAUCACAGUUUAUACUCCAUAUAUUGCUAUAUCUCCCAGCUCAUCAUUAAGCGCUGAGCCACGCAUAGGCGCCACUGCCACACUUUAACCAUAGGGCAGCUCAUUAUGGUUACUCACCUUCUUACCUGAGCGUAGGUGCAUCGUUGCAAGUACAUUACACUUCUCAGUAUUCCCAUGUCUAUAUAUCCAUACACAUCCAUGUGGUACUGAAUUCCCAAAAAAAGUAAAUACUCCACAUCGCAGCUUUUAUAUAUACAUAUGUACAACAUGUAUAUAAUCAAGCGCCACAAACAAGCACUUCCCUAGACCGACGUUUGUUUGGUCAUGCUCUCACAUCUCACCUUACCUGAGCGUCGAUCCAUUCACAACUGAAUGGCCUCAAAAUAACAAUACACAUGUAUGCAAUACCCACCCAAUUGUGGGUUACUGGUUUUGAACUAAGCCACCUGAUAGUCCUUAACUUCGGGCUUAACAGAGGAUGUUGCUAGCAUUAUAGUUUUUCAAAACUAUUUUUCAAGGCCAAACAAUGUGUUUAGUCGAAAAUAGGUUUUUCGAAACCAAAACUUUUGUUUUGAAAAUAUGUAUGUGACCGUAUAUACUUAAUCCUGCUUCGAUACCAGCUGUGGCAGAACCUCUCAAGUUAUUGGGCACACGUGCACCUGUCCUUGUCUCAAAGAUCUCGGACUGCUAUGCAUGUGCACCAGAUAACUUAAUAGGAUUCGUCCGAGUGCCCCGAGGACCUCGGAUAAACCACUUACAACCAAGAUCGCAAGAUUAAGUAACACAAAUCACACACACCAAUAGUUUGCAGCGGAAAUCUUAUUACCAAAUUUUACAAGUUACAAAAAUUUUACUUUGUACAUGACCGGAGUGAUUACAAAAGUGAUUCAAAGAAAUAACUUUGAACUAUUAUAAAUUAUUUGUAGUUUUGAAAUAUAUGCUAGCUCAAGUGACCAUCCUCAAUAAGAAGUAUAGAAGAGUUACUUAGACUUAUAAGAAGGCCGAGCCCACCGACACUUAACACCACCAACAGCAGCACAAAGUUAAAACCUGAAAAACAAUAGGGAAUAAAACCUUGAGUAUGGAAUUACUCAGCAAGACUUACCCAACUAAAGAAAAGACUCUCAAGGAUAUGCUGGAUAAAUAGGAAUCAAGGAAAAGGCUUUAGCAAGAAUCAACUUAGAUACUUUUGCAGAAAUAACUUACUAAAGUGAGUCCUUACUUUCAACAUUUUAAUGCUAGAUUAAGUAUUAAUAGACCUUGUUUGCAUCUAGUCUAAUUUCAUCAUCACAUUAAUCAAUCCAACAUGAUUUUUUGCUCAUUAAGAUUCCAUCCAUGACUUAGAUUGCAGGGCAGUGACCAAGUCUUCAUGUCCGAGAAGUAACGGUGAUCCUGAAUCAAUUAAUACCCAGCUGGGGAUCUCCGAUCACACGACAUAUGUAGCACUUAGCCCUUGCAUAUGUCAACUCGCCACCGGGGUUCUUAAGACCAGAUCAGGUUCACGCCAACCGAGAGCACAGAUACACCACCGUCCAUCCUCUUUCCACGGAGGGUACACGCUACUCUCGCCAUCUCUCCACUCCUAUUGCGUGUUAUCUUAUUCUGGUAUUAGUCUACCCGAGGCAAAGCUUAUCCAUGAUGAGGCAUGUGACCAGUUAAAAGGUCCUCGAUCAUCAAGCCUACAUUUAGUAUAAUCCUUAAUCAACCUGGGUAGAACAUCACCUGUUCCUAGCCCAAGUCCCGAUUUAAGUACUUCCAUCCUUAGGAUUGUUUGUGUUCCUUAGGAUGAAAAGAGCAUUAUAGGGAACUUUGCAGUAAGAUCCCACCAUUGCUCCCAAUGAAAAUAUUCUUGCAGGCAGAAGCCAUCCUUCCUCAGGAUAACCCCUGAGCUAGGCAUUAACGCAAAGGACAACCUCUAUCUACAAGAUUUACCUCUAAGCAAGGCUAAGCAAUUUUGUAAAUCAUAUUUUGAUACUUCAUCAGAAGUAUCUAUAAAGGUAUGGAUUUCAAGGUAGGCAAUGCAUCAAAGGGUUUCCAAGCAACUCCUAUAAACCUAAUGCAAAUUUCACUAGACUUAAAGUGUGCAAAAAUUAUUUAAAAACAUAAGGAAGGGGUAGCAUGCACCAGGGCUUGCCUAGAAUAAACACUAGGUUAGUGUUUGUUAGAUGGCGACCACUUGACGACCAUCCUUUUGUCUUGGCAUUUGUUCAGGCAGGUUCGUCCAUCAGCAUCACCAUGCGGAGUAGCUCGCGCUUGGGGUCGACUUGGCUUUGGUUCUCCGCAUCAUGUAGUCAACAAACGUACCUAAAUGAUUUGCAUAAUGCACAUGAAUGCAUAUAAGUAGGAAUAGCACAAAUCUAAAUAGUGCUACGCGAUAGCGAAUUAAACACCUAGUGACGAGGCGUUGUACUGUUUCAUACGGAAACACUAGUUAUCGACGUAUGACUAAGUGCAAUAGCUGUGCCUUUCUAGCUUAACCAAAUCCAAUUCAAACAUCAAGCAGCAAUGAAUAUGAAUACACACUAUGUUAUCCUUAGAUAAAGCAUAACAUCGAGAGUCUAACAAUAUUUAGACUCCUAUUAUUGGACACCCAGAGUGAUAGUAUGUGCAGGAACAAUUUAACUAAUCUUUUAAAUCAUGUUUCUAGAUUAAUUUGAAUUACAUACAAAUUAAAUAAACGCUAAACUUAUCCUUCACAUUAUUAAUUAUACCACAUCGCUCACAAAAGAACUAUUUUAAUUUUAUUUCACAACUCACAUAUUUAUUCAAUCCAUCUAACAAUACGACUACGAGAAUAACGAAUCAGCUUGCCAUACUAAAAUCGUACUUGAACCAUGAAAUCGAUGACACUUCCCAGUCCGCGCAUAACGCCAAAUACGUAACGAGCGACGUACUAGACUGCACUAUUCUACCCGAUCAAAUUUUAUUCUGGCACUAAUUCAGUACUGCGAUUUACGCGCACGUCACUGGCCCACGUUAACAGCGCAAGUAUACCAAACUAACGAGAAAUAUUAAAAUGAAAAGCGAGAGCGACGACAGCUCACCAAUAAUUUAAUCCAUCUUGAAGGCCAUGAGCAUAGCUACGAUUUCCGAUUCUGCUGGGAUUUGUUGCUUCAUCCAAACUCUCAGGAUUUUUUGACGACGCAAGGGAUGUUGACGAGUUAGAGGCUUCCAGGGUCGAGCACGAUAGGGGGCUUCGGAAAAUCGGCGUAGGUAGCACGCAAUUGGAAAACAUGUCAUCAGAGUCGACGAGCACGUCGUGGACACAACACGAAUUGACGACGAGGAGCAAGGGGUGUCACAGCACACAAAGGGCGACACGAAGAUGUUGGGCACCGACUAUGACAUGCGUGCAGAUUCCUGGGACUUGACGGCACGCAAAGCUAUCACCAGCGACGACACGACGAUGGCUUGACACGGAAGUGGACAACGACAACACCAAGGUUAGUGGCAAAGCGAGCGUGACGGUGUUUUAUCGAAUAUGCGGGAUGCGAGGCACGACAUCAACAACCGGAGGGGUGCAUAGCGUCGCAAUUGGGCUAUACAGGCGCAGCGAGGACACACAGGCUUGCGACCAAGGCGAACUCGGCGAGGGAACUUGACGCGCGCAGAGAAACAGCACGACGCAGUGGAGCAAGGACCAAGCACCAACGAGCAGGGAAAUUUCGUGCGUGCGGCGAGCAGAGAAGGAGGAACGCCAGCGAGUACCACGGAGCAGCGCGCGCGAUGAGGAUCCGAGCGUGAGGGAGCAGAGAGAUGGGCGCGUCUUGGCUGGAGAGAAGCGCUGGGAGCGAGCUGAACUGCUGGCAGGCGACCCGGAGCGCGGGGAGCAGGGAGCAUGGAGCCAGCGAGCCAGCAGGGGAAGACGCCAUGGGGGCGAGCUCAAGGCAUGGAGAUCUGGCGAGCUGAAGCUGCGCGCAGGAGCUGGGCACAAUGGAGGAAUCCAGGGUGCGGCUGAGAGCGGGGCCGAGCAGGGAGCCGGCAGCACGCUGGGAACCUAAGGAGCGCGCGAUGGCGGAGCCAAGCUACGCGCGGGGAGAGAGAGGAGCGGCUGGGCGCUCAGCAAGGGGGAGCGCCAGGGAGCAGGUGCGCCAGAAGAGAGAACGCGCAGGGGAGGAGGAACGCUUGGCGCUGAAAUAUCCCAGGAGAUUUGCAAUGCGGCCAGGAGAAGAUAAGGCCGCGUACACGAAGAAGAAGAUACAUGCGCAGAUGGAAAAACAUCAGGGUGUGGGCGGCGGGGAGAUAAGGCUGGGAGAUUUUUCUUCUUUUUUUAGAAAUUCACUGAUAUUUUUGAAUCGGGAUUUUUAGCGACGAUUAAAGAGUCGCCGCGCAAUACGGCAAACAGCUACACACUCUGUCUUUUGAAUCACGAAACCAAAAAAUCCGAGGUUUACGAUUCUGACUACAUUGCGUUUAGAUAGUUUUCGAGACUAUUUUGGGCAACACGCAAACGGAUUGGAUAUCAGAUACAUUAUUUGAGACAACCCUGGUUUGGUCGAAAUCAGAUAAAAAUUUAUCUGGCACCAAAACACAGUUGAUUUAAUUAUCCUACAAUGUGGGCUGAAGAAUAAAUUAGAUCAUACCUCGCGUACGGUUUUUCUUGGACAAUGCACGAUACAGAUUAUUUUGCCUCGAACAUUACAGUCGUCGAGUUCAAAUUAAUUUGCUCGGGAUAAAAUGCGUAAAAGCACAUCGAGCUUCCGAAUUCGUAUUCGCGCGAGCGAUGAAUUUUAAAUAAUCACCGGACGCACCAAUUUUCGGAACAACUAUGUUCCGAACAUCACGAAAAUUUAGGAAGAGCCCGAAUAGAUAAAAAUGAUGUUGAACUCGCGAUAGACGGAACAGAUUAAGAUAGAGAGGCUGUUAUUUAGUUCCGCCUAAUUUUUACGAUCCUCACCGGUAAUCGAUUAUUUGAUCUAAUGCCAACGAUCACAUGCUGAGAGGAACGAUUCACUUAAUCAGCUGGCGCAUCGUUCUGUUCGGACAGCGUGGGGCUCCAGAUUUUACGUAAAAUCAGAAGUUUUCUGAUUCUCGCAUUCACUUACGCGCGUGAUUCGAACAGUUCAAAAUUCGCCAGCGAAAGAUUCGAUAAUCCAAAAGCUUCAUGAACCCUUUUAGCUGUUUAGAUUAUCGAAAUGAAAACGGCACCAAACUCAAUAGAUUUUAAUUAGGCACAGGACUCACAAAUUUUUGGAACAAUUACGUUCCGAAUUUCGCGAAGAGUCUAAAUAGACAGAAACAGAUGCGAUAUUAAAAUCACGAUAGCGAAGAUGAUUAAAAUUUAGCAUCCGUUUUAUCAACUGAUAUUACGUGCUUAAAUCCAUACUCGUUGUUGAGCGGAAUGUAAACACCAGGGGUGUUACACUGAUUCACAGAUUAAACAUCGUCGUAUCACUCAGCAUCAAGAAGAUGAUGGUAUAUGGAGAUUCGCUAGUGGUCAUAAGCCAGAUAAACAAAACCUGGGAUUGCUCGACUGAUUCCAUGGGAAAGUACUGUACAGCCGUCCAUAAUUGGAGGACAAAUUCGACGGAUUGCAAUUCCAUCACGUGGAAAUAGACCGCAACGUGGCAGCAAACGCGUUGUUGAAGCUGGGAUCCAGUCGAGCCUAGGCUCCACCCGGGAUCUUCGUCCAAGAAGUAUCACUACCAAGUAUCCUCUCAGAUCAGAUGGAAGAGUGCAGCACCUUGAGCCAACCAGAAUCAGACCCCAAUGACUGGAGAGAGCCUAUCAUCAGGUACAUAAAAAAUGAAGAAGAACAGGAUGACAAGGCGGCAGCGGAACACAUCACAAGGCAGUUAGCCCACUACACCCUCAUAGGGGACACACUGUACAGAAGAGGUGUGACGGGAGUCCUCAUAAAAUGCAUUCACUCGGCUAUUGGGAAGCAACUGUUAGAUGAAAUCCAUGCCGGGCAGUGCGGAAUACAUGCAGCAUCCAGAACUUUGGUCGGGAAGGCUUUCAGAUCUGGUUUCUAUUGGCCAACAGCGAAGAGUGAUGCUGCCGAGUUAGUCCAAAGAUGUGAAGCUUGCCAAUUCUUAUCAAAGCAACAACAUUUACCUGCACAGCAACUGCAGACCAUUCCUGUAACAUGGCCAUUUGCAUGCUGGGGACUGGACAUGAUCGGACUAGAGAUGGCAAUGGGGCCCCAUUACCCGUUACUCGGCGGGUAAUUACUCCAUUAGGGGACGGAUUUGGUUGCAAAUUUGUACCCACGGGUCUUAUAACGGUAGAAAAAGAACACCCAACGGGUAGAGCGGGUUCGGGCAUGUAUUCGUUAAACCCAUACCCGUAUACCCGUGGGUAUAAAAUACCCAUAAUUUUAGCCUACCUAACCCAUUAAUUUGCCUAGGUGGCUAGGAGCCUAGGUCCAAGCGUCCGGUCGACUGGGAAUCCAAACGUCCAACAUGACUACACGAAGCCACAUGUAUCAGUCCACCAUGCCACCUUCGCUAGAGGCCUGAAUAUGGCGACACACUCGAGCUCCAUCGAUGAUAGCAACCGGUAACUUUUUUCCAUUUUUUUGUCCAUUCUGGUUCCAGAAUCCUCUACAGCCUUACUGAACUGCCAUUGCAAAGGGACUUCGACGACUCUGACCGAUGACCACCCCAGGUUUCCAAGGGCGCAGACUCGAACUCGCAAACUGAUGCUGGGGCUAGAGCUAGAUUCGUCCAAAAUGUCCCUAACCAUGGUAUGAGAAAGAGGGUGCCUAAGCCGAAGAAUCUUCUGUAUUGAUAUCAUCCUCAGGUUUCUACAAGUGAAGGGACUCCCUCUGCCUAUAACGUUCUUCAAUCAAUUGGGUAAAUAAAAUUCAGUUUAAGUAAAUAUACAUGUCGUCCAGAUUUAUGUUUUAUGUCGGAUAAAUAAAAUUCAGUUUAAGUAAAUAUACAUGAUGUCCAGAUUUGGUAUGUUUUUAUGUUGGAUAAAUAAAAUUUAGUUUAAGUAAAAUUUAGUUUAAGUAAUUUACAUGCUGUAAGGGUCUUCAGUUUAAUUAGAUUUUUGCCUAUAUUUGUAGGAUCAUAUUACAACUAGUUUAGAUUAUCUUUUUUCCUGUUCAUGAGUUGAUUAAGAAUUUGCUAUAGGAUGAAAUCACGGCCCGUUGAACUAGAUGGCAAGGAGGAUGUUCAAAUAGUAGAAGAUGAAGAUGAUACUGAAGUUGUUGACUCGGGUUCCAAGAGAAAGCUCGCUUCAGUUGUUUGGAAUGAGUUUACUAGAGUAAAAAUAAGAGGUGUAAUAAAGGCCAAGUGCAAUUAUUGUUUUAAGUAUCUUUCUAUAGGAGCAAACAUUGGAACUAUGCAUCUUCAUGACCAUUUGAAAAUUAGUACUUUGAAAAAGAUUAAGAUGGUUGGAAACAAGACACUUUCACAAUCUUCUUUAAGGUUUGGUUCCUCAAAAAUAGGGGCAAUUUCAGUCGAGAACUAUACAUUUGAUCAAGAGAUAGCUAGAAGCGAACUUCGCGCGAUGAUAGUUCUACAUGAGUAUCCACUGAGCAUGGUUGACCAUGCUGGUUUCCGAAGGUGUCGGGGACCAUAAUUAGGGGUACCCUCAAGACCCCUAAAUCUCAGCUGGUAACCCCCAUCAGCACAAAGCUGCAAAGGCCUGAUGGGUGCGAUUAAGUCAAGGAUCGGUCCAUUCAAGGGACACGAUCGUGCCUCGCCCGAGCCUAGCCUCGGGGAAGGGAAGCCGACCCCGGAGAACCUAUGUCUCGCCCGAGGACCCCCUCCAGCAACGGGCACACUAUCGGCUCGCCCGAGGCCCAGUCUUCACCGAGAAGCAACCUUGGCCACAUCGCCACGCCGACCGACCAAAUCGCAGGGGCAUUUAAUGCAAAGGUGGCCUGACACCUUUAUCCUGACGCACGCCCUCCAGUCGACAGAGCCGAAGUGACCGCAGUCACUUCGCCACUCUACUGACCGGUCUGACAAGAGGACAGCGCCGCCUGCUCCGCUCCGACUGCCGAGCCACCCGACAGAGUGAGGCUGACAGCAGCCAAGGCCGGCCUCGGGCAACAUAGGAAACUCCGCCUCGCCCGACCCUAGGGCUCGGACUCGGGCUCAGCCCCGGAAGACGGCGAACUCCGCUCCGCCCGACCUAGGGCUCGGACUCGGGCUCAGCCCCGGAAGACGGCGAACUCCGCUCCGCCCGACCCAGGGCUCGGACUCGGGCUCAGCCCCGGAAGACGGCGAACUCCGCUCCGCCCGACCCAGGGCUCGGACUCGGGCUCAGCCCCGGAAGACGACGAACUCCGCUUCGCCCGACCCCAGGGCUCUGACAUGGGCUCAACCUCGGAAGACGGCGAACUCCGCUCCGCCCGACCCAGGGCUCGGACUCGGGCUCAGCCCCGGAAGACGGCAAACUCCGCCUCACCCAACCCCAGGGCUCGGACAUGGGCUCAACCCCGGAAGACGAUGAACUCCGCCUCGCCCGACCCGGGGCUCGACCUCGACCUCGGAGGAGCCUCCACCUCGCCCAGCCUAGGGCACGGACCGACCACGUCAACAGGAAGCGCCAUCAUUACCCUACCCCAAGCUGACUCGGGCUACGGGGAAUCAGACCGGCGUCCCAUCUGGCUCGCUCCACCAUGCGAGUAAUGAUGGCGCCCUGCAUGCCCUGUGACGAUGGCAGCUCUCAGCCCCCUUACGGAAGCCAGAGGACGUCAUCAAGGACUCGACAGCCCCAACAGUUGUCCUCCCGCCAGGCUCCAGCACUCCUCCGAUGGCCACGACACCACGCGAACAGGGCGCCAAGACCUCUCCGGCUGCCACGAUGGCAUGUACUUAGGGCGCUAGCUCUCCACCGCUAGACACGUUAGAACAUUGCUACACUCCCCAUUGUACACCUGGAUCCUCUCCUUACGCCUAUAAAACGGAGGACCAGGGCCCUCUUACAGAGGGUUGGCCCGCGCGGAGAAGGACGGGACGGCGCUCGCGCAAGGCCGCUCGCUCCCACUCCCACGUGGACGCUUGUAUCCCCCUACUGCAAGCGCACCCGACUCAGGCGCGGGGCUAACACGAAGGCCGCGGGAUCCACUCUCUCACGCCUGCCUCCCUCCGGCUGCUUCCUUUCCCCCCUUCGCGUUCCGCCUCGCGUCGACCCAUCUGGGCUGGGGCACGCGGCGACAAUUCACUCGUCGGUCCAGGGACCCCCCGGGUUUCGAAACACCGACAGUUGGCGCGCCAGGUAGGGGCCUGCUGCGUGUUGACGAACAGCUUCCCGUCAAGCUCCAGAUGGGCAGUCUCCAGCAACCUUUCCGGCCCGAGACGGUGAUUUGUUUCGGGAAUCUUGAGUUCAUGUCCCUCGACGGCAGCUACGACAUGAUACUCCUUCCCCCGCCACGCGACAGCGACAAUGGCGGUCGACAACCCGCUCGCCGACGGGGAAAUCGACGACGCCUUCCCCACGUGGUGGAAGGACGACAUUCGGGCUUGUCCCGUCCCCUCCCCCGCCGACGGAGGAGGAGGCGGGGCAACCAAGGCCAAGCGGGAAGCGGCACCUCGUUGGCUGUCGAGCGAGUCGACGGCGCCGGCGCCCCAACGGAGGGCGCGUCGGGCAUCGAUCUCGCGUCUGAGACAAAGACGAGCGCCGCCUCCCCGCAACACGCCAAUCUCAAGCAAACGCACGACGCCAGCAUGCUCGCGAAGGACUUGCUGGGCGUCACCCUCGUACCUGAGACAACAGUGCAGUCAGUCCCAGACGCGACCUCGUCACCGCCCGUCGACCGAAAGGUACCGACCGAUUCCCAUCUCACGUCUUUUGGAUUCGGCCUCGACCCACCAAACGACUCCGCUUCGGUGAGCACUCUCAUAGAGGCGAGUCCAAACCCUCUGGGGUAUCGUGUGCGGUCACCCUGGGACCGACUGACGGCCGACUCGACCUACGAGCCCUCGGGGUCCGAGGAAGAUGGCGAGCCCGACCUCUGUUGGGAUUUCUCCGGACUUGGUAACCCCAGUGCCGUGCGGGACUUCAUGACCGCAUGUGACUACUGCCUUUCCGGCUGUUCCGACGGCAGCCGCGGCCUCAACAACGAGGACCGCGGCCCAAGUCGUGAAUGUUUCCACGUCGAUCUAGGGGGUCCCGGCGAAGGCAACCAUCUUGGUAUGCUGGAAAACGGUGAUCCCCCUAGGCCCGUGCCUCGCGUUGACAUCCUUCGGGAGCUAGCUGUGGUCCCCGUCCCGGCGGGGGGUCCUGACCCACAGCUCGAGCAAAUCCGCGAGAGGCAGGCCAGGCUCGACGAGGGAGCAGGAACGCUUGUGCCGAUCCGCCAGGACAUCGGGCAGGAAUGGGCGGUCCAUCCCCCGGCCGGAGAAGCGCGUCAUCUCCCCCAGGACAUCCCGCACCGCAUCGCCGACGACGUCAGGGUGAGGCUGCCGCCGGAUUCCAGUGGAGUCGGCCAGAACCUGGCUGCAGCGGCAAUACUCCUCCGCGCGAUGCCGGAUCCAUCAACCACCGAGGGGCGGCGUAUCCAGGGAGAGCUCAAGAAUCUCCUGGAGGACGCCGCGGUCCGACGGGCCGAAAGCUCUGCCUCCCGAAGGCAGGGGUCCCCCUCGGAACAUCGCGCCGUGACUUCCCGAUUCAUGCGGGAAGCCUCGGUCCACUCCGGGCGCACGCGCAACACAGCGCCUGCGGCCCCGGGUCGCCUCGGCAACGAGCGCCAUCAUCACAGCCGUCAGGCCCACCUCGACGACAGGGCACGCCGAGGCUACCACCCCAGGCGUGGGGGACGCUACGACAGUGGGGAGGAUCGGAGUCCUUCGCCCGAACCACCCGGUCCACAGGCUUUCAGCCGCGCCAUACGACGGGCACCGUUCCCGACCCGGUUCUGAACCCCGACUACUAUCACAAAGUACUCGAGGGAGACAAGACCGGAACUGUGGCUCGCGGACUGUAACACCCCUGGUGUUACUGUAACUAAAACUUGAGCAUGGCAUCAUAAGCAUUGGCAUUGCAUAUGUUUGACACACCUAGAGUGCAUUCACUAGGCAAAAUUUUCAAACAAGUUGUAUUGUUUAAGUGUUUUUGCAAAUAGAACCCUGGAUAGGAAACUUAACCCUAAAUAGGGAUUAAAGGGGUAAGACCUAACCCAAGAUGAGAAAACCUAAAGACUUUAGGGAAAGAGUCAUAAAAUAUCCCCAAAAACAAAGUUGAAUCACAUUUAUGCCCCUGGGAUACCAAAAACCCUAAUUGGAAUCCUGGAAAACCCUAAAACCAAACCCUAGGGACCUAUGAGCAAAAUUAGUCCACUUUUGGGACUACAGUGCAAAAACCAAGUCAAGUAAGUAUCUUAAGUCAUUUGGGCCACUUAUAUGUGAAUUCACAAGCCAAACCCUGAGUUUUGGACUUAAUUGCAAAAUAGACCUCCAUUGAGUUCUAUACUAAGUCUGAAAAACAGUGAUAUUGGCUCAACUUUGGGGCCCUGUAUCUUUUAAAAUAUAGGGUUUUUGCCCUAGGUCACCACAUAAAAACUAUAGAGCAAACUAAGGAGAACAACUUUGCUUAAGGUGGUAAGCAUGGUUGUUAAGAGUAUUUGAGAGAUAAUUAAGCUCAAAGUCGGGCUGUCAGUCCCUCCCUGAACUAAAUUUCCAGGAGCAGUGUGAUGGGAUGAACUUUGAGCUCGAUUUCGAAUGAGAUUCAGUGACUAUUUGAUAGUAAGCUUUGUGGCAAAGUUAAAGAUUAACUAUAGCUCUAUAACUUUGGUGUAGAGAGAUGACCAAGUCGUAAUGCAAAAUUUUGAGAAAAAUGGCCAUAAACCGUGGCUGUCAGGUGCAUUUGACUGAAUUUUCCCCAUGGUACAGUACACGGAUUAGGAUGCCAGCUCGGAUAGCUCAACGCCGGUGAUCCGCGUGACCGGAGUUGGGUUGGGCGACGAGAUUCGUGUCGCGGGGGAGUGGAUUUUGCUGAUCUUGGAAAGAUCUCCUUGCCGAUGGGUAUGAACUACUGUGGCCUCGCUGUCUUCACCUUUUACGCCGGCGACGUGGCUUCGUGGCCAUCGCCGGAGUUGCCAUUCUGCGCCGCGAUGGUGCCACGUUUCCAGCCGUUAAACACGUCGUCACUAGCCGCCCUAGCUCGACGAUGACCGCCGUAGCUUCUCAACCAGUAAGUGCCACUGUAAGCCGCGCCGAUGACUCACCCUGUCAUUCCGGCCGUCGCGCGUCCUCCUCAAAUUCGUGGCCACCGCUUUGCCCUUCUAUAAAUUGAGGGCCAGGCCGGUUGUGCCAUGUAAUCCGCAAGCUAUCGCACCCACUCUCAUCCCUGUUCGUUCACCGUAGCGCUGCAAUUUGGGUUUUCCCCCAAAUUGAAACUCCACGCCGCCGAGAUAGCCCUCCCGUGGCCAGGCGAACCUGGUAUGAUUCUGCGCCUUUGAAUCAUUGUUUUAGUAGCUCUGGGUACCCGUGGUGCUCAUCGUGGCAGCAAAUUGAUCUAUUCAGAUGAGAUCGACUGGGAACGUGAGCUCGACGCCCCGGUUUUCGCCCUGAGCGUGGGCAGAACACUUUCUUGGGGUGCCAUUUGAAAUUGAGGAUCGUUCUUAGGUCACCUUAGGUCCAUAAAGCCUCUCCGAUAGUUAGCUUGAACAAUCAUCGCCGGUCAUGGCCGGUACGAACCACGACAGGGAUGAACGGGGAGCGUGCCGUGACCAGGGAGGUGUUUGGAGAAGAAAUAGAAAGUCGGGGGCAUUUCUGUGAAGUGUCAACGACUAUUUUAAAUAGUGUUUGGAGUUCUUCAGGUUAUUCAAUACUGCAGGGGCUUGUUUGCAAAAUCGCCGGAGCGCGCGGGCGCACGCGCGCGCUUUCCUCUUUGAAUUGGGCCGCUGGGCUGAAAUCAGCCCAGUACUAUUCACUGGUUUCCUUUUUCUUUUAUUUCCAGAGCCAAAACAAUUAUAAAAAUGUAGAAAAAUGGUAAAAUUAUAAAACCAAUUUUCCUAGGUUUCUUAUUUUCCCUAGAAUUUAAUAAAAAUAGUUUUGUGAUUUUUAGGUUAAAUGAGGAAUUUUAAGGCAUUUAAAGUAGUUUAAGAUAGUAGUUCUGGAUUUUUAAAAGAUAAAUGGUAAUCCCAAAAAUGCUCAAAAUUUUUAUAUGAGUUCCUCAUAUUAUUUAGAAGCCUUGGGUAGAAUUUGGGUUGAUUUGGACCUUGUUUGAUCACCAAACCCUAAAACACCCCCCUGCCUUGUGAACUCCUUUACCGACUCUAGAAACUCUAAGUUCUCGGAGUUCCGUGAAGGAAAGUUGUAUUCAAGACUUAGAUAAUAAAUCUUUAUUGUCUUCGCACUCUCAUGAGCAUUACAUGACAUUCAUUCUUAUAUAUAUGUAUGGUUAUGUUAGAACACGAAGAAGAAGUGGAAGUCACCGAAGAAAGGACACCACACCCUCGGAUUCUCAAGCAGGCAACUGCUUCUACUUUGAUAUUUGUGGAUCCGAGCCAGACUCACCUGUUAACGAAGGCAAGCCCCGGUGCAUGCAACCCCUUUCCUUGUGUUUUUAAAUACUUUUCGCACACUUUAAGUCAAGUGAAAUGUGCAUUAGGUUCAUAGGAAUUGCUUGGAACCCUUUGAUGCAUUGCUUUCCUUGAUAUCCAUACCUUUAUUGAUACUUCUGGUGAAGUAUCAAAAUUUGAUUUACAAAAAUGCUUAGCCCUGCUUAGAUCUUGUGGAUAGAGGUUGUCUUUUGCAAUACUGCCUAGCUCAGGGGUUAUCCUAAGGAAAGAUGACUUCUACCUGCAAGAAUACUUUCAUUGAGAGCGUGGUGGGAUCUUACUGCAAAGUUCCCUGUGAUGCUCUUUUCAUCCUAAGGAACAGAAACAAUCCUAAGGAUGGAAGUACUUAAAUCGAAACUUGGGUUAGGAACAGGUGAUGUUCUACCCAGGUUGAUUAAGGAUUGAAUGCGUAUGUAGGCGUGCUGAUCGAGGACCCUUUAACUAGUCACAUGCCUCGUUAUGGGUAAGCCUUGCCUCGGGCAGACUAAGGCCAGAAUAAGAUAACACGAAAUGGGCGUGGAGCGGUGGCGGGAGUAGCGUGUACCCACCGUGGCAAGAGGCUGGUCGGUGGUGUAUCUGUGCUCUCGGUUUGCGUGAACCUGAUCUGGUCUUAAGAACCCCGGUGGCGGGUUGACAUAUGCAAGGGUUAAGUGCUACAUAUGUCAUGUGAUUGGAGAUCAUCAGCUGAGUAUAAUCGAUUCGGAUCGCCGUACCUUCGCGGUUAUGAAGACUUGGUCACUUCCCUACAACCUAAGUCAAGAUGUGAACUUCGUGAACAAAAAUGAUGUUGUACUGAUGAAAUGAUGAAAUUAGACUAGAAGCAAACAGAGUCUAUUAAUACCUAAUCCGACGUUAAAAUGUUGAAAGUAAGGACUCACUUUAGUAAGCUAUUUCUGCAAAAGUAUCUAAGUUGAUUUUUGCUAAAGCCUCUUCUUGAUUCCUAUUUAUCCAGCAUACCCUUGAGAGUCUUUUCCUUAGUCGGGUAAGACUUGCUGAGUAAUUCCAUACUCAGGGUUUAUCCCUCCGUUGUUUUUAGGUGAGGAAGCGACAAACCUUUGUUGCUUUUGCUCCAAGGUGGUUCCUAAUGAAGAUAAGCAAGACUGAAGUACGGGAGGAAAGGAUCCUCCAUUAGGACUUUUUGUGUGAUAACUGUCGGGAGGAGUUUUUGCCUCCCUUGGUAUGUGUAAUAAUAUUAUUCGGCACUCGAUAUAUAGUUCUGGUCUGUAAUAAACAACUUGAUCUUACUUUUUAAUAAAUGUAAACUUAUGUAAUCGCUUCCGCAUAUCUAUAUCUCCGAUGUUCUGUAAUGUCUGCAAGACGGGUGAGACGUUCCUGGAAAGGUAAGGAAAGAUACCGAGCUUGUCGAGUAGUUCAGGGUCACAUACAGGGUUGUCUGAGGUCCGUUGGACAAGGACAACUGUAGGUGGGCCUAAUUACUUGGGAGGUUCCGUCACACGGACUAUCGGCUGGCCUGCCAACUGGGUGGAACGGACGAUGAUAACCUCAUCAUCCGCAACCUCCCCCUGUUCCUCUCCGACACCGCUCGAGCCUGGCUGGAGCACCUGCCCCUGGGGCAGAUCUCCAACUGGGACGACCUGGUCCAAGCCUUCGCCGGCAAUUUCUAGGGCACGUACGUGCGCCCUGGGAACUCCUGGGAUCUCCGAAGCUGCCGCCAGCAGCCGGGAGAGUCUCUCCGGGACUACAUCCGGCGAUUCUCGAAGCAGCGCACAGAGCUGCCCAACGUCACCGAUUCAGAUGUCAUCGGCGCGUUCCUUGCCGGCACCACCUGCCGCGACCUGGUGAGCAAGCUGGGUCGCAAGACCCCCACCAGGGCGAGCGAGCUGAUGGACAUCGCCACCAAGUUCGCCUCUGGCCAGGAGGCGGUUGAGGCCAUUUUCCGGAAGGACAAGCAGCCCCAGGGCCGCCCACCGGAAGAUGUUCCCGAGGCUUCAACUCAGCGCGGCGCCAAGAAGAAGGGCAAGAAGAAGUCGCAAGCGAAACGCGACGCCGCCGACGUGGACCUUGUCGCCGCCGCCGAGUACAAGAACCCUCGGAAACCUCCCGGAGGUGCCAACCUCUUCGACAAGAUGCUCAAGGAGCCGUGCCCCUAUCAUCAGGGGCCCGUCAAGCACACCCUUGAGGAGUGUGCCAUGCUUCGACGACACUUCCACAAGGCCGGGCCACCCGCGGAGGGUGGCAAGGCCCUCGACGACGCAAAGGAGGAAGAUCACAAGGCAGGAGGGUUCCCCGAGGUCCGCGACUGCUUCAUGAUCUACGGCGGGCAAGUGGUGAACGCCUUGGCUCGGCACCGCAAGCAAGAGCGUCGGGAGGUCUGCUCGGUAAAGGUGGCGGCGCCAGUCUACCUAGACUGGUCCGACAAUCCCAUCACCUUCGAUCAGGCCGACCAUCCAGACUACGUGCCGAGCCCGGGGAGAUACCCACUCGUUGUCGACCCCAUCAUCGGCAACGUCAGGCUCACCAAGGUCCUCAUGGACGGAGGCAGCGGCCUCAACAUCAUCUACGCCGAGACCCUUGGGCUUCUGCGGAUCGAUCUGUCCUCGGUCCGGACGGGCGCUGCGCCUUUCCACGGGAUCGUCCUCGGGAAGCGCGUUCAACCCCUUGGACAACUUGACCUACACGUCUGCUUCGGGACGCCCUCCAACUUUCGAAAGGAGACCCUCACGUUCGAAGUGGUCAGGUUUCGAGGAACCUACCACGCAGUGCUGGGGAGGCCAUGCUACGCCAAGUUCAUGGCUGUCCCCAACUACACCUACCUCAAGCUCAAGAUGUCGGGCCCCAACAGGGUCAUCACCGUCGGGCCCACGUACCGACACGCGUACGAAUGCGAUGUGGAGUGCGUGGAGUACGCCGAGGCCCUCGCCGAAUCCGAGGCCCUCAUCGCCGACCUGGAGAGCCUCUCUAGGGAGGCGCCCGACGUGAAGCGCCACGCCGGCAACUUCGAACCAGCGGAGACGGCCAAGUCCAUCCCUCUCGACCCCCGCAACGACGCCUCCAAGCAGAUCCGGAUUGGUUUCGAGCUCGACCCCAAAUAGGAAGCAAUGCUCAUCGACUUUCUCCGCACGAAUGCCGACGUUUUCGCGUGGAGUCCCUCGGACAUGCCCGGCAUACCGAGGGAAGUCGCCGAGCACUCUCUGGAUAUCCGAGCUGGGGCCCGACCCGUGAAGCAACCUCUGCGCCGAUUCGACGAAGAAAAGUGCAGGGCCAUAGGCGAGGAGAUCCACAAGCUACUGGCGGCAGGGUUCAUCAAAGAGGUAUUCCAUCCCGAAUGGCUUGUCAACCCUGUGCUUGUGAGAAAGAAAGGGGGAAAUGGCGGAUGUGUGUAGACUACACUGGUCUAAACAAAGCAUGUCCGAAAGUUCCCUACCCUCUGCCUUGCAUCGAUCAGAUCGUGGAUUCCACUGCUGGGUGCGAAACCCUGUCUUUCCUUGAUGCCUACUCAGGGUAUCACCAGAUCAGGAUGAAAGAGUCUGACCAGCUCGCGACUUCAUUCAUCACACCCUUCGGCAUGUACUGCUAUGUUACAAUGCCGUUUGGUUUGAGGAAUGCGGGGGCAACGUACCAGUGAUGCAUGAACCAUGUGUUUGGCGAACACAUCGGCCGAACGGUCGAUAGUCAAGACGAGGAAGGCCUCCGACCUCCUUUCCGACCUUGAAGCGACAUUCCGAUGUCUCAAGGCGAAAGGCGUGAAGCUUAAUCCCGAAAAGUGUGUCUUCGGGGUCCCCCGAGGCAUGCUCUUGGGGUUCAUCGUCUCCGAGCAGGGCAUCGAAGCUAACCCGGAGAAGAUUGCAGCCAUCACCAGCAUGGGGCCAAUCAAGGACUUGAAAGACGUACAGAGGGUCAUGGGAUGUCUUGCGGCUCUGAGCCGCUUCAUCUCGCGCCUCGGCGAAAGAGGUCUGCCUCUGUACCGCCUCUUAAGGAAGACCGAGUGCUUCGCUUGGACUCCCGAGGCCGAGGAAGCCCUCGGGAACCUGAAGGCGCUCCUCACGAACGCGCCCAUCUUGGUGCCCCCCGCUGCCGGAGAAGCCCUCUUGAUCUACGUCGCCGCAACCACCCAGGUGGUUAGCGCCGCGAUUGUGGUUGAGAGACGAGAAGAAGGGCAUGCAUUGCCCGUCCAGAGGCCAGUCUACUUCAUCAGUGAGGUACUGUCCGAGACCAAGAUCCGCUACCCACAAAUCCAGAAGCUGCUGUACACGGUGAUCCUAACACGGCGGAAGUUGCGACACUACUUCGAGUCUCAUCCGGUGACUGUGGUGUCAUCCUUCCCCCUGGGAGAGAUCAUCCAGUCCCGAGAGGCCUCGGGUAGAAUUGUGAAGUGGGCGGUGGAGAUCAUGGGCGAGACGAUCUCGCUCACCCCUCGGAAGGCCAUCAAGUCCCAGGUCUUGGCGGACUUCGUGGCUGAAUGGGCCGACACCCAACUCCCGACGGCUCCGAUCCAACCAGAGCUCUGAACCAUGUUUUUCGACGGGUCGCUGAUGAAGAUGGGGGCCGGCGCAGGCCUCCUCUUCGUCUCGCCCCUCAGGAAGCACCUACGCUACGUGCUACGCCUCCACUUCCCAGCGUCCAACAAUGUGGCAGAGUACGAGGCUCUGGUAAACGGGUUGCGAAUCGCCAUCUAGCUAGGGGUCCGACGCCUCGAUGCUCGCGGUGACUCGCAGCUCGUCAUCGACCAAGUCAUGAAGAACUCCCACUGCCGUGACCCGAAGAUGGAAGCCUACUGCGAUGAGGUUCGGCGCCUGGAAGACAAGUUCUACGGGCUCGAGCUCAACCACAUCGCCCGACGCUACAAUGAGACUGCGGACGAGCUGGCUAAAAUAGCCUCGGGACGAACAACAGUUCCCCCGGACGUAUUCUCCCGAGACCUGCAUCAACCCUCCGUCAAGACCGAGGACACGCCCGAGCCCGAGGCACCUUUGGCUCCGCCCGAGGCACCUUCGGCUGAGUCCAAGGUAUCCUCGGCUCAGUCCGAGGUACCCUCGGCCCAGUCUGAGGUACCCUCGGCACGAUCCGAGGUACCCUCGGCUCAGCCCGAGGUACCCUCGGCCCCCGAGGGUGAGGCACUGCGUGUCGAGGGGGAACAGAGCGAGGUCACGCCUAAUCAAAGCUGGCAGACCCCGUACCUGCAAUAUCUCCACCGAGGAGAGCUGCCCCUCGACCAAGCCAAAGCUCGGCGGUUGGCGCGGCGCGCCAAGUCUUUCGUCUUGCUGGGAGAUGGGAAGGAGCUCUACCAUCGCAGCCCCUCAGGCAUCCUCCAGCGAUGCAUUUCCAUCGCCGAAGGCCAGGAGCUCUUGCAAGAGAUACACUCGGGGGCUUGCGGCCAUCACGCAGCACCUCGAACCCUCAUUGGAAACGCCUUCCGACAAGGAUUCUACUGGCCGACGCUACUAGAAUUGUCCGCACCUGCGAAGGGUGUCAGUUCUAUGCGAGGCAGACCCACCUGCCCGCUCGGGCUCUGCAGACCAUACCCAUCACCUGGCCGUUUGCUGUGUGGGGUCUGGACCUCGUUGGCCCCUUGCAAAAGGCACCCGGGGGCUACACGCACCUGUUGGUCGCCAUCGACAAAUUCUCCAAGUGGAUCGAGGUCCGACCCCUAAACAGCAUCAGGUCCGAACAGGCGGUGGCGUUCUUCACCAACAUCAUCCAUCGCUUUGGGGUCCCGAACUCCAUCAUCACCGACAACGGUACCUAGUUCACCGACAGAAAGUUCCUGGACUUCUGCGAGGAUCACCACAUCCGGGUGGACUGGGCUGCCGUGGCUCACCCCAUGACGAAUGGGCAAGUGGAGCGGGCUAACAGCAUGAUCCUGCAAGGACUCAAGCCUCGGAUCUACAACGACCUCAACAAGUUCGGCAAGCGGUGGAUGAAGAAACUCCCCUCGGUGGUCUGGAGUCUGAGAACAACGCCGAGCCGAGCCACGGGCUUCACACCGUUCUUUCUAGUCUAUGGGGCCGAGGCCAUCUUGCCCACAGACUUGGAAUAUGGUUCCCCGAGGGCGAGGGCCUACACCGACCAAAGCAACCGAGCCAACCGAGAAGACUCACUGGACCAGCUGGAGGAGGCUCGGGACAUGGCCUUACUACACUCGGCGCGGUACCAGCAGUCCCUGCGAUGCUACCACGCUCGAGGGGUUCGGUCCCGAGACCUCCAGGUGGGCGACCUGGUGCUUCGGCUGCGACAAGACGCCCGAGGGCGGCACAAACUCAUGCCUCCCUGGGAAGGGUCGUUCGUCAUCGCCAAGGUUCUGAAGCCCGGAACGUACAAGCUGGCCAACAGCCAAGGCGAGGUCUACAGCAACGCUUGGAACAUCCAACAACUACGUUGCUUCUACCCUUAAGAUGCUUUCAAGUUGCUCGUAUACCUCGUUCACACACCAAGUCUGGUCGUCAAGGAAGGGUCAGCCUUGCCUCGGCAAAGCCCGACCCUCCCUCGGGGGCUAGAAGGGGGCAACCCCCUCUGCGUCAAAAUUUUCCUCGAAAAAAGAAAAAAAUCUUUUCUGCCAGAAUGCCUUUCGUGCUCUUCGAUUACUCCAAAAGUGGAUCCUGAAAACGACAGAGUACACGUAAGCAGCCAAGGCUGACCGAGCCGAGGGACUCCUACGCCUCCGGGAUACGGAUACCUCACUCAUCACCUUCUGCGAUAAGUAACUCGCGCUCGGAUAAGUGACUCCACGGACCGAACAAGUCUUCAUGCUCGAGAGCUCCUCUGCCGAAAUGAUUUUUCGGGCCUUCUUGACUGCGUCGGUAACAGAACCCUAUGGACGAGUAAGAGCGCGCGUAAGCAGCAAGGCCGACCGAGCCGAGGGAUUCCUAUGCCUCCGGGAUAUGGAUACCUCACUCAUCGCCUUCUGUGAAAAGCAACUCUCGCCUGCACAAACAAUUCUGUUGCCAACAAAUGAGUCCGGAUACUCGAAACAAGAGGAAAAGAAACGCAACUUUACAACACGACGACGGUGUGUUUAGGCCUCGGCGGCCGCAGAAAACAUACACACACUACAAGACAACGUGAUCCUGCAGGCUCGGACGUCGACAGCCGAAGGGGGCAGCAGCACCCUCGACAUCAACUACACCUUCGACGGGGUCUGACCUAGCCUCGGACGGCGACGUGGUCGGAGGGCCCCCACUCUGAAGGACGACAUCAGCACCACACCCGGGCCAUCGCCGCCAGGGUCUUCUUCGAGAAUCCGGCCCGAGCAGGUGGCUCGGCCGGCCACCUCGAGGCCUCGGCCAGCUGUCCCCCAAAGACAUCAGCUCAGCUUGUGGCCUCGGCAGCUCAACUUCGGCGUCGGUUCCACCAGUGGACGACCCGGCCAGGCUCUGGCCAACCACACCUCCUUUUCGAAGCCAACUCUGCCUUCGUCCGUGUCCGUACUGACACCGCUACCUCCGGCUUCGGCUCAUCGAAGGGCGGCCGAGGGGUUCCUUUAACUAAGCAAGAGGGGCCUCGGACAGCAAGGCCGACCGAGCCGAGGGACUCCUACUCCUCUGGGAUACGGAUACCUCACUCGUCACCUUUGCACGAGGCAACUCACGCUCGGUGAAGCGGUUCAGAUAAUCGACAAGGCGAGUCUCAGUGCUCGAAAUGAAGAAAAAACACGGCUCCGUGCCGAAAAUACAUACACGUUCAGGCCUCGACAGCCGCAUUGAAAAAAACACCGGCACUUAAGGUGCCUUUACAAACGGAACUCUGGUUCCACCUCCGCAGGUACGAAUAACCCCACGCGAUUGGGGGGGGGCCUGCGGAGCAACAGAAGACCGACGAACGGCUCGUCGUCGCCCGCCCCGGCAGCGGCAACGACGACGACUUCUGCUCUGGAGGGCCGAACAGCAGCAGCGAUGACCUCAGGGCAGAUGCUGCUGCCAUGAGGCCCUCGCCCAUGCCCCCAACUCGAGAGGCAAGGACGGACAGAAGGCCGUAGAGUUGGAGGUCAGUCCGUGGGUGGCGCCGGCUAGCUCGUCGGCGGCGGAACCUCUUCCAGCUGCCGUGGCGGAAGGCAGCACCAGGAGCGGCUCCGAAGCCGCUCGGCUCAGAGAGCCGGGCACGCGGCAGCUGCCCAUGCCACGAACGGCGGACGCCCUUCCCCCCGAUCACUGAGGGGAGGACGGGCCGCCGCCCGCACCGGGACCGACCCCAACUCGGCACACUCCCCUCCCCAGCACUGAUGAUGAACAUCCUUGAAGCUCAGGGAGGGGCAGAGGCCGCAGCCCGGCUCGCUUCUCCCUGCCAUCAAGUUGGAGGUCACCGUCUUGGGUGACCACCGGCGAGGGGAUGCAGCCGGGCUGCAUGAUGAAAAUCCUUGAAGCCGAAUGAUGGCUGAAAGGUACCAACUUCCACGAAGUUGCGUUCCUCCGACGACAAGGUGGAAGGAUUGCGGGCGUCCCCCAUCCGGGGGGCUCGGAAGGUGGAAAGGCACGAUGCAUGAAGGGAGCGCGAAGACAUGGUUGCCCUCCAAGGGGGUCGCCCCCCUUUUAAAGGCGACUCUCCCCACUUGCGCCCUCAACCGUUGCGGGUUGAGUCUUCUCCAACACGCUCCAAGAUUCUCCCCCCCCCCCCACGGCGCGGGGGCUGGGUCCCACACGUCAUGCAAGCCGGUCCAGGGGAGAAGAAGCCAAACCGCCACGCGCGCGGUGCAUGCAACCACCCGGCGGUUACAAGCACUCCUCCACUUUCGCCCAGACCAGCGGGUGAAAGGGCAGACAGCCAUGCAGGCGGCAUGCAACCGUGCCAAGUGGGCGUGCCCCUUCAACUCCAACGCGCCCAGCAUGGAGGUCCAGGCCCACGCGUCAUGCAACCGGCAUGCCGGUUGCUACAUGCGAGCAACUGCACCGCCACUCGCGCCACUACUGCGCCUCCUCGACUGUGGAGUCAAUACCGCGACUCGAGGCAACCCUGCAGUGCCAGCCAAGCGCGACGGUCAAAUGCGGUCAAAAAUGGGCCGGCAGUAAUGGCGGUGAUAGGCGGGCAGGAGCAGCGGUCACGUCGUCAGCCAAGCUUACGUCCCAUCCAGGGGCAGCGAGGGAGCCCUCUCUCACGGCGUGAAGACGGUGCGCCCGUGAUCCGUUCCUCGAACGGCUCGCACACGCGCAACGACCGCCUCGCGAACCGCUCGCCCCGUCGCAUUAACUCCGCGGCAGGACAGGCGGCGCCUCAGGCGGGAGAAGCAAGCGACGCUUCGCCUUCGCCAUAAUAACCGCGUAAAAAAAAAGGUACGCCACAUCAUUCGACUUCGUAUCCUUUUCCUUUUCCUCUUUCUCUCUCUUACAACAGGGACCGAAAAAGGGGGAUACCCCGAGAAGGACCCUUCUCCGCGAAGGAAACAGGCUCCGAGCCUCCCUACUGAUCAGAGGUUUGAAGGCUGGCCCCUCGGAGGGGUUCAACGGCCGCCUCAGAUCGAUUGGGUUCUACGCCCACUACUGGUCAGAGGUUCGAUGGCUGGCCCCUCGAAGGGUUCAACGGCCGCCUCAGGCCACUCGGGCUCCGCGCCCAUUACUGAUCAGGGGUUCGUAGGCUGGCCCUCGAAGGGUUCACAGUCGCCUCAGACACAAAGCGAGGGAUGACCCUGGGUACGUUCGAUACAUAACCAAGGCUCGAGCUACGCUCCCGAGGUACCCUAGGACAUUUCCGAGACCAGCGGGAGCGAUCUUGUAACGGAAUCCCAUCAGAGGGAGGCAUCAAUCCCUCGGACCCCGUCAAAGGGGACCGGGUCCGGCAGAUCACUCGUAGGUACUUUUGGAGCGCGCCUCCGGGCCUCUAGCCGACCCCUAGCAAAUGGGGCACGGGCGUCCGCUCGGAUUACCCGCCAGCAGCUCACCGGAAACACCAUGUCCGGCGCCCUCCGAGGGCAACAUGGCGCUUUCCCCCUCCUCCUUGCGGAAAGGCGACGCAGAGGCAUAUGUAAAAAAGACGAGUCUGUCCUUGACCGUCCUCUCGCCCUGUGCAGAGGCUCGGGGGCUGCUCUCGCAAACCAGGCUCCGGCCAAACCGUUGAUAGCGUCAACAUACCAGCCCGAGAACUUGGGACCCGACCGUGCACUCGGGCUACGGCCAGCUCGCAUGAGGGAACAACUAGACCAGCCGAAGCGUUGCGAAACGCACUAAGACCUCGAAGGAGUAAAACUACUCCUCCGAGGCCUCGGGGGCUACACCCGGCGGGUGCGCUCGCGCGCACCCACCGGAACAGAAUGCAACCGAAAAAAGGCUGGUCCCCUUGCAAAAAAGUGCGGCAAAAGCCUCCAAGCGAGUAUUAGUACUCCCUUGGAGGCUCGGGGGCUACUGUCGGGGACCAUAAUUAGGGGUACCCUCAAGACCCCUAAAUCUCAGCUGGUAACCCCCAUCAGCACAAAGCUGCAAAGGCCUGAUGGGUGCGAUUAAGUCAAGGAUCGGUCCAUUCAAGGGACAUGAUCGUGCCUCGCCCGAGCCUAGUCUCGCGCAAGGGAAGCCGACCCCGGAGAACCUACGUCUCGCCCGAGGACCCCCCUCCAGCAACGGGCACACUAUCGGCUCGCCCGAGGCCCAGUCUUCACCGAGAAGCAACCUUGGCCACAUCGCCACGCCGACCGACCAAAUCGCAGGGGCAUUUAAUGCAAAGGUGGCCUGACACCUUUAUCCUGACGCACGCCCUCCAGUCGACAGAGCCAAAGUGACCGCAGUCACUUCGCCGCUCUACUGACCGGUCUGACAAGAGCACAGCGCCGCCUGCGCCGCUCCAACUGCUGAGCCACCCGACAGAGUGAGGCUGACAGCAGCCAAGGCCAGCCUCGGGCGACAUAGGAAACUCCGCCUCGCCCGACCCCAGGGCUCGAACUCGGGCUCAGCCCCGGAAGACGGCGAACUCCGCUCCGCCCGACCCAGGGCUCGGACUCGGGCUCAGCCCUGGAAGACGGCGAACUCUGCUCCUCCCGACCCAGGGCUCGGACUCGGGCUCAGCCCCGGAAGACGGCGAACUCCGCUCCGCCCGACCCAGGGCUCGGACUCGGGCUCAGCCCCAGAAGACGGCGAACUCCGCUUCGCCCGACCCUAGGGCUCGGACAUGGGCUCAACCCCGGAAGACGGCGAACUCCGCUCCGCCCGACCUAGGGCUCGGACUCGGGCUCAGCCCCAGAAGACGGCGAACUCCACCUCGCCCGACCCCAGGGCUCGGACAUGGGCUCAACCCCGGAAGACGACGAACUCCGCCUCGCCCGACCCGGGGGCUUGACCUCGACCUCGACCUCGACCUCGGAGGAGCCUCCACCUCGCCCAGCCUAGGGCACAGACCGACCACGUCAACAGGAAGCGCCAUCAUUACCCUACCCCGAGCUGACUCGGGCUACGGGGAACCAGACCAGCGUCCCAUCUGGCUCGCUCCACCAUGCGAGUAAUGAUGGCGCCCCGCAUGCCCUGUGACGACGGCGGCUCUCAGCCCCCUUACGAAAGCAAGAGGACGUCAGCAAGGACUCGACAGCCCCAACAGCUGUCCUCCCGCCAGGCUCCAGCACUCCUCCGACGGCCACGACACCACGCGAACUGGGCGCCAAGACCUCUCCGGCUGCCACGAUGGCAUGUACUUAGGGCGCUAGCUCUCCACCGCUAGACACGUUAGCACAUUGCUACACUCCCCAUUGUACACCUGGAUCCUCUCCUUACGCCUAUAAAAGGGAGGACCAGGGCCCUCUUACAGAGGGUUGGCCCGCGCGGAGAAGGACGGGACGGCGCUCGCGCAAGGCCGCUCGCUCCCACUCCCGCGUGGACGCUUGUAUCCCCCUACUGCAAGCGCACCCGACUCAGGCGCGGGGCUAACACGAAGGCCGCGGGAUCCACUCUCUCACGCCUGCCUCCCUCCGGCUGCUUCCUUUCCCCCCUUCGCGUUCCGCCUCGCGUCGACCCAUCUGGGCUGGGGCACGCGGCGACAAUUCACUCGUCGGUCCAGGGACCCCCCGGGUUUCGAAACACCGACAGAAGGUUUGUCAGUGCUCUUCAGCCACUGUUCAAGAUUGGGACUAGGAACACAAUAAGGUAUACAACUUUCUUAUUUACAUAAAAAAUUUAUGACACUAUACUUUGUUGUAGUGUAAUGUAUUUCUUUAUUUAUUUUAGAAAGGAUAUUUUGAUGCAAUAUGAAGCAGAGAAGAAGAAAGCCAUUGAAUAUAUGGCUGCAAUUAAUUCUAGAGUGGCUAUUACUACUGAUUUAUGGACUUCUGAUAACCAGAAGAGAGGAUAUAUGGCCAUCACUGCCCACUUCAUUGAUGAAUCUUGGACUCUUAGAAGCAUUAUCAUGAGGUACUUAAUGUGACAUCUAGUUCACUAUUCACAUAUAUGUUUAUUGAGUAACAUAUUGUUCGCUAUUCACAUAUAGGUUCAUUUAUGUUCCUGCCCCUCAUACUACUGAUGUCAUAUGUGAAGAACUCUAUGAAUCUUUGGUUGACUAGAAUCUUGAUGAGAAGAUAUCCACAGUUACUCUUGAUAAUUGCACUACGAAUGAUGCUGUUAUUCCAGCUCUUGUAAGAAGAAUCGGCAAAACUAAGCUUCUGAAUGAUGGCAAGGUACUACACAUGCGUUGUUGUGCUCAUAUUCUCAAUCUGAUUGUUAAAGAUGGAUUAGAGCUGUUGAAAAAGACUAUUGAGAAUAUUCGUGAAAGUGUAGCUAAGUUUGUUAAAGUUAAUAUGAAAAAGAAGAUCAAUCUUGAUUGCAAGCCUCGAUGGAACUCCACAUUCAACAUGAUUAACAUUGUAUUGCCUUACAAGGAUGUUUUCUUAAGAGCUAGCCAUGUUGAUAAACAAUAUACUUGCUUGCCUAGUGAAGAAGAAUGGAAUUUUAUAGCUGAUGUAGUAGAAAGGCUUUGCAUGUUUAAUGACAUAACAGAAUUAUUCUCUGGAACUCAAUAUGUCACUGCAAACAUUUAUUCCAUGAAGAUCUGUGAGAUUAGAGUGAAAAUUAGACAAUGGUCAACCCGUGGUAAUCCAUUAGUACAAACCAUGUCAUCUAAUAUGAUUGCCAAGUUUGACAAGUACUAGUCUGAUAUUCAAGGACUAAUGGGUAUUGCAACUGUUCUUGAUCCUUGACUCAAAAUUUUAAGCUUGCUGAUGUGUUUUGAAUGGUUACUUGGUAUGACUGGACAAGUGUGUGAGGAUAAAGUUGGUAUACUCAUGGAUUUGCUACGUGAUCUAAUGCACGAUUACCAUGUGUAUGUGGAAGAGGUUGAAGAUACCACUAAUUCAUCAGCAACUUCUAUCAAUAACAUGGAGUUCUUAUCUUCCUUCAGUGCACAUGUGGCAAGUGCAAGGCCAGAAUCUUUGAUGUUUAAAUCUGAGCUAGAUCGGUAUUUAGAGGAUGGACUAGUCCCAUUUGAUACUAAAGGUUUUAAUGUUUUAGAUUGGUGGAAGGUGGCUGGAACUCGUUAUCAUACUUCAAGACGGAUAGCUAGGGAUAUUUAUGCAAUUCCUGUGACUACAGUUGCAUCUGAAGCUGCUUUCAGCACAAGUGGAAGAGUUCUUAGUGAGCAUCGCAGCAGGCUCACUCCUCACUCCUCAGGUGUUGGAGGCUUUAAUGUGCUCGCAAGAUUGGUUUCGUAACAAGUACAAAGGUAUAUGUAUUACUAUUACCAAUACCAAAUGUGAGUUUUCUUACUUUAACUAUAACUGAUUCUACAUAUUCUUUUGUAGUUGAUGACACAGACAUAAAAACUGCUACAUUUUGGUCUUGUCUCCAAGAUAUUCAAGAAGCAUGCAUUCAAGAGCUUGAAAGCUAAUCCAUCGAGAUUCAAAUAGAAGCCAUCUUUCAGCAAGUGAACAUUUCAGUUUUUGAUGCAUGUAUAUACCGUGGAACAUGUAAACAUGCAUUUUUAUUGUAUUAGUAUUGUAGAUUUUGGUGUGCUGAAAGAAUGCACUAACAUAUAUUAUUAUUGGUUCAACAAUGACUAUCUCUGAAAAUAUAUAUUAAAAUCGAAUACUAUUCGUAUCUGUUAUGUUUGUGCAUUUUUAUUAUAAGGUAUGGGUACCCAUCGGGUAUAGAAUACCCACACGGGUAUGGGUAUGGGUGUGCAUUUAUACCCGUGCACGGGUACGGGUAUUGGACUGGGGAGUUUUUAGUCUGAUGAGGCUAGGUCUGGUGUAGCAAAACCCGGUAGGUCUUCACCCGUUGCCAUCUCUAGAUCGGACCUUUCAAGAAAGCUCAGGGAGGCUAUACUCACGUGCUGGUUGCCAUUGACAAAUUCACAAAAUGGAUAGAGUACAAGCCCAUUGCCUCUUUGACCUCAGCCAAGGCAGUGGAAUUCAUACAAGACAUAAUAUUCAAGUUUGGGAUACCAAAUAGCAUCAUUACCGACCUGGGAUCCAACUUCACCAGCUCUGAAUUCUUUGACUUCUGUGAGCAGCGGAGCAUCCAGAUUAAGUAUGCAUCAGUAGCGUAUCCAAGAGCCAAUGGCCAAGUAGAAAGAGCCAAUGGGGUGAUACUGUAAGCACUCAGGAAGAAAGUAUUUGAUAAGAAUGAAAAACUUGCAGGAAAAUGGAUCAGAGAGCUACCAUACGUGGUUUGGAGCCUGAGAACUCAACCCAGUCGAGCUCUGCAUGGAAAUACCCUGUUCUUCAUGGUUUAUGGGUCAGAGGCAGUGCUGCCCGCCAACGUAAUAUUCGGGGCGCCGAGGUUGGCUUUCGAAAGCAUAGCUGAAGCAGAAGCUACCAGGCUAGAAGAUAUUGAUGUGCUGGAGGAAGAACGGUUGAACAUAGUAAUUCAGUCGGCUAGGUACCAGCAGACCUUGAGGCGCUAUCAUGAUAAAGUCGUGUGACACCGGUCCUUUGUUGUGGGAGACUUGGUCCUUCGCCGAAUUCUAACGGGGGAAGGACGGCACAAGCUAUCACCACUAUGGGAAGGGCCAUUCAUCAUAUCAGAGAUCACUCGGCCAUGAUCAUACCGGCUUACUCAAAUGGAUGGCACGGAAGUUGGGAACUCAUGGAACAUAGAGCACCUCAGAAAGUUCUAUCCCUAGCGAGGCCUCAAAAAUUCUCGAAGAAACUUUGUACUUUGUAAUCUGGGGACUUCAUCAUCAAGAAAGUUUUCGUUUUCAAAGGCAUUCAGACUCUUGACUUUCAGCUAACUUCGAUUGGAUUGGACUUGAAAUCAGCGCGCUUACUCGACUUAGGGUGACCACUAUACCCUACUAAUGGAGCAAUCGGCUUAAGUCGGCGACGACUUAAGACGGUGCGACAUGCUCACUCUUACUCGACUUAGGGUGACCACUAUUCCCUACUAACAGAGCAAUCGGUUUAAGUUGAUGACGACUUAAGUCGGUGCGACAUGCUCAUGCUUACUCGACUUAGGGUGACCACUAUACCCUACUAACAGAGCAAUCGACUUAAGUCGAUGACGACUUAUGUCGGUGCGACAUGCUCACGCUAACCUUACUUAGGGUGACCACUAUACCCUGCUAACGGAGCAAUCGGCUUAAGUCGGCGAUGACUUAAGACGGUGCGACAUGCUCACACCUACUUAUCUUAGGGCGAUCAUUAUGCCCUACCAGCCAGGCGAUCGGCUUAAGUCAGAAAAUGCCUCUAAACCAGCAUGGCACACUUGCUUUCGUGACGAUCAGGGUGACUACUAUACACUAACAGCGAAACUAUUAGCUCUUCAGGAAAAAAGAAUGUUUUACUUGUUGGCACCAGGGGCGUGUUCUAGCACCCUGUCCACAAAAAAUUCGAGUUCUAAUACACCGUCACACGCACAUAGAAUUCAUAUUACAUCCUCUAAAAAAGAUGCUAACUCAAUAAGAAAGAGUGCUUUGCACGACAUCACUGCAUUGAAACAUCUUUGCUAGCAAUGUCUUUCACAGGUGAUACGGAAGAAGAAGGAUGACUUGAAGCAUCGGGCGCGACCUUGACAUCGGCGACAAUAUCGUCAGGCACCACGACGCCGGGCCUCGCGAACGGCUUUGUCCAUAGCCUUGUCACGCUGAGCCUUCAAGACGGUGCAGCUGUCCUCUAAAGCUUUAAGAGCCAGUCGAGCGGUCUCUAACUCCUGUGCAACAAGCUUCUUGGAAGCACGCAGAUCCUUUAUGGUGGAAUCCUUGGUCGAUAACAGUUGUCCAAGUCGCAGAACUUCAUCUUGGGAUAUCUGCAGCUCAUGGCGGUGAUGAUCUAGGUCAGACAUGGUGAAGUGGUGGCUCCUCUCCAAGAUGGUCAAGGAGUUACUAGUGUCACGGUACAGCCUGUCCAAAUUGUCACGAGAGGCAACGAGUGCUCGCUUCUCCUCCUACGAACAGAAAGCAACAUUCAGUACUGAAAGUCGCCUUGAGGGGGGUGGAUAGGCGGAAUAUGAAAACUAUAACUUUAAACACACACUACAAGCCGGGGUUAGCGUUAGAAUGAAUAUUAAGUCCGGGAGAGAGGGGAAAACAAAUCAACCAAGAAAUAAUGUGGAUGAACAUGGUGAUUUGUUUUGCCGAGGUUCGGUUCUAAAGAACCUAGUCCCAGUUGAGGUGGUCACAAAGACCGGGUCUCUUUCAACCCUUUCCCUCUCUCAAACAGUCACUUAGACCGAGUGAGCUUUCUUCUUUACUUCUCACGAGUCACUUAGACCCCGCAAGGACCACCACACAAUUGGUGUCUCUUGCCUUGCUUACAAAGCACCUGAGAGUAACAAGAAAAGAAAAGAAAGCCAACCAAGCAAACAAGAGCAACAAGAAACACAAGUGAUCCUCUCACAAGCUCUAAUGCGCUAGAGAUGAAUUCGGGACUUUGAGUGGAUCUAUCGCUUGAUUUGUGUCUUGGAGUGUUGCACUUUGCUCUUGUAUUGAUUGAAGUGUGAUGAAUGCUUGGAUGGUUGGAGUGGAGGUGGUUGGGGGUAUUUAUAGCCCUCAACCACCAAACAACCGUUGGGGAGGGGCUACUGUCGAUGGGCGCACCGGACAGUCUGGUGUGCCACCGGACAUUGUCCGGUGCGCCGCCACGUCACCCAACCGUUAUGGUUCGGACUCAGUCGACCGUUGGCGCUGUUGACUUCUGGUGGCACACCAGAUAGGUCAUGUUCACUAUCCGGUGCGCCCCUGACUUCUGCUCUGACUUCUGCCGCGCACUGUAGCCUUUGCAGAGUCGACUGUUGCGCGAGUUAGUCGUUGCUCCGCUAGACAUCGGACAGUCCAGUGGCACACCGGACAGUCCGGUGAAUUUUAGCGGAGUGCGCCUGAAGAAACCCCAGAGCGGCUGGUUCAGCCCUGUACGGACCUGGUGCACCGGACACUGUCCGGUGGCACAUCGGACAGUCCAGUGCGCCACACCACAGCACACUCGGUUUCUUUGCUCCUUUGUAUUUGAUCCCUAACUUGAAUAUUUAUUGGUUUGUGUUGAACCUUUAUGCACCUGUAGAAUAUAUAUUACAGACUUUGAUGUCCUUGAGAGGAAUGUCAAGGUACUCUACUUUCCUCCCCCGGCGAAGCUCUAGACUUGCACCGCCAACAAGCUGAUGUUGUCCCCCAGCCAUCCCAGGCCGACAGUGAUAGAGAUACUUCCAGAGACCGAAGUGGGGGAGAAUCCCGAGAAAGGCCUCACACAGGUGAACGAAAAUGGAGACUUGCAUAAUGGAAUUAAGGUUCAGAUGCGUCAAAUUCAGCUCAUAGAAAUCAAGGAGACCGCGAAAAAAGGGGAGAUGGGAAGAGCAAUCCCAUGGAUGAGAAAAGGAACAUAAACGACAGAUUCAUGUGUAUCCUCUAUCGGGACGGUGACACCGUGGCAAAUCUGCCAAGAGCAGAGCUCUUUUGGAAGCAAAACCCCAACUUCAAUGAGAUGAAGAAGGUCAGAUUCAGAAAUAACCGACACAUGAUUACCAGCAAAGGGAAGCUGGCUGUUGGGGUCGAUGGGGGAUGAAUGCAGCAGCGGUGCUCUGCGUCUUUCGUUUUGGCGCCAUCAUGAUCUCUCUGGCGGAACGAGCAAGUUCGAAAUCUCAGGGAAGCAGAGGAGUGGUUCAAAGGCAAAAAGUGAAAUUAGGGCUCAGAAAUCAAAAAAGCACGUCGACGCGAGUAUAAAUGGGAUUUCCUGGGUUGGGCACUAUUUCUAAAGUGCCAGGUCGCUACUUAGGAAAGCAAAGUUUCAGGCAUCACUCGGCGUUUACCUCUAAAACGCCAGUAGCGUCAGGCAUAUGGACAAACUAUCAAGCACAUGAACAGAAAACGCCGCAAAAGACAGCAAUCACUCGGAACAACUAAAGUUCUUCAUUAAUAUUGGAGGGGGUUUUCACAAACUCAAAAGCCGACUCAUUAUGAGUCAGCCUUUUCCCCUUUUUUACUACAUUACAUUACAUUGCAUUACCUUACAUUACAUUACAUUACCUUACAUUACAUUACACUACCUUACUACAUUACUAACUAUCACUAUAUUAUUCUACUUCUACUACUACUAAUUAUCUAUACUAAUAUUUAGACCAGUGGAGCUUUUGCCACUGGCCUUGCUGCUGCCGCUGCCGCCCUUGCCUCCACCAUCACUGUCGCCGCUGUCACCCUUGGUGUUGUUGUCGCCGCCGUCGCCUUUGCUGCCGUUGCCACCGCUGCCUUCACCGUCGCUGCCGCCACCUCCCCCGUUGUCGUCGCCACUGCCGUCGCCUUCAUCGCCACAGUCGCUACCGCUCUCUUCCUCGGACGACUCGGAGGAGUUCUCAUCUGAGGAGACCUCUAACUCAUCCGAACCUUUGAGCCCGAUGUGCUCGACGGAGCGGAUGUACGUCCACACCUCAGCGGCUAACCCCUAGGAGUCGUCUGAGUCAUCGGACGACACCGGAGGGAAGCAUAGACCGGCGACCCCUCGAACCCGGAGGAAACCUCCUCCGAAUACUCCGAGUCGCUGAAGUCCUCUGAGGGAGGACUUGGGUCAUGCUUCCGCUUGUCGCCUGCGCGACGGGGCGAACCUCGACCUUUCUUGCCCUUGCCCAUGGUUGGAUGGAGGAGAAGAGGGAGUUAGAAGAAAAGCAACAGAUGAUCAAAAGAUUAGUGAAGAGAACGACGGUGCAAGCAAGCUAUUUAUAGAGGCUGGGAGUGACUGUCCACUUCCUACCACGCUUGCCGAACAGUCGCAAGUAUUCAAUAAGCAAUUCAAGCCGCCUGAAAAUGAGUCAGGCAACAGGCGCCACUUCGCAUAACACGACACCGUUUGGACCAAGGUCAACUGCUCGGACGGUAUGAUUACACCCCAUGGUCAUAUCAAGUUACUACUCCAGAACAGUGUUCUAAACGCUCUGCGUACCAAGACGUCCCUUAGUCACGCCCAUUGGGGGGUAGCCAAGAAUUAUCAAAAGAUUUUCUGAAGAGGUCAUAUCCAUACAGUAUACACAAUGAAUGUAUUGAGACAGAAGGAAGAGAUUGAUAGAGAUCAGAGGAAGUCCAAAUAUAGCUAUUGAACCGCAAGUCUAAUCGACAGAGGCAUUGAAGCACAAAGCGGGGUGAUGACCAGCCAAGAGCCAUCUACCAAACGUCCAAUCUAUCACCGAUCAAAUAAAUUUUAGACCUAACAAGGUGUGGGCAGAUAACGUUGUUCGAAUUCGCAAGGGCAUGAGAUGAAGACAAAAUGCUGAUUUCUAAAGCACAAGACGAUGACGAAAUGCUGAUUUAUAAAGCAUGAGAUGAAGACCUUUGAGUGGAUUAUUUUCAAAAAUCCACUCAAAGCUCAGGAGCUACACCCAUUGGGUGCACCUUCGGUGCACCCAAUAGAUUUUUAAUUCUAGAAGACAAAAUGCUGAUUUCUAAAGCAUAAGACAAGACAGAAUGCUAAUUUCUAAAGCAUAAGACAGGACAAAAUGAUGAUUUCUAAAGCACAAGACGAUGCUGAUUUCUAGGGCAUGAGAUGAAGACCUUUGAGUGGAUUAUUUUUCAAAAAUCCACUCAAAGCUCGGGAGCUACACCCAUUGAGUGCACCUUUGGUGCACCCAGCAGAUUAUCAAUCCAAGAAGACGAAAUGCUAACUUCUAAAGCAUGAUAUGAUGACAAGACGCUGAUCUCCAAAGCAUCAAAUGAAGACCCUUGAGAAGACUGUUUUUACUGAGUCACUCAAAAUUUAGGAGCAACACUCAAUGGGAGCACCUCUGGCGUGCCCAUUGUCAGAGUGGAACCAUGCUACAAACUCACGAGCUGGACUUAGGAUCUUUCGGCUGAUUAUUUCAAAAUCAACUCAAAGGUUGGGGGCUUGUGGGGGAAAAAUAUCCCCCGGGUCCACUAGAAGGUAAGAAGGCCCCGCGAGAAGCUUUAGACCUGUCAUCUCGCUAGGCCAUUCCUUCGUGGGCCAGGGGAGGGUUACUGGUGGAAUGGGCCGAUGUGAGAAGGAAGCAGGCUCAGGCCCAAGCAACUCGAGCGCUGUCCGUAGCGUCUGUUCGACUUUCCCGCGCAGUGCCCUUGAACAUCGGAAUGGAUUAGAGUAAAUAGACAAGAUUAUAGGAAGAUAAGGUCACUCGGUUCACUAUUUGUCGGUGUUUCGAAACCCGGGGGGUCCCUAGACCGACGAGUGAAUUGUCGCCGCGUGCCCCAGCCCAGAUGGGUCGAUGCGAGGCGGAACGCGAAGGGGGAAAGGAAGCAGCCGGAGGGAGGCAGGCGUGAGAGAGUGGAUCCCGCGGCCUUCGUGUUAGCCCCGCGCCUGAGUUGGGUGCGCUUGCAGUAGGGGGAUACAAGCGUCCACGCGGGAGUGGGAGCGAGCGGCCUUGCGCGAGCGCCGUCCCAUCCUUCUCCGCGCGGGCCAACCUCCUGUAAGAGGGCCCUGGUCCUCCCUUUUAUAGGCGUAAGGAGAGGAUCCAGGUGUACAAUGGGGAGUGUAGCAAUGUGCUAACGUGUCUAGCGGUGGAGAGCUAGCGCCCUAAGUACAUGCCAUCGUGGCAGCCGGAGAGGUCUUGGCGCCCAGUUCACGUGGUGUCGUGGCCGUCGGAGGAGUGCUGGAGCCUGGCGGGAGGACAGCUGUUGGGGCUGUCGAGUCCUUGCUGACGUCCUCUUGCUUCCAUAAGGGGGCUGAGAGCCACCGUCGUCACAGGGCAUGCGGGGCGCCAUCAUUACUCGCAUGGUGGAGCGAGCCAGAUGGGACGCCGGUCUGGUUCCCCGUAGCCCGAGUCAGCUCGGGGUAGGGUAAUGAUGGCGCUUCCUGUUGACGUGGUCGGUCCGUGCCCUAGGCUGGGCGAGGUGGAGGCUCCUCCGAGGUCGAGGUCGAGGUCGAGCCCCCGGGUCGGGAGAGGCGGAGUUCGUCGUCUUCUGGGGUUGAGCCCAUGUCCGAGCCUUGGGGUCGGGCGAGGUGGAGUUCGCCGUCUUCCGAGGCUGAGCCCGAGUGCCCUGGGUCGGGCGGAGCGGAGUUCACCGUCUUUCGGGGUCGAGCCCAUGUCCGAGCCCUGGGGUCGGGUGAAGCGGAGUUCGCCGUCUUUCGGGGCUGAGCCCGAGUCUAAGCCCUGGGUCGGGCGGAGCGGAGUUCGCCGUCUUCCGGGGCUGAGCCCGAGUCCGAGCCCUGGGUCGGGCGGAGCGGAGUUCACCGUCUUCCGGGGCUGAGCCCGAGUCCGAGCCCUGGGGUCGGGCGAGGCGGAGUUUCCUAUGUCGCCCAAGGCCGGCCUUGGCUGCUGUCAGCCUCACUCUGUCGGGUGGCUCAGCAGUCGGAGCGGCGCAGGCGGCGCUAUCCUCUUGUCAGACCGGUCAGUAGAGCGGCGAAGUGACUGUGGUCACUUCGGCUCUAUCGACUGGAGGGCGUGCGUCAGGAUAAAGGUGUCAGGCCACCUUUGCAUUAAAUGUCCCUGCGAUUUGGUCGGUCGGCAUGGCGAUGUGGCCAAGGUUGCUUCUCGGUGAAGACUGGGCCUCGGGCGAGCCGAUAGUGUGCCCGUUGCUGGAGGGGGGUCCUCGGGCGAGACGUAGGUUCUCCGGGGUCGGCUUCCCUUGCCCGAGGCUAGGCUCGGGCGAGGCACGAUCGUGUCCCUUGAAUGGACCGAUCCUUGACUUAAUCGCACCCAUCAGGCCUUUGCAGCUUUGUGCUGAUGGGGGUUACCAUCUGAGAUUUAUGGGUCUUGAGGGUACCCCUAAUUAUGGUCCCCGACACUAUUAUUUAGGUACUCAUCAUCAUCCUAUACGCAUGUAGUGCCCCACGGUCGAAUAUAUAAGGUUUAGGGGGUACCCCAUCAUUUCCAUUGAUCGACCAUCUACUCAACUCAUUAGCAUUCCUCCACACUGGAGACUUCUCUUGUAACCUACAACAUAAAGAUCCACACCAGGAAGUAGGGUAUUACACAUCUCAAAGCAGCCCGAACCUAUAGAAAAUCGCCUGUCAUCUCUUGUGCAUCUCGCACGAACCAUUGAGCUACAGUCAACAUCAUCGUCCUACCCAAAAGCACCACGAGGGGUAACCCUAGGUAUGCGGUCAGGCUCCAAACACCGACAACAGGCUCGGAGUGAAUUGCUCACCAGAGCAGAGUGGACGCGGCAGAUCGUGUUUCCCCGUGGGCUGGUGCCGGCAUCACGUAACCGCCAGUAAGUCAUCCCCUGUUGUGUUCGCAUGGAUCUCCUCAAUCUUCUACACCUACCAGCGUUGGGAUAGGUGCGUCUGGGCCAGGGAGUACUGCUCAUCGGCGUUGGCAUUGCUGUUGGCCGUCGCUCGCCGCCACGUGGUAUCAACCAGUGUGGGGGAAGGGAGCCUGCGGCGCGUGCCGUUGGCUCCGUGAUGAAGGGUCAGGAUUAGAAGAUGGCAUACCGCUUCGCGGAGUGGGUUGUGACUGUUUAUCCGAUCAUGUAUGGUCACGAUCACAGUGGAGGUAUCGUUUUGGCGCAAUAAAUCGUGGCCCCAGAUCAACAAUCUGAGGCCUCUGGAUUGAUGGAUGUGUAGAUGACUCGUGGACCGAUGAUCUGGGAACCAACGACCACGACUCCUUACUAGUUCGGUGAGCCAAGACCUAAUCCCAACCGUUAGAUUGGCAUCCAAUGGAUCGCACUUGAGGAUACCCCUUCGGUGUUGUCAUUUUAUUAAAUAACCCCCUGUGAAUCUUUAAAUUAACCCAACAUACUUUGUUCUAUUGAAAGUGUUACAUCAGGGUCCUUGGUAUUAGCAGAAACACCCCUGAGACAAUUUUAGAGUAUAAAAUUAAUAUAAAAUACUUUGAAAUUCAAUAACUUCUUCAAUAUAUCUCUGAUUUAACCCGUUCCAGUUGCGUUAGCUUCAUAAAAAUAUUUUCUACACAGUAGCAACAUUAUUUGUACUGUAUCACAUACUUUUAUAAUUAAAUAUUUGUUUACCCUUUUAGUAGUAGAUUUUUUUUCUAAUCACGGUUGACAUGUUUAUAAUUAUAAUUUGACUAUAAUAUGAUUUCUAAAACAAGUUAUAAUCUGGAUUUCUUAUAUGAUGUAUAUUAACCAAUUUAUAAUAUAGUUUAAUAUUUAAUCAUGCAAAUCUUCAUAAAAUCAUAACUCUUUAACCAUAACUCCAAAUUUAGUGGUUCUCAAGCUCAUGAUCUUGUAGCAACGCGUAGAAUAUUAUUAUGCAGUUUGUGCUUAUGUUUGGUGUGAUGUUAAUUUUUGCAUAUACCAUGUUUGUUUGUAUUGCUACGAAUAGCGGUGAGGUUAUGGGCUCCCACCUCUGGCGAGUUCAUAUACAUUAUUCCCCACAACUUGUUGAGCGAUGAACGUAUGUGAGCUCACCUUUGUUAUACUCACAUCCCCCAGGUCAAGAACAUGUACCAUUGGAUGAGGCGCAUGAAGGAUGCUGUGAUGAGUUCGUGAGAGGUCUAGGCCGUCGUCUCCCAGUCAACUUUGGUUGCUAGAUCGUUGUCUUCAUAUGAUGUAAUUAUUUAAUUAUUUUGUACAGAACUCUGUUAUAUAUUAAUAUUGUGACAUUCAUUUCUAUACCAUGAGUCAUCAUAUGUGUAAGACUUGGUCCUAGCACACUUGGUGAUUAUCUCACGCCUGGGUUUUGGUGCCCCUAAAAUCCAGGUGUGAAAGCAGUCCUCCUGGCAACACAGAUUGUAAGGUUCUUGACCAAUUGAAUGCCCUUAUGUGUUGCUAUAGAUGGUUGGUUAUGUACAAUAGCUAGUUAUAAUUAGCCAUCUCCAAAAAGAUCAUGAACACAAAUAGGGGAGAAGACAGGGACGAGAAGAAAAUGUGGAGCAGGAGGACGGUGCCGAUCUCUUGGGUUCACUUGGUGUUGAGGAUAUUGAACAACCCCAUCUGCGUGGUGGAGUAAAGCGACUUGCGCGGCAUGGUGGUGGAGACCCCCCGAGAAGAGGCCCACGAUGCCCUUGGAGAGUAGGAUCAUGACGGCCUGCGGCUCUGGUUUUCUCGAUGGCCCCGAAAUAUCGUGGUGGUGCGGGAGCGGGAGUGUGAUGGUUCUCCCUCCACUGAGCGUGCUUCGCCUUGAUGUCGGGAAUGGAACGAUAGACGAGAGGGUUCUUAUCCACGCAGGGCGGGUGAAAGGGAAUUAGGCUUACACCUAGUUCCUAAACAAUUUUGGUGGUUAAAUUGCCCAACACAAAUAUUGGACUAACUAGUUUGCUCUAGUGUAUAAGUUAUACAGGUGCAAAAGGUUCACACUUAGCCAAUAAAAAGACCAAGAGUUGAGUUCAACACAAGAGCAAAGGAGCAACAGAAGGCUUCUCUGGUCUGGCGCACCGGACUGUCCGGUGGCAUCUGGUCUGGCGCACCGGACUGUCCGGUGUGCCACCGGACAUGUCCGGUGCACCAGGGGACUCCAACUUCGAACUGCUCGGUUUCGGGAAUUUCCGGAGGACACUUCGCUAAAAUUCACCGGACUGUCCGGUGUACACCGGACAGUGUCCGGUGCUCCAAGGGAGGUCGUCCUCAGGAACUCGCCAGCCUCGGGUUUUCACUCCAGCCGCUCUGCUAUAAUUCACCGGACUGUCCGGUGUGCACCGGACUGUCCGGUGCAUCCUCGGAGCAACGGCUACUUCAGGCGCCAACGGCUACCUGCAGCGCAUUUAUUGCGCGCCAGCGCGCGCAGAGGUCAGGAACGCCCAUACCGGCGCACCGGACAUUGAACAGUGCAUGUCCGGUGCGCCACCGGACAUCAAGGCGGGCCCAGAAGUCAGAACUCCAACGGUCAAUUUCCAACGGCACUGGUGACGUGGCUGGGGCACCGGACUGUCCGGUGUGCACCGGACUGUCCGGUGUGCCAUCGAACAAACAGCCUCCACCAACGGUCAAGUUUGGUGGUUGGGGCUAUAAAUACCCCAACCACCCCACCAUUCAUUGCAUCCAAGUUUUCCACUUCUCAACCACUUACAAGAGCUAGGCAUUCAAUUCUAGACACACCCAAAGAGAUCAAAUCCUCUCCAAUUCCAUACAAAGCCUAAGUGACUAGUGAGAGUGAUUUGCCGUGUUCAUUUGAGCUCUUGCGCUUGGAUUGCUUUCUCUCUUUCAUUCUUUCUUGAGAUCAAUAUUCACUUGUAACCGAAGCAAGAGACACCAAUUGUGUGGUGGUCCUUGCGGGGAGGUUUUGCUCCCGAUUGAUUUGAGAAGAGAAAGCUCACUCGGUCCGAGGGACCGUUUGAGAGAGGGAAGGGUUGAAAGAGACCCGGCCUUUGUGGCCUCCUCAACGGGGAGUAGGUUUGAGAGAACCGAACCUCGGUAAAACAAAUCCGUGUGUCUCACUUCAUUAUUCGCUUGCGAUUUGUUUUGCGCCUUCUCUCGCGGACUCCAUUAUAUUUCUAACGCUAACCCGGCUUGUAGUUGUGAUUAUUUUUGAGAAUUUCAGUUUCGCCCUAUUCACCCCCCCUCUAGGCGACUUUCAAUUGGUAUCAGAGCCCGGUGCUUCAUUAGAGCCUAACCGCUCGAAGUGAUGUCGGGAGAUCACACCAAGAGGGAGAUGGAGACCGGCGAAAAGCCCACUACGAGCCAAGGGAGCACUUCAUCGGAAGAGUCCCGCACCAAGAGGAAGGAGAAGAAGAAGAUCUCCUCCAACAAAGGGAAGGAGAAGAAAUCCUCUUCUCACCACAAAGAGAAGAAAGAAAAAUCUUCUUCCCACAAGCCGAGUCGGAGUGGGGACAAGCACAAAAGGAUGAGGAAGGUGGUCUACUAUGAGACCGACACUUCAUCGACAUCUACCUCCGACUCCGAUGCGCCGUCCGUCACUUCUAAACGCCAAGAGCGUAAGAAGUAUAGUAAGAUCCCCCUACGCUACCCCCGCAUUCCUAAACAUACACCUUUACUUUCCGUCCCAUUAGGCAAACCACCAACUUUUAAUGGUGAAGAUUAUGCUAUGUGGAGUGAUUUAAUGCGAUUUCAUCUAACCUCACUCCACAAAAGUAUAUGGGAUGUUGUUGAGUUUGGUGUACAGGUACCAUCCGUAGGGGAUGAAGACUAUGAUACGGAUGAAGUGGCCCAAAUCGAGCACUUCAACUCCCAAGCCACAACCAUUCUCCUCGCCUCUCUAAGCAAGGAGGAAUAUAACAAAGUGCAAGGGUUGAAGAGUGCAAAAGAGAUUUGGGACCUACUCAAGACCGCGCACAAGGGUGAUGAACUCACCAAGAUCACCAAGCGGGAAACGAUCGAGGGGGAGCUCGGUCGCUUUCGUCUUCGCCCAGGGGAGGAGCCACAAGAUAUGUACAACCGGCUCAAGACCUUGGUAAACCAAGUGCGCAACCUCGGGAGCAAGAAGUGGGAUGAUCACGAAGUGGUUAAGGUUAUUUUAAGAGCUCUUAUUUUCCUUAACCCCACUCAAGUUCAAUUAAUUCGUGGUAAUCCUAGAUAUCCACUAAUGACCCCCGAGGAAGUUAUCGGGAAUUUUGUGAGCUUUGAAUGCAUGAUCAAAGGAUCAAAGAAGAUCAACGAGCUUGACGAACCCUCCACAUCCGAGGCGCAACCGGUGGCCUUCAAGGCGACGGAGGAGAAGAAGGAGGAGUCUACACCAAGUAGACAACCAAUUGACCCCUCCAAGCUCGACAAUGAGGAGAUGGCUUUAAUCAUCAAAAGCUUUCGCCAAAUCCUCAAGCAAAGGAGAGGGAAAGACUACAAGUCCCGCUCAAAGAAGGUUUGCUACAAGUGUGGUAAGCCCGGUCACUUUAUUGCUAAAUGUCCAUUAUCAAGUGAUAGUGACAGGGGCGAUGACAAGAAGGGGAGAAGAAAGGAGAAGAAGAAGUACUACAAGAAGAAGGGCGGCGAUGCCCAUGUUUGUCGGGAGUGGGACUCCGACGAAAGCUCAAGCGACUCCUCCGACGACGAGGACGCCGCCAACAUCGCCGUCACCAAGGGACUUCUCUUCCCCAACGUCGGCCACAAGUGCCUCAUGGCAAAGGACGACAAAAAGAAGAAGGUUAAAUCUAAAUCCUCCACAAAAUAUGAAUCCUCUAGUGAUGACAAUGCUAGUGAUGAGGAGGAUAACUUGCUUACCCUUUUUGCCAACCUUAACAUGGAACAAAAAGAAAAAUUGAAUGAGCUAAUUAGUGCCAUCCAUGAAAAGGAUGAUCUCUUGGACUCCCAAGAGGACUUCCUAAUCAAGGAAAAUAAAAAACAUGUUAAGGUUAAAAAUGCUUAUGCUCUAGAAAUUGAGAAAUGUCAAAAAUUAUCUAGUGAGCUAAGUACUUGCCAUGAAACAAUAGACAACCUUAGAAAUGAAAAUGCUAAUUUGUUAGCUAAGGUUGAUUUUCAUGUUUGCAAUGUCUCAAUUCCCAACCCUAGAAAUGAUAAUGAUGAUUUGCUUGCUAGGAUUGAAGAAUUGAACAUUUCUAUUGCUAGUCUUAGAGUAGAAAAUGAAAAUUUGAUUGCUAAGACUAAAGAUUUUGAUGUUUGCAAUUCUAUUAUUUCCGACCUUAGAACUAAAAAUGAUAUGUUACAUGCUAAGGUUGUUGAAUUAAAAUCUUGCAAACCCUCUACAUCUACUAUUGAGCAUGUAUCUAUUUGUGAUAGAUGUAGAGAUGUUGAUAUCAAUGCUAUUCAUGAUCACAUGAUUUUAAUUAAGCAACAAAAUGAUCAUAUAGCAAAAUUAGAUACUAAAAUUGCCGAGCAUAACGUAGAGAAUGAAAAAUUUAAAUUUGCUAGAAGUAUGCUCUAUAAUGGGAGACGCCCGGGCAUCAAGGAUGGCAUUGGAUUUCAAAGGGGAGACAAUGUCAAACUUAAUGCCCCCCUAAGAAUUUGUCUAACUUUGUCAAGGGCAAGGCUCCCAUGCCUCAAGAUAACAAGGGUUACAUUUUAUACCCUGCCGGUUAUCCUGAGAGCAAGAUUAGGAAAAUUCAUUCUAGGAAGUCUCACUCUGGUCCUAAUCAUGCUUUUAUGUAUAAGGGUGAGACAUCUAGUUCUAGGCAACCAACCCAUGCCAAGUUGCCUAGAAAGAAAACUCCUAAUGCAUCAAAUGAACAUAGCAUUUCAUUUAAGACUUUUGAUGCAUCCUAUGUUUUGACUAACAAAUCCGGCAAGGUCGUUGCCAAGUUUGUUGGGGGCAAACACAAGGGGUCAAAGACUUGUGUUUGGGUACCCAAAGUUCUUGUUUCUAAUGCCAAAGGACCCAAAACAGUUUGGGUACCUAAAGUCAAGAACUAAAUUUGUUUUGCAGGUUUAUGCAUCCGGGGGCUCAAGUUGGAUACUCGACAGCAGGUGCACAAACCAUAUGACCGGGGAGAAAAGGAUGUUCUCCUCAUAUGAGAAAAACCAAGAUCCCCAACGAGCGAUCACAUUCGGGGAUGGAAAUCAAGGUUUGGUUAAAGGUUUGGGUAAAAUUGCUAUAUCUCCUGACCAUUCCAUUUCAAAUGUUUUUCUUGUUGAUUCAUUAGAUUACAAUCUGCUUUCCGUAUCCCAAUUAUGUCAAAUGGGCUACAACUGUCUAUUUACUGAUGUAGGUGUUACUGUCUUUAGAAGAAGUGAUGAUUCAAUAGCAUUUAAGGGAGUGUUAGAGGGUCAGCUAUACUUGGUAGAUUUUGAUGGAGCUGAACUCGACACUUGCUUGGUUGCUAAGACUAACUUGGGUUGGCUCUGGCACCGCCGACUAGCCCAUGUUGGAAUGAAGAAUCUUCACAAGCUUCUAAAGGGAGAACACAUUUUGGGACUAACCAAUGUUCAUUUUGAGAAAGACAGGAUUUGUAGCGCAUGCCAAGCCGGGAAGCAAGUUGGCACCCACCAUCCACACAAGAACAUCAUGACUAGUGACAGGCCACUAGAGCUCCUACACAUGGAUUUAUUCGGCCCGAUUGCUUACAUAAGCAUCAGCGGGAGUAAGUACUGUCUAGUUAUUGUGGAUGACUAUUCUCGCUUCACUUGGGUGUUCUUUUUGCAGGACAAAUCUCAUACCCAAGAAACCUUAAAGGGAUUCUUGAGACGAGCUCAAAAUGAGUUCGGCUUAAGGAUCAAGAAAAUUAGAAGCGACAAUGGGACGGAGUUCAAGAACUCUCAAAUUGAAGGCUUUCUUGAGGAGGAGGGCAUCAAGCAUGAGUUCUCUUCUCCCUACACUCCACAACAAAAUGGUGUAGUGGAGAGGAAGAAUCGAACUCUAUUGGACAUGGCAAGAACCAUGCUUGAUGAGUACAAGACACCGGAUCGGUUUUGGGCCGAAGCGGUCAACACCGCUUGCUACGCCAUCAACCGGUUAUAUCUACACCGAAUCCUCAAGAAGACAUCUUAUGAACUCCUUACCGGUAAAAAGCCAAAUGUUUCAUAUUUUAGAGUUUUUGGUAGCAAAUGCUUUAUUCUGGUUAAAAGAGGUAGAAAAUCUAAAUUUGCUCCUAAAACUGUAGAAGGCUUUUUACUAGGGUAUGACUCAAACACAAGGGCAUAUAGAGUCUUUAACAAGUCCUUAGGACUUGUUGAAGUUUCUUGUGACGUUGUGUUUGAUGAGACUAACGGCUCUCAAGAAGAGCAAGUUGAUCUUGAUGAGAUAGGUGAAGAACAGGCUCCAUGCAUAGCACUAAGGAACAUGUCCAUUGGGGAUGUGUGUCCUAAGGAAUCCGAAGAGCCUCCACAUGCACAAGAUCAACCAUCCUCCUCCACGCAAGCAUCUCCACCAACCCAAGAUGAAGACGAGGCUCAAGAUGUUGAACAAGAAGAUCAAGAAGAUGAGCCACCUCAAAAUGACGGCAACGAUCAAGGGGGAGAUACAAAUGAUAAAGACAAGGAGGAUGAACAACCAAGGCCGCCACACCCAAGAGUCCACCAAGCAAUCCAACGAGAUCACCCCGUCGACACCAUCCUCGGUGACAUUCAUAAGGGAGUAACUACUCGAUCUCGGGUUGCACAUUUUUGUGAACAUUACUCCUUUGUUUCCUCUAUUGAGCCACACAGGGUAGAGGAAGCACUCCAAGAUGCGGAUUGGGUGAUGGCGAUGCAAGAGGAGCUCAACAAUUUCACAAGGAAUGAGGUAUGGCAUUUAGUUCCACGUCCUAACCAAAAUGUUGUAGGAACCAAAUGGGUCUUCCGCAACAAGCAAGAUGAGCAUGGUGUGGUGACAAGGAACAAAGCUCGACUUGUGGCCAAAGGAUACUCCCAAGUCGAAGGUUUGGAUUUUGGUGAAACCUAUGCACCCGUAGCUAGGCUUGAAUCUAUUCGCAUAUUAUUGGCCUAUGCUACUUACCAUGGCUUUAAGCUUUAUCAAAUGGACGUGAAAAGUGCCUUCCUCAAUGGACCAAUCAAGGAGGAAGUCUAUGUUGAGCAACCUCCCGGCUUUGAAGACAGUGAGUACCCUAACCAUGUCUAUAGGCUCUCUAAGGCGCUUUAUGGGCUCAAGCAAGCCCCAAGAGCAUGGUAUGAAUGCCUAAGAGAUUUCCUUAUUGCUAAUGGCUUCAAAGUCGGCAAGGCCGAUCCUACUUUGUUCACUAAAACUCUUGAAAAUGAUUUGUUCGUAUGCCAAAUUUAUGUUGAUGAUAUUAUAUUUGGGUCUACUAACGAAUCUACAUGUGAGGAAUUCAGUAGGAUCAUGACACAAAAGUUCGAGAUGUCUAUGAUGGGGGAGUUGAAGUAUUUCUUAGGAUUCCAAGUAAAGCAACUCCAAGAGGGCACCUUCAUUAGCCAAACGAAGUACACUCAAGACAUUCUAAACAAGUUUGGGAUGAAGGAUGCCAAGCCCAUCAAGACACCCAUGGGAACAAAUGGGCAUCUCGACCUCGACACGGGAGGUAAGUCCGUGGAUCAAAAGGUAUACCGGUCGAUGAUUGGUUCAUUGCUCUACUUAUGUGCAUCUCGACCGGACAUUAUGCUUUCCGUAUGCAUGUGUGCAAGAUUUCAAGCCGACCCUAAGGAAUCACACCUUUCGGCCGUAAAACGAAUCUUGAGAUAUUUAGCUUAUACACCUAAGUUUGGGCUUUGGUACCCUCGGGGAUCCACAUUUGAUUUGAUUGGUUAUUCGGAUGCCGAUUGGGCGGGGUGUAAGAUUAAUAGGAAGAGCACAUCGGGGACUUGCCAGUUCUUGGGAAGAUCCUUGGUGUCUUGGGCUUCAAAGAAGCAAAAUUCGGUUGCUCUUUCUACCGCCGAAGCCGAGUAUAUUGCCGCAGGCCAUUGUUGCGCGCAAUUGCUUUGGAUGAGGCAAACUCUGCGGGACUACGGUUACAAAUUAACCAAAGUCCCUUUGCUAUGUGAUAAUGAGAGUGCAAUCAAAAUGGCCGACAAUCCCGUCGAGCACAGCCGCACUAAACACAUAGCCAUUCGGUAUCAUUUUCUUAGGGAUCACCAACAAAAGGGGGAUAUCGAGAUUUCAUACAUUAACACUAAAGAUCAAUUAGCCGAUAUCUUUACCAAGCCACUUGAUGAACAAUCUUUUACCAGACUUAGGCAUGAGCUUAAUAUUCUUGAUUCCAGGAAUUUCUUUUGCUAAACUUGCACACAUAGCUCAUAAAUAUACCUUUGAUCAUGUCCCUCUUAUAUAUGCUAUGACUAAUGUGUAUUCAAGUGUAUUUCAAACCAAGUCAUAGGUGUAUUGAAAGGGAAUUGGAGUCUUCGGCGAAGACAAAGGCUUCCACUCCACUCUACUACUCAUCCUUCGCCGUCACUCCGAGCAUCUCUCCAACUUUGGUAUAAUCCUCACUCAUUUCUUUUAUGACCAAAGGAGGAGAAAGUUAGUUAAGGGCUCUAAUGAUUCCGUUUUUGGCGAUUCAUGCCAAAGGGGGAGAAAAUAUGAGCCCAAAGCAAAAGGACCGCACCACCACCCUAAUUUUAAACAUAUGAUUUUCAAUUGGUUGAAAAAUUUCAAAAUUGGUAUCUCUUUGUGUUCUAAAGGGGGAGCAAGUAGUAUUUUCAAAACUUAAUACCUUAAAACCCUCUUGAACACUAAGAGGAGAAUUUAUUUGAGGGGGAGUUUUGUUUAGUCAAAGGAAAGGCAUUUGAAACAGGGGGAGAAAAUUUCAAAACUUGAAAAUGCCUUGCCAACUCUUAUUCAUUUACCUUUGACUAUUUGCAAAAGAACUUUGAAAAGAAUUUACAAAAGAUUUUGCAAAACAAAACAUAUGGUGCAAAUGUGGUCCAAUAUGUCAAAAACAAAGAAACAAUCCAUGCGCAUCUUGUAAGUAUUAAUAUUGGCUCUAUUCCAAGCAACCUUUGCACUUACAUUAUGCAAACUAGUUCAAUUAUGCACUUUUAUAUUUGCUUUGGUUUGUGUUGGCAUCAAUCACCAAAAAGGGGGAGAUUGAAAGGGAAUUAGGCUUACACCUAGUUCCUAAACAAUUUUGGUGGUUAAAUUGCCCAACACAAAUAUUGGACUAACUAGUUUGCUCUAGUGUAUAAGUUAUACAGGUGCAAAAGGUUCACACUUAGCCAAUAAAAAGACCAAGAGUUGGGUUCAACACAAGAGCAAAGGAGCAACAGAAGGCUUCUCUGGUCUGGCGCACCGGACUGUCCGGUGUGCCACCGGACAUGUCCGGUGCACCAGGGGACUCCAACUUCGAACUGCUCGGUUUCGGGAAUUUCCGGAGGACACUUCGCUAAAAUUCACCGGACUGUCCGGUGUACACCGGACAGUGUCCGGUGCUCCAAGGGAGGUCGUCCUCAGGAACUCGCCAGCCUCGGGUUUUCACUCCAGCCGCUCCGCUAUAAUUCACCGGACUGUCCGGUGCGUCCUCGGAGCAACGGCUACUUCAGGCGCCAACGGCUACCUGCAGCGCAUUUAUUGCGCGCCAACGCGCGCAGAGGUCAGGAACGCCCAUACCGGCGCACCGGACAUUGAACAGUGCAUGUCCGGUGUGCCACUGGACAUCAAGGCGGGCACAGAAGUCAGAACUCCAAUGGUCAAUUUCCAACGGCACUGGUGACGUGGCUGGGGCACCGGACUGUCCGGUGUGCACCGGACUGUCCGGUGUGCCAUCGAACAGACAGCCUCCACCAACGGUCAAGUUUGGUGGUUGGGGCUAUAAAUACCCCAACCACCCCACCAUUCAUUGCAUCCAAGUUUUCCACUUCUCAACCACUUACAAGAGCUAGGCAUUCAAUUCUAGACACACCCAAAGAGAUCAAAUCCUCUCCAAUUCCAUACAAAGCCUAAGUGACUAGUGAGAGUGAUUUGCCGUGUUCAUUUGAGCUCUUGCGCUUGGAUUGCUUUCUCUCUUUCAUUCUUUCUUGAGAUCAAUAUUCACUUGUAACCGAAGCAAGAGACACCAAUUGUGUGGUGGUCCUUGCGGGGAGGUUUUGCUCCCGAUUGAUUUGAGAAGAGAAAGCUCACUCGGUCCGAGGGACCGUUUGAGAGAGGGAAGGGUUGAAAGAGACCCGGCCUUUGUGGCCUCCUCAACGGGGAGUAGGUUUGAGAGAACCGAACCUCGGUAAAACAAAUCCGCGUGUCUCACUUCAUUAUUCGCUUGCGAUUUGUUUUGCGCCUUCUCUCGCGGACUCCAUUAUAUUUCUAACGCUAACCCGGCUUGUAGUUGUGAUUAUUUUUGAGAAUUUCACUUUCGCCCUAUUCACCCCCCCCUCUAGGCGACUUUCAGCGGGCGGGUGAAGCGGAUGGCCGGCUGGCGGCGACGGGUGUCGACUGGGGUGGGGAGCUGCGGACCUAUGGCGCGUGCGUGGGAAGGGAACGCGGUGUGCGGGUGGCGGCUAUGGGUCGAGCGGAGUCUAUUACAGGCAGUGACUGGGAUAGGGGUUGUGGGCCUACGGUUCGUGCGGGGGGGGGAGCAGGGGGCUGGGGUGGUUGUUGUUACAAAAUAUUGUAUUUAUGAUCAAUCCAAGGGGUGCGACAGAUAAUUCCCAAGGGAAACACUCCUUGGGAACGCACCCCUUCAUAUGUAUAUAAACAUAAUCCUUGCUGCAAUAAAGGAAUUGUUGUCAUUCUCUCCAGUCUUGUUUUCGUUAUUCUCUAAUACGUUAUCAGCAUGAGCUCUCCAUCGAGCGAGAAAAGGCCGUCAUGGCGCGCACAGAAACGAAGGAGAAGAACACUAGCUGUUCUUGAAUUUUUGUUCUUGUUCACUGCAUCAUCACCAUGGACAGAGAUGAGAAGAACAUGUCAACUAUGGAGGAGGUCAGUUUGCUUCAAUUUUUUCUUGUGUUUCAACGAGAUGUAAAAGAGAGGCUUUGACCUCCAUGAACUGUUGGCGGACACUGUGCCCGUGGGGCUGCUGUGGCCUGCCUGACAGUUGAUGGUCGCGCGACCGAGCAGUCAACGCCAGGGCCCGCCCGCGUGCCGGGAAGCCACGCCCGAGCAGGGGCUACGCUCGCGCUCCACGCUGCCGAGGAGGUCGUGCCCGUGCGUGCAGGGGGUCACGCGCGUGCCCCUGGGGUGCCUCGCCCGCGUCGCCGGGCCGUGGCCGCGCCCGUGCGCCGGAGGCCGCACCCUCGCCGGGCUCGUGUGCUGGGAUGGGGAGCCGCCGGGGCAGGGUCUGCGCCGGGGCCGGGGCCGCUGGGGCAGGGUCCACGCCGGGGCCGGCGCCGCCAGGGCUUGCACGCUCGUGCCGCCGGGGGAGCUGCGCCCCGCACCAUCGCUCCUAGGCUGGGGGUCAUGCGCCCGGGCCGCCUGGAGGUCGUGCCCCACGCUGCCGCUUCUAGGCCAGGGGCCACGCGCUCGGGCCGCCGCAUCUAGGGCUGGCCGCGCCCAGGCCACCCAUGCACUGCUGGGGGAGUCGCGCUGGGCCACAUCCGCGCAGCCACCGGGAGGCGCACCUGCGCAACAGUGCCGGGCCCGCGCGCGCCUGGCCAAGGCCGUGCCGCUGGGUUCGCGCCUGUGCCUAUCGGCCGCGUCGCUGGGUUCGUGCCCGUGCCUAUCGGCCGCGCCCGCUGCGCCUGAGCCGCCGGGGCCGAGGGCCACCGCGCUCGCGUGCCGGGGUUGACGCGAGGCUGCACCAAACUUCGUCGGGCCCUGGUGGCGCGCACCGCAAGCCCUGCUCCUGCACCUGGCCGCGAGCCACCACGCCGUCGGCUGUAAUCGCCAGGACUUGGCCAGAUGAGAUUCCAUGGCGGCGGUGGCUGGAACCGUCCCUAGUAGCGACGGCUGCAGGAAGGGAGCGGUUAGGGUUUAAACCCUAACCGGCUCCCUAUAUAACGGCGUGUGGGCCGUGGCUGGUUGCACGGGCCGCCUCGGCCUGAUGGGCCGACCUGCAUAGGCCGCUCUGGCCUGGUGAUUGGCGCGCCUGGGCCGCACCAGCCUGGAGGCUGGCAGCAUGGGCUGCCUCGGCCUGGUGGCACCUGGGCCGCCUUGAACCAGAUUUGCCUAUAUGGCCUGAUUAUCAUUUUAAAAUUCUAAAUUUCAGUAUAAGACUAUGUUUUAUAUGAAAAUUCAGUUCUAACUUGAGUUAGGGCGUCUAAAUUCGUUAUUUAGACUGCUGAUGAUAUAUGUAGUUAUGAUAGUUGUUUGUUUUUAUUAUGAAAAAUGCAGACUUGUUAAUGAAUUAUAUUUUAUUUACAUUUAUAAUUCAUAGUUUUUCGACUUGCUUUUAUUUUGCAUUCUUUUAUGUUUGCAUGGAAAAUAUAGCACAUAAUUAAGUCGAAACUUAAUGGUCCUCAUGCAAAACAAGGUUGCAUUUUUUUGUUAAAAGCAUAGGGUGAUGGAGUCCUAAGCACUGACUGCGCUAAAUUCUUUAUAGAGUUUAGUAGCUCAGAGACCGUGCUUUAGGCCGCAUUUGAAAUGCCUAUCACUAUGAGGUCUACAUCUUUUGAGAUGAUUAUCUAUACGUGCUAUCCAAAAAGAUCACAGGACCAAGCAGGCGUCGUGGGCUAUGGAGCCAGGCUAGACACUGCAGUCAUGCUGGCAACUCAAAGAGUUCUUUUAAUUAAGUUCUACUUAAUUAAAUGAUGAAUUCUUGCAAAAUAUGAUACAUAUCUUGAACUUGGGAUUAUUCAACACAUGAUGGAGAUCUAGGCUUUGGCUGCAAUAAGUUCUUAGAAUUUAUUUGCCCUGAGACCAAGCUUUUAGACAACAAAAGGUUAUUUGCCCAUCAGUAAGAGGUCUACAUCAUAUGUUGAUGAUGAUUACCUAUGUGUUCUCCCAAGUAGAUAUGUUGGAGAUGUGAUGUUGGUUAUUCACCUUUAUGGUGAUUUCUGUAUUAUUUUUGAAAUUUUGGUCAAGCACAGGGUAGUGGAGUCCUAAGCAUUAGAUGCGGUAUGUUCUUUGAAUAUAUGAGCCUGAGACCAUGCUUCUAGGCAGCAAAAUUUUUGCCCACUACUGGGAGAUUUACUCCAUUGUUUUAUUACAUGGAGAUUAUCUACAUUGUGUACACCAAUUUUUAAAAAUCUUUUGGUACACUUUAUGUGAUACCUGGAAUUCUCCAAUAUAUGAAGAUAUGAUAUAUUUUGCGACAAUGUUGCAACAGCACACAAAAAUGGUUAUGUUAUUUAAGGAUAAUUAUUUAAUAGAGUUUGAUGAACUCGCCUAAUGGGCUUAAUUAUCCUCAAUGUUCAUUGGAUAUGUUCAUUGGAUAUUAAGAUCAUCUUUGCAUAAUAUGGGGAUUCACUUUCUUCAUUUUGGAAGAAGUGAGAUGCUCCCUUUCUCUUGCGGUUCUUAUGAAAAGAACUAAUGUGUUUUUAUGGCUUGAUGUGCAAGCCCAGAAUGAAUAGCAAAUAAAAUCAUAAGACAUGUGGAAUUAUGAGUAUGUGUCUACAUUAUGUUGUAGACUAACACUUUGUAUUCAUAUAUUUUGCUUGAAAGCAAAUAUAUAAGCACAUUAAAAAGGGAAGGGCAAUGAGUAUGACAAACUCUUUUGUCAUUACACUAUACGUGGUAUAGUGUUGUAUGCUUAAGCAUCUAAUCUUGUAUAUGAAAUCCCAAUAGAUGCAUACUACUCAUGAAAGCUAAGAUAUGAAGUGUACUUCAAUCUUCCAUCUGACAUGAUAACAGUAGUUAGUUGUGUAAAUCAUGAUUUGGACUAAUCAUGUAACAACACUUCUUUUUCUAAGAGAAGACCACUUUGUUAGAUAAUUUGCUUUUGAGUAUUAUUCAAAUGAUCUAUGAGAUUUGGUAUAAUCUCAUUAUUAUUGAUAUCAUAUUUAUUGACGUUGUGAUAUGUUCAAGCUCAUAUGAAUUUGAGUUAAACAAACUCAUCGAUUUGAGUUGAAUGAGCUCAUCAAGGGAGUUGAAGACUCAUUGAUUUGAGUUGUGCAAACUUGUACGAGGAUUCUUCCAAUUGAGGGAGAAACAUGCAAUGUGGAGAAUUGAACCACAAACUCUAUAAGUGGGGAACAAAAUAUUAUCAUAUUCCUUUGAAAAUAGGAAAGAAUAUUUUGACAAUCGCUUCAUGCGAUACCAUGAUAUGUUAAUAUCAAGUCCCCUUUGGUAAUGGAAGUAUCAAGGAUGUGUUGAUAUAUCCUCAUUUUAUCUUACCAAAUUAUAGAGAUAUCCAUGUAAUUUCUAUCAUGGGCAAUCACAAGGUGAUAGUGAUGGAUAUUGCAUGUGUUUCUCGGAAACAUUUCUUAUAGAUUGUAUUCUACAUACAUCCUCCCGUACAAUGUGCUGCAUUUGUUAUAAAUUUUCAUGUGAUGAUACUUACCAUGCUGGGUAAGACUGAAUUGGUAAUUCCAUUUGUUGGGGGCCUUCGUCCUCCGAAGGUCCUCAAAAACAUGAUUUGACAAUGUUUUCCGAGUGGAUUAUGUGAACAGGUAUUUUCGGAUCCAGAAUUAUGAAUAUGGAGCACGGCCAGGACGAAGCCUGAACCAGACGAAGGUCGAGUGUAGCCGAAGCUGUGCGCAGGGAAGCUUCGGCGCGAUGGCAGAAGGGGGAACCGACUUAAAGAUGAAAAGACUUCGGGGGCCUCGACAGAUUUCCAUAAGCCGUUAACAAAUGUAAUGGACAUGGAUGUAAUUUUACGUGGGCUGCGUCCCGCGUCUAUAAAUAGAUGAACAGUACUCCCAUACUGUUCACGCUGACUUGGCAUUUGCUUUUGCGUCACGCUUGUACUUUCUACCUUCUCUCAGGACCGAAGGUACAUUUGUAAUUUAAAAUCAUUUCUAUUUUUCCAUGUUAAUAAAAUAGAAAUGAUUCUGCGAUGAUGCUUAUAUUAUAUUUCAUGCUUUAUAUAAGUCCUUCGUCAUUAUCUGUUAUGUUUGCGAAGGUAUUUCUCUUAUGACCUUCGUCCCAGACUCAUUAUUUCCCGAAGGGGACAUAAUGCUUCGAGGGACGAAGGACUUUAACACUUAACACUUUUUAUGUUGCCUUGUUCUUAACUCUUAGCAUUUGAGAACAAGUCUCCAACAUUGGCGCCCACCUCCGGUGAACUCACUUCCACUUCGAGUCUUCGUGAACACCUUCGGAAGCUAUAGACCUUCGCUAUGGCGCCGAAGAAAGCUUCAGCGGCUGGGGCUGCAGCAUUACAACCGCUGGACCACAACCAGGAGACCGUCUCUCUUCGGGAGGCCAGAAGCCAGAAGAGAAAAGCUGUUAGCCCGACGCUUGAGGAAGAAGAGCUAGACCAAGAAAUCAGAGAGAUGGAGAUGCUACAUCAACAAGUGCAGAGGAAGAAGGAGAAGAUGGCCCGCCUAGCUGAGUUGCAAAGGCAAAUUGACGAAGCUUCUGAGGAAGUUCGCCAUCUCACCCACGAUGAGCAGAACAGAAGGCCUCAUCAGAAAGACCUCCAUCAGGAGGGCUUCGUCAACGAAGACGACUGGUAUGAUAAUUUCCAUCAGGGAAAUUUUGUUUUUGAUGAUGCUUCUCCUCUGUCUGCUGAGCUGCAGGCUACACCUUGGCCUCCAUCCUAUAAGCCACCCCAGCUCCCCAUGUUUGACGGCCACUCCGACCCGAAGCAAUUCUUGAUGAGCUACGAAGCAACAGUGUCUUCGUACGGGGGCAACGCUGCAAUCAUGGCGAAGUCUUUCGUCAUGGCCGUCAGGAAUGUUGCUCAGACCUGGUAUUCCUCCCUUCGGCCAGGAACAAUCACUUCAUGGCAGAAGCUGAAGGAUAUGUUACUGACCAGCUUUCAAGGAUUUCAAACGAAGCCGGUUACAGCUCAAGCCCUCUUCCAGUGUAUUCAGGAUCACGAAGAAUACCUUCAGGCGUAUGUCCGAAGGUUCUUACGAUUGAGGGCGCAGGCACCAACGGUGCCCAAUGAAAUCGUUAUCGAAGCCAUGAUCAAGGGGCUCCGUCCUGGACCUGCAGCUCAAUACUUUGCUCGGAAGCCUCCUCAGACCUUGGAGAAAUUGCUCCAAAAGAUGGAUGAGUACAUUCGUGCUGACAAUGACUUUCGCCAAAGAAGGGAGGAGGCCUUCAGAUUUUCUGAGAUGACCAGGGGCUUCGGAGGAAGAUACUACCCGAGGCAUGUCCGUUCCAUUCACAACACUCAGAAUGAUGAUAAGGGGAGUCAGCAAAACAGGCCGCAGUGCUCCUCACAGGCUUCGGGGCAACAACAAACUUUCUUUCGGCCACCAGCUCCAAGAGGCAGAGGCGCCAGGGGCUUCGGCGGAAGAUUCGGAGAUCAGCCAAGGAGACUGUUUUGCCUAUUCUGUGGAGAGGGCAAGGGCCACACCACUAGGACGUGCCAUGUUACAAUCCAGAAGCAAAAGGAACUAGCCGAAGCUGCACCUCAACAAGCUCAGUCGAAGCAGGUUAUGCAUACUGCUUCGUUUCAUCCGCCUUAUGUCCCACAAUACAUAGACAACCACCCUGCGGCUUCUGUAGCUUCGGCAAGUCAACCUCAAGCUUCCUGGCAGCAGCUUCCGCCUCCACCUCCAUUGCAGCAAGGUCAACAGCCAGAAGGGAGCCAAUACGCUCCACAUCAGAGGGACUUCAGAGAACAGUCCGAAGCUCGCACAGUCAACAGCACUGUGCCAGAGUCGAAGCACAUUUAUUGACAUAUCCUACCUUUCAUAGCAGUCUUUUCUAUUCAGUUUUAUUUUCUGUGAAGCAAAAAACAUUGAUAGUUUUCAUGUAAUAAUUUCGUUGUUUCCCACGAGGAAAAUCUAUUUGCUCCACAGGCCUAAGUUGCUGAAGCCUAAAACUUUUUCCGUUACCAAGGAGGACCUUCGGAUUAAAAAUCCUUCGGAGUAACAGAAAGUCGUUCUAAGGAACGCAGAGUAAGUUUAUGAAGUCACAAAAAGCCGUUCCAAAGGGAGCGCAGUGUAAGUUUUCUGCUCAGAAGUCGUUCCUAAAGGAAUGCAGAGCCUACAGCGAAAAGUCAACGCUGAUACCGCCUAAGUAAAAGGCGAAGAAGCUCCUAAGGGAGGCUUACAGCGAAAAGUCAACGCUGAUACCGCCUAAGUAAAAGGCGAAGAAGCUCCUAAGGGAGGCUUACAGCGAAAAGUCAACGCUGAUACCGUCUAAGUAAAAGACGAAGAAGCUCCAAAGACGUUCCCAAGGGAAUGCAGAGCUUACGAAUAUAUUUUAUGAGUAUCUCCGGAACAAAUGUCACAUGCAUAACAUAACAUCAUCACAUCAUUUUGCAUAGCAUAAGCAUCAUACAUCAUGUUGCAUUUGGCAAGAGAAGGAGAUACUCUCAACCUUCGAAAGGAUGCUUUGAGAAAGUGACAUCGAAAUUGUACAGCUUCGGAAUACAGCUUCGGAGAAUAUUUUUACGAAACAUGGGCGAGCUUUAUCAGAUCAAUAUCGAAGUUGUGUAGCUUCGGAGUUUAGCUUCGAAGAAUGUUUUGACGAAGCAUGGAUGUGAUUCAUCAGAAUAAUUUUAACGGAGAAUGCCUUCUUCACGAAGCAUGAAAAGAAGGGAAGGUGUUUUUUCGCCAAAGGCUCAAAAAUGGUAUGUAUUUAAUGUUUCAUGCAUCGUAAAGAAUUCAAUAAUGAAAGGAGAUUUGUAUAUUACAUUCAAAUGUACAAAGUGUUACAUAGAUUACAUUUUAAAUGAUUUUUCCAAAUAGCAUCCAAUCUUCUCUCAAUACUUCUUCAGCGGCCUCAUUUAGAAAUUGGUCAACAACCUUGUCCAAGAUAGUUUCGGCCAUUUGUUUAAUUUCUUCGUCGACAUUUGAUCCAGCAGUUUCUGAGGGAAGAGAACAUUUCUUCAUUACUUUUGCAAACCUUGAGCAAAGUUUGGAAUAAAAAUUACAACACAAUAAGAGCGACUAAUUGGUACCUAAUUGCCUUUCGGGCUCUGUACUCCUUUCGGCAGCUUCUGCCACUUUUCUGGCGUCAUGAAUGCCUUUUUCGCUUCUUUGGAUGAUCUCUUGCGCCAUUCCUCGGCCGCCGUCGUUCCAGAUAUCAGUAAAAAAUUUGCCACCAACCACGCUUGCUUCGGCCGAGGGGUCCUUGACGUCUUCGGAAGAUAAGGUAGCUUCGGAUUGAGCUAAAAAUUUUACAUGCCCGCAACCUUUCUUCUCUAAGACAGAAGCAAUUCCUCUGGCGCCCGAAAAAGCGCAUAUGUCGCCACGACUGUUCAGAAUCUCUUCGAAGGCUUCUGCUUCGUGGCUAAUCCACUCCAGCGGACCUUCGGGAUUGCCUCGAGAGAAAUUCUCUUCGCUGGAAAAGGCGCCUACGCUGGCGAAGCUGGAUUUAAUUUUAUUCACGCAUUCUACAGAUUUGACAUAGCAUUUCCUCUAAGAUGUGCGAAGCUCCUUAACUUUUGAUUCCAAUUUGCUGACCAUAAAAUCACUAAGUUCUCGUUUCGUUUCCUCAAGCGCGCGCUCCUCUUUAGCUCUAGCCAGCUGUUUCUGAAGAUCUUUAAUCUCGCGUUUUUGAGCUUCGGCCUGGGCCUUUGAAGCAGCUUCGUCUUUUUUCACUUUAUCUACCAGUGUAAGCAGAAUUUUAUCUUUUUCCAAAGCUUCGUUUCUCAGUCUGAUAACUUCGGAGCGUAAAUUAUUAAACGCAAUUUCAUAGCUUUCAUCUUCGGCGCUCUUUUGGGCUCUUAGUGCGUUGCUUAGGAUCAGGCCCUAUACGAAAAAGAAUUCAUAUAAGAAAAAAGGAAUGAGUUGCGUAAAAAUAAGGGGGUUUUUCAAGUGUUUAAUUCCUAUACCUUCAGGCUGUUGUACGCAAGACUGUCUGCGAGAUCUUCUUUCGUCAUGGCGCUUAAUCCAGAUUCAAGCUUCGGGAAACCAAUACUUCUGGCCAUUUCUCGGCAGACAGAUAGCUCUUUGUUGUCAGGCAGGCAGUAUAAGAAGUCAUCUUCAUUCGUCCCAUUGAAUAUUACUGCCCCCUUCGGAUAUUUUAGUUCCUUUGCAUAAUGGAUGGCUUCAUGAGUUUCUUCUUCAGAUAGCUUCUUCCCCGAAGCAUGUCGUAUCAUGUAAUCACGCAUGCUGGCAGGUGCUUCGGGGAUGGCGGUGUCAGUUUCUUCAACUAAUACUGGUUCUGGAAUUUUUAUUGCUUCGGCUUCAAAAGGUUGCUCCUUGUAGGGCUCUGAAGGCCCAGCUUCAGCUUCAGCUUGUUGAGCCGAAGCUUCAGUAGAAGCUUCAGCAACUUCAACACUCUUUUUUGGAAUUGUGCUUGAAGACUUAAUUGUCUCCAAGACGUCUAGUACAUUUACCAUUCUUUUCCUUUUUGGGGUCACUGAUGGCCCCUUUUGGUUUUUUGCUGUCUCAAUAUUUACUGCAGGACUCAAAACUUCUAAUGUUUUUUCCUUAGUCGGCUUUUUCGCUUCUUCCAUUUUUUCUGUGGAUGGUGCUUCGGCCAUCUCUGCAGUUUCUGGCAGCAAGGUUGGCUGUUCAGCUUCGGUGGCCGAAGAAGCUUCUCCGGUGAACUCAGGCACCGAAGCUGGUUCAAUAUAACGCGGCCGAUGCGUAAGAACCUUUAUCUUUUUCCUUUUCGGUUCUGGCUCGCUAGGAGCAGCUGCAGCUUCUUCUUUUGCAGAGAUUGUGUUUUUUCUCUUCUGCCUUCGAAUGGGAUAGCAGUAAUCAGGGUAGACAAACCCAAUGGCAUCAAAUACCCGAUUCAGUCUCUUCUUUUUUCGGCCUCCGAAGGCUGCUGACAUUGCAUUAUCUUCAGCCUUCGAGUAGGUCCCGAGUAGCUCAUCACUUAAAUUGUCAAUGCUUUUCAACCACUCAUCAUCUGGCUCAAUAAAUUUAUCUCCAAAUUUGAAGGUGUACUUCAGUCUCACAAGCCCACCUUCGUCGGCCUCUUUUAUGGUUUCUUGUGGCAUUUCCCAUUUCUCAGCAAGCGGCCACACCCUGAAGGCGAUAUGUUCUUGUACUAAGUCCCUUGUUCCUAUAAAAGAACAGACAACGCCGAAGGCUCUUUGGCACUCUUCGGCGGCUUCGUUCAUUUCAACCUUCGGCCUCCGAAGGCCGAAGCUUUGCCAAAUAGGACGCAUAAUUAUACCUUUGAUGUCUUCUCGUGCUGAUAAGUCAUUCUUCACAUAAAACCAUUCUGUCAUCCAAUCCCCGGGCCAUCUCUUCCGAAAGGUUGGUACGGGACAGCUUGCCCCGGACCGAGAAACGAAGCUGUAGCAGCCAAAGUUGUUAUGGUACUGUUCUUUGCCCCAAGGCUUUGUUUCAUAUAAUAAUUCAUGAACAUUACAGAAGCUUCUUGCGUCAGGCUUCAGACCUUGGCUCCUCGCGGCCCACACGAAGAUGUUUAACCUUAUAAUUGCCUCGGGAGUAAGUUGAUGAAGAUAGACUUCGAAGAUUUUCAACACCUCCACGACGAAGCUGCUCAAGGGGAAUCGCAAUCCAGCUUUCAAAAAGCUUCGGUACACCACAACUUCAUUUUCUUCAGGGUGUGGACAAGUUUUUUCCCCUUCGUCCGCCCUCACAAUGGACAGAUCCCGGAAAUACCUUCCUCUCAUAUUAACAAGAUGAUUCUCUUUGAUAGUUGAUUUACCAUAAACUGAAUGGCUUGGUCGCCAGGGGCGAUCUUCGGAGUCUUCGCCACUACUGUCUAUAUCAUAACUUUCACUGUCACCAGUAUCUUCAGACAACCCCUCCAGAAUUUCCUUGGUAAUCUUUUCUGUGUUGGACUUCGACAUCGCUAUAAGAAACCCUAGGUUCUUCUCUUCAUCAAGACUCAGCUUCAUCUCAGCAGCAGCCUUCUUAGCAGCUUCAGACAUCUUCGGAAGCGCUAAAAAACUAUUUUUAAAAGCCGAAGCUUCAAAGCUAAAAGAUCAGCAAAUCUUAGUGCGCAGGAGCUAAAAAUUUUAGUGGGCCGAAGCAGAGGGCAAGUGUGCGUACCAAAUCAGUUCGCGAUGUGAUCUUAUUUAUACGCCUAGGGCGUUGAAAAUUGAAAGGCCCCGCUUGUCAGUAGAUGUUGCUAUUCUAGCAAAGGGAAGGUGUUUUUUCGGACCUUCGGCUCAAGGCCUUCGUCCAUAUCGCAAUCUGAAUUUAUUAUUUACAAAUUAAUAUUGCGAGGGGCUACUGUUGGGGGCCUUCGUCCUCCGAAGGUCCUCAAAAACAUGAUUUGACAAUGUUUUCCGAGUGGAUUAUGUGAACAGGUAUUUUCGGAUCCAGAAUUAUGAAUAUGGAGCACGGCCAGGACGAAGCCUGAACCAGACGAAGGUCGAGUGUAGCCGAAGCUGUGCGCAGGGAAGCUUCGGCGCGAUGGCAGAAGGGGGAACCGACUUAAAGAUGAAAAGACUUCGGGGGCCUCGACAGAUUUCCAUAAGCCGUUAACAAAUGUAAUGGACAUGGAUGUAAUUUUACGUGGGCUGCGUCCCGCGUCUAUAAAUAGAUGAACAGUACUCCCAUACUGUUCACGCUGACUUGGCAUUUGCUUUUGCGUCACGCUUGUACUUUCUACCUUCUCUCAGGACCGAAGGUACAUUUGUAAUUUAAAAUCAUUUCUAUUUUUCCAUGUUAAUAAAAUAGAAAUGAUUCUGCGAUGAUGCUUAUAUUAUAUUUCAUGCUUUAUAUAAGUCCUUCGUCAUUAUCUGUUAUGUUUGCGAAGGUAUUUCUCUUAUGACCUUCGUCCCAGACUCAUUAUUUCCCGAAGGGGACAUAAUGCUUCGAGGGACGAAGGACUUUAACACUUAACACUUUUUAUGUUGCCUUGUUCUUAACUCUUAGCAUUUGAGAACAAGUCUCCAACACCAUUAUUGGGAUGAAAUGAAAAGUUAUGGACAAUUCUGUUGGUCAUGUUUUUCCCAUAAGAUGGAUACUUGAUGAGUAUCAUUGGGAAUGAGAUUUUAAGUCCCUCUUAUCUUAAAAUCUGAUCUAAAUUGGCUAAAUUCUUUGAAUUGUUUCCCAAAGAACGAGGGUGGUCCAUUAUAGAGAUUGUAUGGACAUUGAAGGCUUUAUAUGGUUCUUUGGUGCAUCUAUAUGAUGACUUGAAGUGUGUCCUUUAGACAACACCUGACCAUUAAGUAAUAAUGUCUCAAGCUUGAGCACAUUAGCCUCCACACUAAUGAAUUUACCAAAUGAGCUUACAAUGAUGAUUGUUUGUCUUGGUAUUCAAAAUGAUAUCCAUAUUGGAUAUGACGAGUCUGUGAUAGAUUCGAAAAUUUCAGAUCAUUAAUGACCAUCAGUAAUGAAUUGUCAUUUCCAACUAGUUAUGGUUGGAGUUAGGAAGUUUUGCACACUCUUGACUUGUGAUUAACUGCAUGUACAAGUUCCCCUAUGGUUUUUAGUACGUGGGAAUCCAUGAAAGAUUUCCCAUGCGUACAUUGGGUAUGUUCCCAAUCUCACCACCGCAGCGUACAUAUAUGGGCACACAGAAAGCUAGGGAUCUAUGUGAGAAUUCAUUCUCCGUCGAUCAUUAAGUUUUAGAAUCUCUUCAUGAGAAUCUAUUUACGACCCGUACACUUGCUUGAAUCAUGAGCUUUUCCAGGCAUUAGGGGGAGAUUUCAAGUACCAAAAAGAAUGCCAGGAAAUUAUAAUGAAUGCAGUGAAUCAUAGUUAUUUGAUUCUUUCGGAUCAUGAGAUGUGCUAUUGUAUAUCGCAAAAACAUCCGGUCGGAUAUUGCUUAGCAAUAUUUUGCUAGUUAAUAGCACAUGAGAUCACGUUAUAUUCUCUAUGAGUACUCGUGAUAUGGUUACAGUUGGAUAUAUUGAUCUUGGAUAUCUAUAGAAGAUCCCUAGGUACAAGAUCAAUGACAUACUUCUAGUAAGUUGGACCUACUGUUUGAUAAAUGUCAAUCAACAGAGAUUAAUGGUCACUUACACACAGAAUGAUAUACUACAUACUGAGGAUAUGUGGUGGUCAUGAUUUUACUAUCACUGACCUUAUUAUCUAUGAAGAUAAUAUUACUUUGUGUCGUUUAGAUGAAAAACAAGUUACAAACUAAGUCUCUACCUUACUCCACAUUUUAAAUGUGUUUGAGAGCAGGUAUGGGAUGACUUGGUGAUUUGUAGAGAUCAGGAGGAAUUUCCCUUUUGAUCGGAAGAACUUGUCUAUACAUCAUGUUGUACUCUUUUCUUUGCAUGAGUUUUUCCCUGUUUGGGUUUCUCAUUCAAUGUUUUUAACGAGGCAACAUCAACAUAAGGCCUAUGUCGUAUCAUCCAUUUUUCCCGUAGAGGUUUUCGAGGAUAAUACAUUAUGACAUAGCUAUUGUUCUUUGGGCUAAAGGUCCAUGGAAGAAUAAUAACGUACCAUGAUUCGAUUGAAUCAUCGACCAUUAUCUAUGAAGAUAAUUCAGCUUGUGUUGUUCAAAUGGAAACAUGAAAAUGGAAAUAUUAACAUCUUGCAAACAAAGUCGUGUGAUAAUCUUGAUGCUCUAUUCACAAAAUCUCUACCAUAUUACACGUUUCAGAAAUGUGUUGAGGGAAUUGGUAUGAGAAGACUUAAGUGCUUGCAAGGAUUAGGGGAGUAAUUCUCUAUGAUAUUUGACCUGUUUUGUGCCAUCAUAUUACACUCUUUUCUUUGUAUGAGUUUUGCCUUGUUAAGGUUUUCUCAUCCAAAGUUUUUAACGAGGUAAUAUCAACUAAGUUAUAUGUUUUAUCAUUGAUUUUUUCCCACAGGGAUUUUUAUGCAUGAUGAUUACAAGUAUAUUUUCCUUUUGGAGUUCAAGUGAGAUUAUCUCAUUAUCCAAAGAUAUUGUAUACUCUUUAUUUUUCCCACAGGAUUUUUGAGGAGAUAAUAUAUUGGAAGGCAACUUGCAGAUGAUCAAAUGGAUUUGGAUUGAUCAAAGGGGAGUGUUACAAAAUAUUAUAUUUAUGAUUAAUCCAAGGGUUACGACAGAUAAUUCCUAAGGGACACACUCCUUGGAAACGCACACCUUUAUAUGUAUAUAAACAUAAUCUCUGCUGUAAUAAAGGAAUUGUUGACAUUCUCUCCCGUCUUGUUUUCGUUAUUCUCUAAUAGUUGUUGCGCGUGUGGGGAGAUAUGCAACUGCGUGAAGGGGAUGAGGAGGGAGCACACGAGUGGUCUAUACUAUUGAUUUAAUAAAUAGUAGACACUCUGAAAGAAAAACAAUUAGAUUCCCACUUGCGUCGCUGUCACACUGCGGACCCAACCCAACGAGCCCUGUGGAGUCAGCCACUCAGCCUGCAACGAGGGCGGAGGCGGACGCCUCAGGAUCUAUGCCAACGACCAUUUCCAAGCUGACGUGGCAGGACGUGUCAGCAUCGUCCGACGCGGAUCGCAUGUGGCGGUGAUGAUACCGGUUCCGGAUCCUACGACCAAUAACUGCCACGAGUCUUCCGCCGCCUGCAAGUCCGAGCGGCAGGCUAUAUAUAAGCAGGGGCCAGGGAGAGGAGCGUCGCCGGCCGGACCACCCGAGCCAGAAGCGCGUCGCCAGCUGAUAACUAACCCAACCCAACCCAAAUAAGCUCGAUCCUGCUCUCUGCCGACGCGGCCGGAUUCGAAUCCGAGGACGAUCGAUGACGGUGGGCGCCGGCAUCGCCGUCCAGGACGGCAGCCUCCUGGCGCUGGGCGCCAAGGUCCUGCGGGAGGUGCGCGGCAACGUGCUCGUGACGCCGGCCGCCGGCGGGGGCCUAACCAACGGCGCGUUCCUCGGCGUCCGGUCCGCGCCCGCCGCCAGCCGCAGCAUCUUCCCCGUCGGGAAGCUCCGGUACGUAUGUGCCGUGAGGGCAAUCCAGAUUUACUUCCCUCCCUUGCAAUGCUAAUUCCACAUGUUCCUAUCGCUUCCCUUGCAAUGCCAUCUGACGGACGCUGCUGCUGCAGGGACCAGCGGUUCGUGUGCACGUUCCGGUUCAAGAUGUGGUGGAUGACGCAGAGGAUGGGCUCCGCAGGCCGCGACAUCCCCUCCGAGACGCAGUUCCUGCUCGUGGAAGUGUCCGGCGGCGGCGAGCAGCCCGCCGUCGUGUACACCGUCUUCCUCCCCGUGCUGGAGGGCUCAUUCCGUGCCGUUCUUCAGGGGAACGCCGACGACGAGCUGGAGAUCUGCCUGGAGAGCGGUAAGCAGCAUAAGAAUAUCUUCUCUGGCCUAGCAAAUGUGUAUUGUAUUGUAUUGUAUUGUAUUGUAUUGUAUUUUAUUGUAUUGUAUUGUCUCUUUCCCUGAUUCAGGCGACCCGGACGUGGAAUCUUUCCAAGGCUCCCAUCUGGUCUUCGUUGGCGCCGGAUCGGACCCGUUCGAGGUCAUCACAAGUUCAGUCAAGUAAGCCGAUGCCAUCUCUUGCUUACGAUGCACCUUCUUGUUUUUACCGUUGCCAGUUUGCCGACUACGAUUAAUCUCCUCGCUCACGAAACGGCACCGAUCAACUCGCUGCAGGGCUGUCGAGAGGCACUUGCAGACGUUCUCUCACAGGGAGAAGAAAAAGGUAGCGAGAUUGGCAUCUGCUUAUUAGAUCUGGGUCGCUGUCUGUCUGUCUGUCAGUGUCACAGGAUUCUGUGCUUUCAACUUGCUGCAGAUGCCAGACAUUCUGAACUGGUUUGGCUGGUGCACGUGGGACGCGUUCUACACCAAUGUCACCGCCCAGGGAGUGAAGCAAGGAUUGCAGAGGUACGUAACGUAACGUAACAUCUCGAAAGUUUUCAUCUUUUGCCAAACCUAUAGAUAAUACCAAUCUAUGUAUGUUCUUGUGUUUUUCCCAGCUUGGAGAAAGGCGGGGUUUCUCCUAGGUUCGUCAUAAUCGACGACGGAUGGCAGUCCGUCGCCAUGGACCCUGUGGGAAUCGCUUGCCUAUCUGACAACUCAGCCAAGUAAGCAAGCAGUCGGGGGGACAUGGUUUGGUUUUCUGUCCAAAAUCCAGAGAGUCGGCUCGGAUUCUGAACUUCCUCUGUUGUUAUGUGCCUUGUGUUAGCUUCGCAAACAGGCUGACUCACAUCAGGGAGAACCACAAGUUUCAGAAAAAUGGCAGGGAGGGUCACAGGGAAGAUGACCCAGCGAAGGGCCUAGCACACGUCGUCAAUGAGAUUAAGGGGAAGCAUCAGCUCAAGUAAGUCUGCCAACAACAACAUUGAUCUGUUCUUAUUCAUUCAUUACAGAUUAUCUGGAAAUUCAUCUCUAUGACAUCUUGUAUAUAUACAAAAAAAAAACCCUCAGGUAUGUGUACGUAUGGCAUGCCAUCACCGGAUACUGGGGCGGAGUGAGGCCGGGUGCAGCUGGAAUGGAGCACUACGGAUCAAAGAUGCAGCGGCCCGUGCCAUCGCCGGGGGUUCAGAAGAACGAGCGCUGCGAAGCCCUGGACAGCAUGACGGCCAACGGGCUGGGCCUCGUGAACCUUGACAGGGCGUUCAGUUUCUACGACGAGCUCCACUCGUACCUCGCGUCUGCCGGGAUCGACGGGGUGAAGGUGGACGUGCAGAACGUCCUCGAGACGCUGGGCGCCGGCCAUGGCGGGAGGGUGAUGCUGGCGAGGAAGUACCAGCAGGCUCUGGAAGCGUCCGUCGCCAGGAACUUCCCCGACAAUGGCAUCAUAUCGUGCAUGAGCCACAGCACGGACAACUUGUACAGGUAACAACGAUUGCUUGUGCUGAGCUGAGAUGUCCGGUCGUGGCUAUUCCAUUCAUUCGCAAAUCGCAAUGCUCUUGCUUCUCUGCAGCUCGAAACGGAGCGCGGUGAUUAGAGCCUCUGACGAUUUCUGGCCGAGAGACCCUGCUUCCCAUACCAUACACGUCGCGUCCGUCGCUUAUAACACCGUCUUUCUUGGGGAGUUCAUGCAGCCAGACUGGGACAUGUUCCAUGUGAGCAUCAUCUCUCAUCCCUGAUUCCUUCAAUUCAAUUAAUCCCAUGCUCGCUUGAUGCUACGACGAAUGAUGCCCACACUCUCUUGUUUCCACAGAGUGUUCAUCCCAUGGCUGAGUACCAUGCUGCGGCUCGAGCGGUUGGUGGCUGUGCCAUAUAUGUCAGGUAAACAAACUAUAAAAACAUUGACGAGUGAUUUACAUGGCAUUACUAACUUAGACGUUCAUAUAUUCUGCAGCGACAAGCCUGGGAGCCAUGACUUCAAUCUGCUCAAGAAGCUCGUGCUUCCCGACGGAUCGAUCCUGCGCGCAAAGCUCCCCGGGAGGCCAACCAGAGACUGCCUCUUCUCUGACCCCGCAAGGGACGGCAAAAGGUUAGAUUUGCAGCUCUCUACGAUGGCUGGUCUGUUCUUGUUCACUAAAAGCCGUCUGCUAGCUGAAUCCCGUUUGAUGCUCUUUUCACAGCGUUCUCAAGAUAUGGAACCUGAACGAACACUCCGGCGUCGUUGGCGCCUUCAACUGCCAAGGCGCCGGCUGGUGCCGGGUAGCCAAGAAGAACCUCAUCCAUGACCAGCAGCCCGGAACGGUGAGCGGCGUCAUCCGGGCGCAGGACGUGGAGCACCUUGCAAGGGUGGCUGAUCACGGCUGGAACGGCGACGUGGUCGUGUACUCGCACGUGGGAGGUAAACAUCACCUUUUUUUUUGCUGGUCCUGAUGAACAGUCAGAUCAUUGUCAAGCUAGGAGACAUCAGUCGCGUUCUCGUGACCUUUUUUCUGUUUCAUCUUGUUAACAACGGACAACGAACCAUAUCUGGCAGCAGAUUAGUGACAAGCAACCCCUUGUUGUGUUGUGUGCGUGUGUGUUUUCAGGGGAGGUGGUGUACCUGCCGAAGAACGCCUUGCUGCCUGUGACGUUGAGAUCGCGCGAGUACGAGGUGUUCACCGUCGUCCCUCUCAAGCACCUGCCAAACGGUGCCUCUUUGCGGCGAUCGGCCUUCUCGGCAUGUUCAACUCCGGUGGCGCGAUGAGGGAGCUGAGAUUCGGUGGUGAGGAUGCCGACGUCGAGCUCAAAGUGCGGGGCUCGGGCACGGUCGGAGCUUAUUCCUCGACGAAGCCAACGUGUGUCGCCGUCGAUUCUAAGGCGGUUGGUUUCUCCUACGAUGGCACCUGUGGCCUCAUCAGCUUCGAGCUCGGCAUCCCCGACCAAGAAAUGUACUUGUGGACGGUUACAGUAGGGUACUGAAGUUACAAUUGAGAAUUGAGAUAGAUUUUCUAAUGCGUCAGAGAACGCCGGUGGUGUAGGUAUUCUGAUUUAUCCAGUGUUGUACUUUCUACUGUUAGUUAUAUAUAUUCUGUACACAUCCCGGGAUUUUAUGACAAAUCUAGAUAAGGGGCGGUCCUUAGAUUUUAGGAGCCUAGAAUGAAAUUUUAAAUGAAAUUUUAAAUAGAAGCCCUUGUUAAUAUUGUAUAUUGAUUUUACCAAUAAAAAUCAAAUGUGAUCAAUUAAAAAUCACAACCUUGAUAAGUUUUUUAUGCUCCCGCGAGUGUGUUGAAAGAUGUCUUCCGUCACCGUCUUAGCUGACAUGGUGCUUUUAGUUUGAGAGGUCACUUUAUUCUAGACUAGCAAAGUAUCCAUAUAUUGUUAUGAUUUUUAUUUGUACUUAAGUAUUGAAUAUAAAAAACAAAGGCAAGUGUAUUGUAUUGGCUAAGUGGAUGUGAAUAUAGGUGUAGAGCCAACAACCAUUGUUCAAUUCUCAUUUAUACAUAAUUUUAAUAUUUUUUACUAUUUAAAUGUGGGCCACGAAGUACAACGACGGUGGAAACCGUGAAAUCAGAAAAACUAGUGCUUUAAUCACUUCUUUCUAGAUAAGUUGAUUUAUCAUGGGUUUGUCAUAUAAAUUUGAUAGAAUGGCUAUAUUUCUUAUGCUAGUAAUUAUUAUUAUUAGCUUGUAAAGAAUAAGGUAGCAGCGGAUCAAUCCGUUUAAUUCACUAAGCAAACUAAUAAUAAUAAUAAGUAAAAAGUUAAUAUAGACAUAUAGUACUCGUUCUUCAAACCAUACACAUAAAUAUAGCAAUUUUACAUUAUUAAUGUUAUUUAUGUGUAUCAGAUGGAUCCCUACGGCCUAAGGGCCCCCGGAUCUGUCACACCAUCCGAACCCCCUCCCCUUCAGGUCUGACACUGAUCUAGUGUAUCAUGGAUAAUUUUUACAUAUAUGAUGAUUUAGUAUAUAGAAACCCGUGUUACGAACUUUAUUAUAUAAAUAAAAUAUAUUUAUAAAAAUAACUAAAUGAAAGAAACUAAACAAUGACGGCGACAAUCUUGAUAACGAGCCACAUGUUGAUCGGAGCGACGACAACCCAAAACUCUUCAUAGUAGUCUUCAUCUUGUGUCCUUGUUCUGGUAGUGAUGUGGUUCAUGUAUUCUGUGCAUAGAUACGUGAUUCAUAAAUGAAAGCAUAGAUACAUGAUUCAUCAUCCCACUUUUGUGAUGUGGUUCAUGCAUUCUGUGCAUUAUAUCCCUACAAUAUACUACUCUUUAAAUAUCUCUCACUAUUUCAUUACAGCAUUCACUCCCACCGAAAUACUCAUAUGCAUGAUAUUAUAUACAUGGUAGUUCAUGUCUUUCCCCACCCACUGGAAUACUCUGUCUGCAUCGAAAUACUCCUAUAUAAAAUGUCAAUUCAUAUUGCAACCACCACUUUUAUAGAUUGAUAAGAUAUUGGAGGCAAACAAAUCAUGUUGAUGUGGUUCAUGUAUUCUGUGCAUAGAUACGUGAUUCAUAAAUGAAAGCAUAGAUACAUGAUUCAUCAUCCCACUUUUGUGAUGUGGUUCAUGCAUUCUGUGCAUUAUAUCCCUACAAUAUACUACUCUUUAAAUAUCUCUCACUAUUUCAUUACAGCAUUCACUCCACCGAAAUACUCUUAUAUGCAUGAUAUUAUAUAUAUGGUAGUUCAUGUUUUUCCCCACCCACUGGAAUACUUAGUCUGCACCGAAAUACUCUUAUAUGCAAUGUCAAUCCAUAUUGCAACCACCAGUUUUAUAGUUUGAUAAGAUAUUGGAGGCAAACAAAUCAUGUUGUCGUAAAAAAUAGGAUGUUAAUCAAUUGUUCAUAUGUAAGAAACGACAAGAUGUCAUUCCUAUUAUGAUCGUUUGUAACCCGGGGUCACCCCAUGUGAGAAGUAAGUUAACCUCCAUAUCAUCACGAUAGUGUAUUGUAACCCACUGGGGAUUCCACCUCUGCUUCUCUAACUUCGACGUCGAUCGUAAUCACCAAUUAGUUAAGUCUGAAUUUCCUCAGGGUCGCACACGCAUGACAUCACCUCCGCGGACUUCGUGGUCAAGAUCGAUCGCUAUCGUGCUGUCAUUGAUUAGUGAUUUGUAAAUUCUAAAUUUAAAAUAUGUUAUAUAUACAGUGAAGUAAAGUUUAAUUUAUUUUUAUCUUUAUAUACAACGUGUUUGGCAUUUACAUGUAAAAUUUUGAAUAAUUUAAUCACCCCUAUUAUUGAGAAUAAAGUUUUGUUUAUGUUCUAUUUUCUAUCAUGAUACCCAUGUGAGAAAUAUUUUUCCCAACCCCGUCAGGUGCACUCACGGUGCGCCGCCAUAGCCCUGACCGCCUACGACAGAAAACUGUCAUAAGUAAAACGCUGCUUGUGCAUGGCUGCUUUUUCCACUGCUGCAAGGACGCUCUCGUAGGAUCUAAUAUUAGGGUUUCUGUCAUAGGAUCUGAUAAAAUAAAUUCACGAGCGUGAAAAGCUAAUAGAAUUAGAUGAAAUAGAUGGAGAUAAAAUAAACUCACGAGAGCCUUAUGAAAUUUCUUAUGGAACAUAUGUUCCAGUCGUUCGAUAUUCUUUUCACAGUGUUCUCAAGAUAUGGAACCUGAACGAACACUCAGGCAUCGUUGGCGCCUUCAACUGUCAAGGCACUGGUUGGUGCCGGGUAGCCAAGAAGUACCUCAUCCACGACCACCAGCCCAGAACGGUGAGCGGCGUCAUCUCGGCGUAGGACGUGAAGCACCUUGCAAGGGUGGCUGAUCACGGCUAGAAUGGCGACGUGGUCGUGUAUUCGCACGUGGGAGGUAAACCAUCAUCUUUUUUUAUGAACAGUCAGAUCAUUGUCAAGCUAGGGGACAUCAGUCUCGUUCUCGUGACCCCUUUUCUGUUUCAUGUUUUUAACAACGGACAACGAACUGUACCUGUCAGCACAUCAGUGACAAGCAACCCCUUAUUGUGUUGUGUGCGUGUGUGUUUUCAGGGGAGGUGGUGUACCUGCCGAAGAACACCUUGCUGCCUGUGACGCUGAGAUCGCGCGAGUAUGAGGUGUUCACCGUCGUCCCUCUCAAGCACCUGCCAAAUGGUGUCUCCUUUGCGGAGAUCGGCCUUCUCGGCAUGUUCAACUCCAGUGGCGCGGUGAGGGAGCUGAGAUUCAGUGGUGAGGAUGCCGACGUCGAGCUCAGAGUGCGGGGCUCGGGCACGGUCGGAGCUUAUUCCUCAACCAAGCCAAGGUGUGUCGCCGUCAACUCCAAGGCGGUUGGUUUCUCCUACGAUGGCACAUGUGGCCUCAUCAGCUUCGAGCUCGACAUCCCCGACCAAGAAAUGUACUUGUGGACGGUUACAGUAGGGUAUUGAAGUUAGAACUGAGAAUUGAGAUAGAUUUUCUAAUGCGUCAGAGAACGCCGGUGGUGUAGGUAUUCUGAUUUAUUCAGUGAUGUACUUUCUACUGUUAGUUAUAUAUAUUCUAUACACAUGGGGAAGUUACGACAAAUCUAGAUAGAGGCCCAGAACGAAAUUUUAAAUAGAAGGCCUUGUUAAUAUUAUAUAUUGAUUUUACCAAUAAAAACCGAAUGUGAUCAAUUGAGAAUCACAACCUUGAUAAGUUCUUUAUGCUCCCGCGAGUGUGUUGCAAGACGUCUUUUGUCACCGUCUUAGCUGACGUGGUGUUUUUAGUUUGAGAAGUCAUUUUAUUCUAGACUAGCAAAGUGUUUAUACAUUGUUAUGAUUUUUGUUUAUACUUAAGUGUUGAAUAUAAAACACAAAGACAAGUGUGUUGUAUUGGCUAAGUGGAUGUGAAUAUGCUUUUAGAGCCAACAACUAUUGUUCAAUUCUCAUUUAUGCAUAAUUUUAGUAUUUUUUACUAUUUAAAUGUGGGGAAGUACAAAGUGGAAAGCAUGAAAUCGGGAAAAGUAGUUCUUUAAUCACUUCAUUCUAGAUAAGUUUAUUUAUCAUGUGUUUGUCAUAUAAAUUUGAUAGAAUGACUAUAUUUCUUAUGCUAGUAAUUAUUACUAUUAGCUUGUAAAGAAUGAGGUAACAACGGAUCAACCCGUUCAAUUCACUGAUCAAACUAAAAAUAAUAAUAAGUAAAAGGUUAAUGUAGACAUAUAGUACUUGUUCGUCUAGCCAUACACAUAAAUAUAGCAAUUUUACAUUAUUAAAUGUUAUUUAUGUGUAUAAGAUGGAUCCCUUCUCAGGACCGAACUGGUCCAGAUGUAUAUCAUAUGUGUGUCAUGGUUAUUUUUUACGCAUACGAUGACUUAGUAUAUAGAAACUCGUGUUAUGAACUUUAUUAUAUUAAUAAAAUAUCUUUAUAAAAAUAAAUAAAUGAAAGAAACUAAAACGAUGACAAUCUUGAUAACGAGUCACAGACAGGUUGAUCGGAGCGAUGACAACUCAAAACUCUUCAUAGUAGUCUUCAUCUUGUGUCCUUGUUAUGGGCAGUGAUGUGGUUCAUGUAUUCUGUGCAUAGAUACUGAUUCAUAAAUGAAAACAUAUAUACAUGAUCCAUCAUUCCACUUCUGUGAUGUUGUUCAUGCAUUUUAUCACUCACUAUUUCAUUACAACAUUCACUCCCACCGAACUACUCUUAUAUGCAUGAUAUUAUAUGCACGAUAGUUCAUGUUUUUCCCCUUCCACUGGAAUACGCUAUCUGUACCGAAAUACUCUCAUAUGCAAUGACAAUCCAUAUUGCAACCACCAGUUUUAUAGUUUGAUAAGAUAUUGGAGGAAAAAAAUCAUGUUGUCGUAAAAAAUAUGAUGAUAGUCAAUUGUUUGUAUGUAAGAAACGACAAGAUGUUGUUUCUACUAUGAUCGUUUGUAGGUCGGGGUCACCCCCUGUGAUGAGUAAGGUAACCUCCACAUCAUCAUGGGUGUCUACUGUCACCCACUCGGUGAUUCCACCUCUAACUUUUCUAUCUUCGACGUCAGUCGUGAUCACCAAUUAGUUAAGUCUGAAUUUCCUCGGGGUCACGACUUCGACUACCCCUCCGCGGACUGUGUGGACAAGAUCGGUCAUUGUCGUGCUGGCAUUGAUUAGUGAUUUGUGAAUUCUAAAUCUAAAAUACGUUAUAUAUAUAGUAAAAUAAAGUUUAAUUUAUUUUAAACUUUUAUAUACAAUGUGUUUGGCAUUUAGAUGUAGACUUUUGAAUAAUUUAAUCACCCUAUCAUUGAAAAUAAAGUUUUGUUUAUGUUCUAUUUUCUAUCAUGAUACCCAUGUGAGAAGUAUUUUUUCCCAACCCCGCCAGGUGCACUCACGGUGCGCCACCGUGGCCCUGGCUGCCUACGGCGGAAAGCCGCCACCAGGAAAACGCUGCAUGUGCAUGACUGUUUUUUCCAUCGCUGCAAGGACACUCUCGUAGGAUCUAAUAUUAGGGUUUCUGUCGUAGGAUCUGAUAAAAUAAAUUCACGAGCGUGAAAAGCCAAUAGAAUUAGAUGAAGUAGAUGAAGAUAAAAUAAACUCAUGAGAGCCUUAUGAAAUAUCUUAUGAAACAGAUGGAAAAAAUAUCUUAUGAAAAAUCUCAUUGAAUGACCAAAUAUCAUAAGGGCUCGUUUGCUUCUUUUGAUUUUGAAGAAUUGGAAUCUAAUUAAUGGAGUAGUAUACUUUUUAAGGACGGAUCUUUUUCAACCCUUUCCCUCUCUCCACCGAUCACUCAAGAUCGGCGAGCUCUUCUUCUUCUCGAGGAUCACUUAAGACCCCGCAAGGACCACCACACUCUUUGGUGUCUCUUGCUAGCUUUUACAAGCCUCCAAAACUUUGGAGGAAGUUCAAUGGGAGUCAAAACUCCACGCACAAAUGAACACAAAGAUGUAGCACACACUAUCUCUCAAUGAAUCUCACAAGGCACUAAUGCUAAACACAAAUGAGUAGCUCUCUUUUGCUUUCUCUCUCUUUUGUGGCACUUGUGUUGGUUGUAGUGGUCUAAAUCUUGUGUAUAGGAUGGAUCAAUGAAUAUAUGUGGUUGGGAGGGCUUGAGUAUGUCAACUAGAUGACUUGGAAUGUUGCUUGGGCUCCCUCACACUGAAGUGGCCGGUUGGGGUGGUAUUUAUAGCCACCAACCAAAAUCUAGCCGUUGGUGAAGUCUGCUGGCGAAGGGCGCACCGGACAGUGUCCGGUGCGCCGCCAUGUCAUCCUGUCGUUGGGGCUUGGAGCUGGUCGACCGUAGGAGGCUUUGUGUGUUUUCAGGGGAGGUGGUGUACCUGCCAAAGAACGCCUUGCUGCCUGUGACACUGAGAUCGCGCGAGUACGAGGUGUUCACCGUCGUCCCUCUCAAGCACCUGCCAAACGAUGCCUCCUUUGCGGCGAUCGGCCUUCUCGGCAUGUUCAACUCCGGUGGCGCGGUGAGGGAGCUGAGAUUCAGUGGUGAGGAUGCCGACGUCGAGCUCAGAGUGCGGGGCUCGGGCACGGUCGGAGCUUAUUCCUCGACCAAGCCAACAUGUGUCGCCGUCGAUUCCAAGGCGGUUGGUUUCUCCUACGAUGGCACCAGUGGCCUCAUCAGCUUCGAGCUCGGCAUCCCCGACCAAGAAAUGUACUUGUGGACGGUUACAGUAGGGUACUGAAGUUACAACUGAGAAUUGAGAUAGAUUUUCUAAUGCGUCAGAGAACGCCGGUGGUGUAGGUAUUCUGAUUUAUUCAGUGUUGUACUUUCUACUGUAGUUAUAUAUAUUCUGUACACAUCCCGGGAUUUUAUGACAAAUCUAGAUAAGUGGCGGUCCUUAGAUUUUAGGAGCCCAGAACGAAAUUUUAAAUAGAAGCCCUUGUUAAUAUUGUAUAUUGAUUUUACCAAUAAAAAUCGAAUGUGAUCAAUUAAAAAUCACAACCUUGAUAAGUUCUUUAUGCUCCCGCGAGUGUGUUGCCAGAUGUCUUUCGUCACCGUCUUAGCUGACGUGGUGUUUUUAGUUUGAGAGGUCACUUUAUUCUAGACUAGCAAAGUAUCCAUACAUUGUUAUAAUUUUUAUUUGUACUUAAGUAUUGAAUAUAAAAAACAAAAGCAAGUGUAUUGUAUUGGCUAAGUGGAUGUGAAUAUAGGUGUAGAGCCAACAACCAUUGUUCAAUUCUCAUUUAUGCAUAAUUUUAAUAUUUUUUUACUAUUUAAAUGUGGGCCACGAAGUACAACGACGGUGGAAACCGUGAAAUCAGAAAAACUAGUGCUUUAAUCACUUCUUUCUAGAUAAGUUGAUUUAUCAUGGGUUUGUCAUUUAAAUUUGAUAGAAUGACUAUAUUUCUUAUGCUAGUAAUUAUUAUUAUUAGCUUGUAAAGAAUAAGGUAGCAGCGGAUCAAUCUGUUUAAUUCACUAAGCAAACUAAUAAUAAUAAUAAGUAAAAAGUUAAUAUAGACAUAUAGUACUCGUUCUUCAAACCAUACACAUAAAUAUAGCAAUUUUACAUUAUUAAUGUUAUUUAUGUGUAUCAGAUGGAUCCCUACGGCCUGAGGGCCCCCGGAUCUGUCACACCAUCCGAACCCCCUCCCCUUCAGGUCUGACACUGAUCUAGUGUAUCAUGGAUAAUUUUUACAUAUAUGAUGAUUUAGUAUAUAGAAACCCGUGUUACGGACUUUAUUAUAUAAAUAAAAUAUAUUUAUAAAAAUAACUAAAUGAAAGAAACUAAACAAUGACGGCGACAAUCUUGAUAACGAGGCACAUGUUGUUCGGAGCGACGACAACCCAAAACUCUUCAUAGUAGUCUUCAUCUUGUGUCCUUGUUCUGGUAGUGAUGUGGUUCAUGUAUUCUGUGCAUAGAUACGUGAUUCAUAAAUGAAAGCAUAGAUACAUGAUUCAUCAUCCCACUUUUGUGAUGUGGUUCAUGCAUUCUGUGCAUUAUAUCCCUACAAUAUACUACUCUUUAAAUAUCUCUCACUAUUUCAUUACAGCAUUCACUCCCACCGAAAUACUCUUAUAUGCAUGAUAUUAUAUACAUGGUAGUUCAUGUUUUUCCCCACCCACUGGAAUACUCAGUCUGCACCAAAAUACUCCUAUAUGCAAUGUUAAUCCAUAUUGCAACCUCCAGUUUUAUAGUUUGAUAAGAUAUUGGAGGCAAACAAAUCAUGUUGAUGUGGUUCAUAUAUUCUGUGCAUAGAUACGUGAUUCAUAAAUGAAAGCAUAGAUACAUGAUUCAUCAUCCCACUUUUGUGAUGUGGUUCAUGCAUUCUGUGCAUUAUAUCCCUACAAUAUACUACUCUUUAAAUAUCUCUCACUAUUUCAUUACAGCAUUCACUCCCACCGAAAUACUCUUAUAUGCAUGAUAUUAUAUACAUGGUAGUUCAUGUUUUUCCCCACCCACUGGAAUACUCUGUCUGCACCGAAAUACUCCUAUAUAAAAUGUCAAUUCAUAUUGCAACCACCACUUUUAUAGUUUGAUAAGAUAUUGGAGGCAAACAAAUCAUGUUGAUGUGGUUCAUGUAUUCUGUGCAUAGAUACGUGAUUCAUAAAUGAAAGCAUAGAUACAUGAUUCAUCAUCCCACUUUUGUGAUGUGGUUCAUGCAUUCUGUGCAUUAUAUCCCUACAAUCUUUACUACUAUUAAGACGGUAAGGGGUAGGCUGCCAUUCCUGGUUCUGCCAUUCCCAUGUGCCCCCUUCAUUCCCAUUCCCAACUGUGUCCCGCGCAUGUGACCUGUUUCCCAUUCCCAACUGUGUCCCGCGCACCGCGACCAAAUCCAUUCCCAUUCCCAUGCGCCCCCUUCAUUCCCAUUCCCAACUGUGUCCCGCGCACCGCGACCAAAUUUUUACCAAAAAAGCUAGCUGCGUGGGUCAAAGCUCGCGGCCAACCAAGACUACACUUGUUGUGUGCGCACUAGACCUUAUAAACAGGUGUAUGCACAGUUUAGUGAACAAUGUGGUACUAUUUUUAGCUUGCCAAUACGAAUUACACGCUUCCUGGGAGGCCCAUCUGCUUGUGGCCCAGACAAGGCCCACAGUUUAGUGAACAAUGUGGUACUAUUUGUGUUCCAUGUUUUUACCCCCCCCUACACGUAUUUCUUGGAUAUCUGAUUUCUACUCACGAUGAUUUGGCAUGUACCUUGCUGAGUUCAAGUCAGGUGCAUAGAGGAAGGAUGUUGCAGGGAGCACCAUGAAUUCCUACAAAGUUGCUCAGGUUUCCUCUGACUGUUCACCAUUAUUGGAAGCAGAGCAGGCAGAGAGCCUUGGAAUCGAACUCUUGGAGAUGGUGCCUAGCAGGGAAGAUGAGAUUAAGUUGAAAGAAUAUAGGGAGGAUGCUGUGUCGACUUUUAUAGUUGAUGAUUAUGUGAGACUUGAGUUUAAGGGCUCAACUUUUACCGGUUCUUGGAAGUCAUUUAGUAGCCCUAAGAUUUCAUCAACAUUCUUAGUAGUAAUUGCUAUAGUAUCAAAUGGGAUUGUGGUACGAGUUGCUCGAGUACUAACGUUGUUGUACAUUGUGAAGCUAAGUGGGUAAUAUCAAAAGGGAUUAAGAUUUAUGUGUGGUGCUUACUGUAUUUGUUUUUAUUAUUUUAUUGUGCUUUGUACAUGCACCAUCAUUCUUACUCUGGUGUUCUUUUACUGCAAAGUUUGACACAAUAUAUCGAAGGUUACUUAGUAUUGUUUUCUGUUUCUGUUAUCCUCUUUGCAGAUCUAUGUUUGGAUGAUGAAAACAGUGCUACUCGAUGUGAAGUCCACCAAUACUAUAGUUCAGAUUAAGUCUAAGAUCGGUGCUUUAGAGGGAAUUGGUAAUCGCCAGAAAGCACUCUUUUUUGCUGGAAUUAUGGUAGCAAUCAGGUUUCAGAUUUCUAUGAGUUCUGUGAAUAAAAUGAGCUUAUGGGUGUUGUCAAUCUUUUUAAAUUUCCUGAAGUUAUGAUAAAAAGAUAUAGGGUACGUAUUCAAACAAUAUGGUUGUUAACUGCCAAAUAUUUUUUAUAACAAAUUAUAUUGUAUUAUGUAGUAGAUAAAAAAGAGAAUAUUUUGUGCAAUUGUUUUGCUAAAUUAUAAUAGACAGUGGUUGUAGCUAAAACAUAAUUAUCUUGAUAUAAAGACUACUACAUUAUCACUUUUAUGAGAACAGUGCUUGUUCCCUUCAAAUUAUACAGUACGGUAGCAUAGUUGCAUUUUAGCAGGUGUUACUUCAUAAAUUGUUCAGUAGAAAAGAAGUGGCUCGUCAAUCAUUAGGAAUGUGCUGGAGCUCACCAGUUGUCUUUUUAAAUAGUUGAUUCACCAAUUUUUCUCGUCAAUGAUGCAUAUCAGCAGAUGUUUGAGAGGAAGAUUGGUCGUCUUAGUACAUUGUUCCUGGCCAUGGAGGAAGGCUUCCUCGCGCUCGUGUCAAGCCUGUGAGAGGCCCAACCAGACCUCGCAACGGCUAGGACGUGCUGCCUCAUCGGCGUCAUGCACGAUAGGACCCUUUUCCUCGCUAACCUCGAUGACUCUUAUUGCCCUCUAAUAUUAACUUGACAUUCUCUAAUAUUCGUGUAUUGGUUUUUGGCAAAGAAUUUAUAAGAUAUUAAGAUUGUUUUCAUAUAAUCGUUGUACACUACCAUUUUAUCGAAUAAUUUAUGUGCCGUUGCAACGCACGAGCAGUUGACUAUUACCAUGAAGAUGCAUAUGACACUGAAUUAUAAUGGUUACCACAAAUAAAUUAGUUUCAUUUCAAUUCACUGGAUCAUCAAUAUUUCACCAAAUGUUACCACUGCUAACAAGCUAAGGAUAUUCACAGAGUCAGUAAUAUUAUACAAAUCAAAGAAUUUGCAACCAGUGACCUUCCUGGCUAACUAGGAUGUCAAUUAGGCGUCAAAUGUUCUGACGCAUGCAAAUUGAGGGAUACUUCUAAAUCUCUCCAGCUCUAGAUUUCAAUGUUAGCAGUAAGAACAUCCAAAUGAUCGUUAUCCAUAUUUCACCAUUCUAGCUCUCUCGAGGAUGUCACUCGAGUAAAACAACAAAGCAAUAUUUUACCUAUCUUUCGUCAUUCUAGCUCUCAAGUGACAUGAAAACAACAAAGCAAUAUUUUACUCUGAUGCAUGCUUCGUAAUAAUUUUUUAUGCUAGGUCCACUCCUCUUAACGUGCGGUGGGGUCUGGCCCACCUUGCCGGGCCGGCGGGCCGCGGCAUCGCGGGCUCCUCGGAUUGAGGAUAACUCUAAGGAGCGCGACAACUUGCUCUGGUGGCGCAACCUCGUGCGCUGCCACGCCGGUGAAGUUUUCAUCGUCGUCGCGCGGAUCAAAUAAGUGCUCGAGGACCUUUUCUUAUAACAGUAUAUCACAUAUUUGUACAUAAGUUAUUGUGGUAUUAUAUAUUCCCGUUGCAACGCACGGGCACUCAUCUAGUAGGAAAGAACCGUGAGGGAUCAGCCUGGUGGGACCGUACCGUCAUCGCGUCGUAUCGUAUGUAUCACCUGGGGCCUGCUCCGUUCUUUCUUGGACUGGGAGGCAUCGUCUUCGUCUCGGAUCGUGCAGCUUACUUGGUUCCCUGCCACGUCGGAUGGGCUCAUGUAAGUAAAGCUGGUUCUGAUCACGUCUGUUAAAUCGGACUAAAGCUUAGUUCGUGUCACAUCAAUUAUUUAAAUAUUAAUUAUUAGUAUUAAAUAUAAAAUUAAUUAGAUUUAUUAAUUUUUCUCGUCUUUUAGUCUUGAUCCGUGUAAUUAAUUUUAUAAUUAGAUUAUAUUUAAUAAUCGUAGUUACCAUUUGAUAGAAAAUUUUAGCAGGAUGGAACCAAACACCUUAUAAAUCUACUACAUAUUAGUUAGGGCAUGUACAAUGGGUGUCUUAAGUUGUGUCUUAAAGUGUGUCUAAGAGGGUGAAUGUAAAAAAACUCAAGACAUGUAUCUUGACGAAGACACAGUGUCUUAGCUCUAUGUUCGAGACAGGAGACUAGCUGAUUGGUCACUUUAAUUUAUUGAAUGCUCUGAUUGGUACAAUGAAUAUGGUAAGACACAUGUUUUAGACAUGACCACUGUAUUAUGUUGUGUUUUAGUUGUGUCUUAUACUUGGAGUACCGUGCAACAGUGUCUAGGUUGUACAUGCCCUUAUCGUUUAUAUUAUUGAUUGUGUUAUUAAGUAUAAUAAGCACUUCUAUACUAUACUUAAAGCACCAGUUUCAACGGUCAUCCCGCGUCAUCUUUUUACAAAUAACCCCUCACAACUAUUUCAAAUUAAUUUGUUGCACGUCUAUAGAUGGCCAAACGACGGGCCGGCACGGGCCAGACGCCAGCGAGCCACAACUCUGGCCCAGGCACGUCAUGCCGGCCUGCUAACUGUGUCGGACCAGCUCGCUAGCCCGUCGAACUAUUUGAUUAAAUCGACAUAAAAUGUUAAAAAACAGUGUAGGAGGUGGGGUUCAAACCCAUGUUGUGAUGGAAGAAGGAUGGAAGACACUGGGUGAAGCUGUCUAACCAGUAGAACAUCAUGCUCAAAUGUUUUUAAUAUUGAGCUAUCUUUUUUAUAAGUUUGAGUUCAUGUGACUUAUUUUAGAAACUUGAGCUCACAAACUUUCUCUUAUUUGGUCUCUGUAUGGUGGAAUUAUGUCAUUUUAUAAUCUCUGUUCGUUCAGUCAGUCGUUGUGGACUCUCUUCUAAUUACUCACUUUAUUGGCCGUGUUGUACCAAGACAUAUUGCAUGGAGUAAACAAUAACAUCAGUUAGCCAAAUCAAAAAAAUAUUAUACAAAGAGCUGAGACAAUCAAUAAAAAAUCUUGAAUUUUUUUUGGUGGAUAGUUUACGUGGGUAUUAUUGUAAGUCGUCGUAACGCACGGGCAACCAACUAGUAUACUACUAUUUAAAUAUCUCUCACUAUUUCAUUACAACAUUCACUCCCACCGAAAUACUCUUAUAUGCAUGAUAUUAUAUACAUGGUAGUUCAUGUUUUUCCCCACCCACUGGAAUACUCAGUCUGCACCGAAAUACUCCUAUAUGCAAUGUCAAUCCAUAUUGCAACCACCGGUUUUAUAGUUUGAUAAGAUAUUGGAGGCAAACAAAUCAUGUUGUCGUAAAAAAUAAAAUGUUAAUCAAUUGUUCAUAUGUAAGAAACGACAAGAUGUCGUUCCUAUUAUGAUCGUUUGUAACCCGGGGUCACCCCCUGUGAUGAGUAAGUCAACCUCCAUAUCAUCACGGUAGUGUAUUGUAACCCACUGGAGAUUCCACCUCUGCUUCUCUAACUUCGACGUCGACCGUAAUCACCAAUUAGUUAAGUCUGAAUUUCCUCAGGGUCGCACACGCAUGACAUCACCUCCGCGGACUUCGUGGUCAAGAUCGAUCGCUGUCGUGCUGUCAUUGAUUAGUGAUUUGUGAAUUCUAAAUUUAAAAUACGUUAUAUAUACAGUAAAAUAAAGUUUAAUUUAUUUUUAUCUUUAUAUACAACGUGUUUGGCAUUUAGAUGUAGAAUUUUGAAUAAUUUAAUCACCUCUAUUAUUGAGAAUAAAGUUUUGUUUAUGUUCUAUUUUCUAUCAUGAUACCCAUGUGAGAAAUAUUUUUCCCAACCCCGCUAGGUGCACUCACGGUGCGCUUCCAUAGCACUGACCGCCUACGACAGAAAACCGUCAUCAGGAAAACGCUGCUUGUGCAUGGCUGCUUUUUCCACUGCUGCAAGGACGCUCUCGUAGGAUAUGAUAUUAGGGUUUCUGUCAUAGGAUAUGAUAAAAUAAAUUCACGAGCGUGAAAAGCUAAUAGAAUUAGAUGAAAUAGAUGGAGAUAAAAUAAACUCACGAGAGCCUUAUGAAAUAUCUUAUGAAACAGAUGUUCCAGCCGUUCGAUGCUCUUUUCACAGCGUUCUCAAGAUAUGGAACCUGAACGAACACUCCGACGUUGUUGGCGCCUUCAACUGCCAAGGCACCGGUUGGUGCCGGGUAGCCAAGAAGAACCUCAUCCACGACCACCAGCCCGGAACGGUGAGCGGCGUCAUCCGGGCGCAGGACGUGAAGCACCUUGCAAGGGUGACUGAUCACGGCUAGAACGGCGACGUGGUCGUGUAUUCGCACGUGGGAGGUAAACCAUCAUCUUUUUUUAUGAACAGUCAGAUCAUUGUCAAGCUAGGGGACAUCAGUCUCGUUCUUGUGACCCCUUUUCUGUUUCAUCUUUUUAACAACGGACAACGAACCAUACCUGUCAGCAGAUCAGUGACAAGCAACCCCUUGUUGUGUUGUGUGCAUGUGUUUUCAGGGGAGGUGGUGUACCUGUCGAAGAACGCCUUGCUUUCUGUGACACUGAGAUCGCACGAGUACGAGGUGUUCACCGUCGUCCCUCUUAAGCACCUGCCAAACGAUGUCUCCUUUGCGACGAUCGGCCUUCUCGGCAUGUUCAACUCCGGUGGCGCGGUGAGGGAGCUGAAAUUCGGUGGUGAGGAUGCUGACGUC